UGUAGUAUACUCUCUAUUGCUAUGGGUUUUUGAAUUUAUGAUGUGUUAAUCCACUUAUAUCAUUACUCUCUUCAUUUUAAUUGAAUUCUCGUGGUUGNNNNNNNNNNNNNNNNNNNNNNNNNNNNNNNNNNNNNNNNNNNNNNNNNNNNNNNNNNNNNNNNNNNNNNNNNNNNNNNNNNNNNNNNNNNNNNNNNNNNNNNNNNNNNNNNNNNNNNNNNNNNNNNNNNNNNNNNNNNNNNNNNNNNNNNNNNNNNNNNNNNNNNNNNNNNNNNNNNNNNNNNNNNNNNNNNNNNNNNNNNNNNNNNNNNNNNNNNNNNNNNNNNNNNNNNNNNNNNNNNNNNNNNNNNNNNNNNNNNNNNNNNNNNNNNNNNNNNNNNNNNNNNNNNNNNNNNNNNNNNNNNNNNNNNNNNNNNNNNNNNNNNNNNNNNNNNNNNNNNNNNNNNNNNNNNNNNNNNNNNNNNNNNNNNNNNNNNNNNNNNNNNNNNNNNNNNNNNNNNNNNNNNNNNNNNNNNNNNNNNNNNNNNNNNNNNNNNNNNNNNNNNNNNNNNNNNNNNNNNNNNNNNNNNNNNNNNNNNNNNNNNNNNNNNNNNNNNNNNNNNNNNNNNNNNNNNNNNNNNNNNNNNNNNNNNNNNNNNNNNNNNNNNNNNNNNNNNNNNNNNNNNNNNNNNNNNNNNNNNNNNNNNNNNNNNNNNNNNNNNNNNNNNNNNNNNNNNNNNNNNNNNNNNNNNNNNNNNNNNNNNNNNNNNNNNNNNNNNNNNNNNNNNNNNNNNNNNNNNNNNNNNNNNNNNNNNNNNNNNNNNNNNNNNNNNNNNNNNNNNNNNNNNNAUAUAUAUUGUAUAUUGGAGUGUAUAUAGUGUAUAUAGUGUAUAUUGGAUUUUUUAUUUAUUUUUUAAAUGGGUUUGACCGGUUUUUAACCGAGUUUGAUCAGGUUUUGGUGGGUUUGACCGGGUUGGGUUAAGUGGGCCGGGUUAGGGUGGGUUUUUAUUUUUUUACUAUUUUUCCCGGCCCGGACCGGCCCGGCUUGCGUCAAAACUGACCCUUAACCAGUCCUCAACCCGGUUAAAAUGGAAGGGCCAGUUUUGGGUUGGCCCGACCCGGCCCUUUUGACACCUAUAAUUCAAAGUGCUGACGUAUUUGCGCAAUGGUGUCUUAUACCAUAGGUUCAGAAACUCGAGCUCCAGAUCAGCAGUCAGAGUUAGAAAUGAGUCCUCAUCAUUCGAGGACAUGAUUAUUCCCUAUUAUCUCAUUAAUUAAUUUAUUAGUUGGAGUUAGUUGGGGACAUAUCCCAUCAGCUCCUUACUCAGAUAGUUCAGUCAGUUAGAGGCUUUCUAGACUAUCAUGUUUCAGACUUUAGUAUUUUCAGUUUUGUUUUGGGUAUCUUUUACCCCACACAGAUGUUAUAUUAUUCAUAUUAUGUACAAUUUUAAACCUUAUGGCCUUUCAGUUCAUGUUUCCACAUUAUUCAGUAUUUUAUGCAGUAUACAGGUACAGAUAUCAGUCAUGGUUAGCUUGUGGCCCUUCGAGGUCAUGAGCACCGUGUAGCGUUCUGGGUACCAGAUCCAGGGCGUUAUAGGUACGACUGGUAAGGUGGAGUCAUAAGUUGGGCAAUGAACAAAGGUCAUGCACUAUUUAAGAUAUGACUCAGGAAUACGAGUCGUACCCAGUGGGUAUGACCAGUACCUACCACUCGUACCCAAUUGAAACCAAGCACAUUGAACUUUAAUUUUUAAAUUUUUCUUUCCUUUUCUUAGUUACUAAUAUUAGUGCACUUACAGGAAAAUGCUCCAAAGAAUGCUUCGUCUUCUAAAAUAGUUGCUAAAAAGGGGAACAAACAAGCACCAGUCUAGAGUGAGGAACCAGUAUUUCUAGGUUUGAUUCCAUAUCUGAAAGCAGUAGAGAAAAGUAUGAUGGAACCUCAUCAAAGAAAGAUGCAAACAAAUGAAAGGCACCUGCUAAGUUGAAGGAAAAGAAAGUAGUGCCACAAGAAUCUGAAUCACCUCCACCAAAAGAGCCGAGAAAAAAAAAAUCGAUUAUUUCUCCUCUACACACACCAGUACCAGUUGAUGAUGAUGAUAACAAGGCUGAGUCUAGUUCAGAAUAGGAGAGUGUAGAUAAUCCUCAGGGUCCCGAGGUAGAUGCGACCCCUAUGGACAAACAGGACCCCCCACUCGCAUUGACCACUGCUUCAGUGCCCAUCGUUGAAAGAUGGGGGUACCCUGACAUACAAGAGACAUUUAACAUGAGACUGUCUCAUCUUUUGGGUGUUAAGAUAAAGAGAGUGCUAUAUCUAGAAAGGAGGAUGACCAUUAUAGGGAUGGCUGAAGUACUCGGGUUUGAAGAGCGCUUCAGGAACUAUUGUUUUGACUACAUGAUAAAAGCACCGGGUAGAUACAGUAAGGUACUUAUUUGUGAUUUCUAUGCUACAUAUAAAGGAGAACUUCAGCAGCAAUAUCCACAGGGUAUGUUGUGAAAGGGAGGUGACCCUAUUACAUCCCUCAUGAUCCAAGGGGUGCGUGUUGAUAUCUCUCUCUGAACUAUCGAGAGAUUUCUAUAUGGGCCAAAAUAUCAAGAUCCGGUCAACACCUAAAAGAUGGACUAUAAAAUGGCCAAGAUUAGAAAGAUCACAAAUUGAAUAUUGGGUACCGAUGAUAAAAUGGUGGUGUUUAGGUAGAUAGCUGAGCGGGUAGCUACACAUGGUGAGCAUGCCACUUGGGUUGCAGGUGGUAUUGAGGAUUCAAAGUAAAUAAAUAAAAGAACCCUAAGUUUUGAGGGUAAAGAUUGGUGGACACUAGACCGACACAGGUUGUGUCCGACCAUAGUAGACGAUAUCUUGAGCCCAGUCCAGGUUGCUAUGAUAGCAGGUUUCAUAGAAGGGUAUUCAUUUGAUUUGGGUGAGUUCUUGGCCCGAGAAUUGAGAGAUAGGGAAAUCUAGAGUCAAAAGGCACUACUAGACUACCCCUACAUGAUUACUCAGAUAUGAUUAGCUGUUAAAGUAUUGGAGAUGCCUGGCGUUGAUGAGACAAUUGAGUCUUGGAGGACGUUAGACAUUGGGAUGAUUCAAGAUGUGAACAACCCUCUGGCCCAACUUAUGCAAUAGGCUACGGAUGCUAUGGCGGGAUUAUUCCUACAAUAUGAUCGGACAGAUGCCCCUGCUCCAACUGAGAUGACUAAGGAGGUCACAGACUGAGGCUACACCUAUAGAUACAGUGGGCUCUUUUAGUACUCCACUGCCAAUCCAUUCUGUGCCACCUAGGCCAUGGGGUAUUUCUCUUGAUGUGAUACUGAUUUCCCAGGAUGCUUGGAUUAAAAUCAUAACCCAGUUGGCUACUCUCACUGUAAAGUUAGGUCACAUGUAGGGCAGAUCAUGAAGUUGGAUAGACAGACAGUUUGAGGCACAGUAUAGGUAAGUCCAAGGGCACCUAAAUGUAUUUGAGUCAAUUACACAACAAUUAGGUACUGGGAAGGUGCCCAAUAUUGCUGAUAUCCAAGCACAGAUUGCGGAGAUAAAGAAGAUGGUCACUAAGUUAUUUAAGAGGCCAAUUUUUAUUAAGGCAGUUAUGGAGACUAUGAUUCCCACAGUUGACAUGCCUAACAUUUGGGCUAUCUCGGUAGGUAUGUAUACUGAGGAGAUCGAGAAAGAAAAAAGAGAAAAAAGAAGGAAGCUAAAGCAGCUAAGAAGAAAGCCAGACUUGAUAGCAUACAAGAUGAGCAGGACCAUCAGACACGGGUCAUAGAGAUGGCUAGGAGAGCCAGUGAGUCAACAGCUACAGUUCCUAAUACUGAAAGGGUUGUUAUUGUGGCCCCGACUACUAUUAAGUCAAUCCCUAUUGAUGGGACGAUUGCUGAUGAGAGUGGGACCCAACUUAAGGGCCUACAUACUGAUGUUGAUACUCCGGUGCCCUAAGCGCCUAGGUAUGACCCUAAUUCGUACUCUAUCUUAUUUUUUAUAGCACUGAGGACAAUGCAAUAUUCUUGAGUUGGGGGUGGAAGCACCAAAAAUUUUGGGAGCAGAUUGAAAUUUUCAGAUAUAGCUACAACUAAAAUUCUGUUAUGACUUGCAAGUUUAAUGCAGGCAGCUGAGAUAAGGAGUAGAUCAGUGUGCCUAUGGAAGUAGAGAUUUUUUAUUUUUUUGAUUAAGAGUAAUGGCUUUUGAUUAAAUUUCUGAUUUGUGAUGUAUUGAAAGAUUUUGAUUCUAUUUUGAGUUUUACUUUUUUCUUGAGGAAACAACACUACUGACUUUUUGAAAUGCUAUUGUGAAAAGUGGUGUUAACGUUGUGCUGAAAAGAAUCAAAAAUGAUUGAAAAUAUUGAACCGCCUCGAAAAUUUUGUUUAAGUAUUUGCAUGAUUUAUAUAUUUGUGUAAGAUUGUUGAGUAUCUGAUAAUGGCAUUAGGAUUAGGGAUGGUAUAGAUCAUGAAAAAACAAUUUCAUAGUUGGUUAACUAGUACUUAGUAGUGUAGCCCUGUGCAAGUGUGCAUAUAAGGUUUACUGAGUUCUCGGUUAUGUGGGAAUCUAAAACUUUCUCGGUUUCUUUUACCUAGGUCUAGGGUGGUUAAGUAGGAGAUGAUCAUAGGCCAUUAUUGUAUGAGUCCACUUGAUCCUAAAAUACCUUAACCAAAGGAAUAAAUCCCCUUGAUCCAAAUGUUUGAGCCUUUAUAGACCAAUUUUUCUUGUUACACCGAUCACCUUCUCAUUUAACUUACAAUGAACCUGUUUUAGCCCUGGUCCUCUUAUGGACACUGCACACCUCAACUCAGGCAAAUCGCCUAAGUUAAGGGUGGUAUUAUAGGGGUACGUAAGAGAAAACCUAGAAUAAAGAAAAAUGUGUAUAAGGGAAAUAGUUGAAACAUGGGUAGGUGUGAUGUAAAGAAAAGAAAGAAAGGUACAAGGCGUAGAAAAAGAAAAAGAAUAAGAAAAAUAAGCGCUAGAAAGCAACACCUGACCCAAGUGGAAUGUGCUUAGAAGAAAAAAAGAGACAUAAUGGUGGAAAUAAAUGAAGUCAAAUAUAGUAAAUCUCGGGAAGUGCGUAAUGUCCAGGAGGCUUAGUCACUUUAAAUAUCCAUACAUAUCAUACCAGCCCCAAGUCUAUGUUACAAGCCAAAUAAAGUCCUAUAGUGAUCAUACUGUGACUGUCUGACAACUUAGGAAAAGAGCAUAAGGGCAAGCUUAUGGUAUUUUAUGCACACCGAUGAUACUUCUUUAUGAGAGAGAGAGAGAGAGUCAUUUGUAUAUCCCUGAUUAGAGUAGUCUAUCCAUGAAAAGUGAAUGGGAUUUCUUUGACUGUGAGUGCACAUGGGUUAUAUUGUCAGGUUGCUAGAUUGUUUGAUGAAUGUAAAGUAUGUCUAUGCCCAAGUGUCUAUUUCUAAUGUAAUUCCAUCAUCGGAUUCCUUCAUGUUUCUAGAUGUGCUAAAUUGUUAUAUGCAAACUUGAAGUUGAAAAAAAUUGGAAAAUUAAGAAGAAAACAACAAGAUUGAAAUUUAAUUCAAUAUCACUGCUAUGGGUUUGCUUGAGAUCUUCAUGUUUAAGCAUCGGCUCUAUGCUAGAAAUUAGUAAUUUGGUUUUAUUUGCCUGAGGACAUGCAAAAGUUAAAUUGAGGGUGUUGAUGUGGCGUGUAAACACAACACUUUUGAUGCUUAAAACCGCGAUUUUUUUGCAUCAACUUAGGGUAUUUUGUUGGAUAUGAUGCACUUUGGUGUUAAUUUCAGGUAAAACAGAUCUACAUCAGUACUUGAACAAAAAGAGAUGAAAAAGAUCUAAAAAAGACCAACUUCGAUUAGUAUACAAGUCUGUGCUUGAGUCGUAACCAAUCGAUAUGUCUUGUAUACUAGUCGCAUGAAUAACAUAACCAAAAGCUAAACUGAGGAGCCAAGUAUGAGGAAGAUAUGACUCAAGUACCCCAGUCGUAAACCAGGGUACGAGUCAUAUGUAGAAUUCAUGAGCAUAACAAAACUUGAGCUACUACCCAGGAGUUGAAGUGUCAGAGCUAUGCGAUUCGAAAGUCUGAGUACGACUCGUAUAGGUAUGUCGUAUACAAACCCGUGUUCAAGACUUGGAAAGGAAAAAGUCCUAGGUGAAUACGGAUAAAGAAAAUGAGUCUAUACUCAGGUACGACUCAUAUGAAGAAAUCGUAUGCUGAACAGAGAGUUGAAGACUUGGGUAGAUCAGAUACUGGAACGGAUACGACAAGGCAGGGUACGACCCGUAAGCUGUGGAUAUGAGUGAAGAUCAAGUCGUACCAAUUGCUGACUUAACUUUACCUUUCUCAUUUUUAAUAGGAUUUUCAUGUUAUUUUGAGAUACUACAAAUACCCUAGGGUUUAUAUUUUAUUAGGUUACUCAUUGUGACGUUCUUUUACAUGUUAUUACACAUUAUUACAUACUUUUACAAUUUUUCUUGAGAUUUUAGGGUUUAUUCAAUUAAAGACUUAAGAGUUUAUUCAUCUUACUCUUGUGCAAUUGAUUUUAUGUGUUCUUCAUUGAUAAUCAUGGUUUCUUGCACAAACAUGAGCGGCUAAUCUCCUUAGCUAGGGUUAUGGGAACCCUGGCAAAUUAGUUACGUAAAGGAAGUGUGAGACUCAAUUGUUCUAGGGUUUCUACAUGUAUCUUAAUCCUUCUUUAUAAUAAUUAGCCUCAAGUAGCUGCAGUAUCUUGAGAUUCCCUGUAUUCGCAUCCACUCGAUAACUAGGAACUUAUGAUUGGGGAAAAAAUAUUAAGACAGUGAUAUGAUAACCAAGUAUACCAGAGGUCGUAGCAAGGGGCAACAAGGCGACACUUCGAGAUGUCAAGUUGAGCUUAUAGUAGAGCUAUUACAAGCAGCAGAAACCUAGAGUUAGGUUCAUUGGAGUUUGUAAACAAGAGUGAUUAUAGUGGACUGUUUGGGUGCUUAUGAGUGCCAGUUGUGGUUUUUCCUCCCUUGAGCAAGGGGAUUUUCAUGUUAAAUCUUGUGUACUUUACUCUUCCUGCAUUGUAUUGUGUUCCUGGUUGCUUAACUGUAUUUUUGCCUAUGAUUGACUUUAAAGGACCUGGUCCCUUCCAGUGUGGUGCAACCCUCAGGAUUUCAACAUGUGCCUUUAACAAAACCCUAUGAAUAAAUUAUAAAAGAAAAAUGGGUGGCUUAAUAUACCGUUUGUUAUGAAGGGAUGCAUAUAAUCAUCAAGUUUCAUUUCUUCUUAAUACAAGUUACGGACGUGCUUCUUGAGAAAAACCCAAACAUAAAGUGGUGAAUCUAAAUGUUGAAUUUAUAUUGUCGAAUGAAACUUCCUUAUUCAAAUCACUCACUUUUUUAAUGAACCCAAUGUGAUUAUUGUUUUUGUGGGAUCUCAAAUAAGUAAAUCUUUAUCUUUUGCUUCUCGUAUUAUUGCUUACCUUUCUUAUCUCCUUCAUUUGAAAGAAAACUGAAUUAAAUUUCAGAAAUAAUUUUACUAUUCUGAUUUUUUGGUUUUACUUUUGCUAUUGAUUCUUGAAAGUAAUAAAAUUAAGAAGUGUUUCAUCCUCACAAGUUUAAUAUCCUAACAGUGUCGUACACAUGGAAGUGGUGCUCCUUCAUAUUCAUUUUGUUUGUGUUACAUUAGUAUCGAUCAAAAGUUUGUGUUCUAUUUUUUCCUCUCUUUCUCUUAAGUUUAUGUAAAAUUCAUUAUAUUUUUGUCGGUUUCUUGAUCAUAUGUAUAAUUCAAUAUUAUAAAUUGCUAACUACAACUCUAAUUCAAUUAUUGAAAAACUUUUGCUAUUUUUUGGUUGGUUUAGAAAUUUUAGUGGUAGAGAUGUUCUUAUAAUUACCUUUUCGAUGAGCUUUGAAGGUGCAAAUUAUAAUAAUUUCAAGUUUAUAUUAUAGAAGAAUGUUCAGUUGGACUUUGAGAAUUUUUUUAUGUAAAUGUUAAGAUUAAUUGUAUUGUUCUAAUAUUUAUUACACUGUUCUUUUAUUAUUUAUUGUUUUUCUACUUAAUUAAUACAGGUUGUUAGUGUUUCGAAUUGAUUGAUUCAAAAAAGUUUUUAGUUGUAUAAGGUUGAUCGGAUAAGAGUUCAAAUUGUUCAUAUCUGAAUGUUGAAUAUAAUAAAUUAUAAAUUUUUUUAUUGGGGAAGAACAUGAGGUAACCAAUUCACAUGUUCUGGUUUCAUAUAUCAAUAUAGAAGUUUUAAGGAAGAGCUGAUAACGCAUUAGUAACGCCACAUACAUUCCAAAAUGUAUAAGACCAACUUAGCAUCGACGAAAUCAUCUAAACUAGAGAUAGGUAUUUGAGCUUAUAGUUAAAAGGUAAGUGUUAAGUGGCCGGAUCAAGAUUUUGGGAAAAAACAAGAUAAAAUAAAUGAGGUACUUGCUUGACGUAAUUAAGCUAGUAGGUUCAUCACGUACUUUGACUAUUGGACCAAAUUGAGGCAUAUAUUAUUGGACAUUUUUAAGGCCCAAAUUAAGUGAAAGGAAAAGGGAAGGAUAUCAAGCCCAAUACCUAAUCUAUUUAAUGCCCAAACGUUCAUCCCAAUGCCCAAUCUAUUUAAGGUCCAAUAUGGUGUGAUCCAAUUAGAAAUGAACCAAGUAGGUGCAUCACCUACUUGGACUUUUUGGGCAGCUUAAAUUGCCAAGUAGAUGCAUCACCUACUUGGACUAUUUUGACCAAAAUAUGGCUAAGAAUAGGCAGAAGAAGCAGUCAAGUAAGGAGUUUAAAAGGUCCAAAUUAGUUUAUUUUCUCUUCAUUCUUACUUGCGAAAAAAUUUGAUUAUAAUUAGAUCUCUCUCUCUCUUUUCUCUCAACCCUAAAAUAGCUGCCUAUUUUCUCUUCUAGGGUUCUUGAAGAAAACCUUCCCUUGCAAGACAAGGUAAGUGAAAACACUUAUAGUUUAGUUCAAUUCUUAUUUAAGAGAUUAUGGAAAUCAUGUUCUUUGUGUUUAAAAGUAUAGGAAACCCUCUCCAAACUUGGAAGUCCAACUAUUUCUUAAAUUUUAAGAGAUUUAUCUUCUUCUUUCGAUUAAACAUGAAGAGAAGUUUAAAGUCGUAAAGAACCUAAGUUAAGAGGAUAAAAUUCCAGAAUUCUGAGGUAAGGAUCUGCCCCAAUUUUGUCCCUCUUUAUGUAUGUUUUGAUGGAGGAUUUUGUAUGUGAUUUUAUUUAGAUCUCAUAGGGUGGUGAUUGGAAAUAUUCUCCUGUUACGCUAAAAUGAAUUUACUGUUUUAGGUUAUUUCUUGUAUACUAUUGUGGGGAGAAUUUAGAUGGACUUAUAUAGUGGUUUUACUAAGGUGGAAAUGAAGGGUGUGAACUUAGGAGAAUGGUCUGGUGAUCUACUAAUAUUGGGCCAGUCACAAAGUGCCCUCUUUAGCUUUAAUUGUGAGAUUAGAUUAUUAAAUAUAAUGUAGAUAAAACUCACGCGCCGAUAGCUAUGUUAUCCAUGAGUUCAUAUCACAGGUUAAUUAUGAGGUACUGUUUUGUAUUAAUAGAAUAGGGGGGUAUAUCUGAAAAAGUGAGAAGUCAUGGAAUCCUUAUAAAGGAUAGAAAUAUUAAAUGUUGUGGUGGUACACCACAAUUUCAUGAGCUUACUGACCACACACUCUUGUACACUGUUUUAUAUGUGUAAUAAAGCCAAAGAAAUGUCGGAGAACCUUAUAAGAAAGUUGUAUGGCAUAUAGAUAAGAUUAGAGAAGAAGAGACUGAAAGAAGCACCAUUGAUUUUAUAACUAGGGGCUUAGUGCCCGGCUACUAUUUUGGUAAGGUUAGGUAUUCCAAAAAGAAUUAAUUAGCUAUUAAUACUAGUUUUACAACUUACCAUAUUGUAGAUAAGUAAUUUGAAGGGAAGAAGGUCAAUUCAUGGUAAUAUCUAAAUGCGCGGGAAGGUAUGUAAGGCUAAUUGAUUUUCUAAUUCUUUGGCAUGAAUCUGACACAUUGUGUUAUAAUAUAAGCUUUCUAAAUGCUCUAGGUAGCACAUAAUAUGUAGUGGCGGUAUAUGAUUAAGCAAUGUGUCUAAUGAUCAUAUUCCCACUCCUUAGUGUUUUAAAGUACUUCAAUAUGAGUUUAUUACUAGAUAUAUGUGCUUACUCUACCAAGGCUUAAAUCAUUUCAUCAUUAAAACAUAAACUAUUAUCAUAUGUUUCCCUUACAUGAGUCAAUUAGAUCCUAGAAUACAUAUGGUAGGUAUGUUCAUUUAUUGGGCACAUAAUCAGCCUACUUUCUAUUAACUUGAUUCAAUUGGUCUAUCUAAUUAUACAUUUCAUUCUCUCAUAUGUUUACAUGUUCCUUUCAUUAGGUAUCAUUCAUAUUGUCUUUAUCUACAAUCUUAGCUCACACACUCCUUAAUUGUUCCAUUAAAAAGUUUGGAUGUCUUAACUUGGGAUAUGUAUUUUCCCCAUGUUAAAUCUGUCCAUGUGCUUUAUUAGUUCCCAUGUUUAUGUAACCCUUUUAUUUGAUAUCAUUUACCAAGUAUUUUGCCAUCAUAUCAUUGACUAAAGUCCAUAUCUCUUGGCUUGAUAAGUUAAAUGUCUCCACUUGAUAUGUAUUUCAAUUUGAGCUAUCAAAAGCUUAUUGCAUCACAUAAACUCAUAAGUAUUACUUUGGUCUGAUAGUUGAUUUACAUGUCAUUGUUACUACCUUAAGUCCAUAAUCAUAUGUCUCCUACUAUGGUUGGUUAUCCCAAAGCUAAUACUAUGACCUCCAAAAUAACAAUCUCAAGGAUUAAAAAAGUGAUGGAAAGUAAAUAUACUUAUAUGUGGGUGGUAGCUUACGGGCAAAAGCCUAACAUGGGCAGAUCCCAAUUCAUGGAUUUAUAGGUGGUAUCCUUAGGGUGGAAGGAACACCUAGCAUAGAUUGAUCCCAUUAUCGGGUGGUAUCCCAGGGGUGAAAAAAAAUCCUAGCAUGGGUUGAUCUCAAUUUGUAUAUUGAAGAGGAACAUAUCCCAGGGGUAUAAUGCCUAGCAUGGGUCAUCCUAUUUUGCCACUGAUCAGCUGGUCAUAUGUGUCACAUGGCUUAUAAAGAUUAUUAAGCAAAGAAGAGUAGAGUAAAGAAAAGCAUGUAACGUACAGUCUUCCACAAGUGUAAGUAAAGGUGGUCGUUCAUCCUUAUCUAUAUAUUUAUAUAUUGAUCCCUGAUUUCAUUGAUUUCUUAUUUCACGUAUAGUUAUCUCAUGCCUUACAUAUUCAAUACAUUACUUCAUACUGACGUCCCUCAUAGGGGACCAGCAUUCUAUGUUGCGGGCGUAGUUUCUUAGCUAGUUGAUCUCCCCAAUAGAAGCACGGGAUACUCAGCGGCUAUUGGUAAGGUCCAGGUUGAUUUGGGGCCUUGCUGAGUCUUUAGUAUAUAUAUUUUAAUGGUUUCACAGUCAUGGAUUCCAUUCGAGUUUUUGUAGACAUUGUAAAGCAGUCCUAUGUAUUCAUAAAUUCAUAUGUCAUCUAUAUCGGUUUGGUUAAUUGGUUGGUAUUAUAUAUACUUCUUAUCAGCAAUUUCAUUUGUAUAGUGAUUCACUUUCUCAUCUAGUUUAGUUUUAUAGUAUGUGUUCCUAUAGUUAUUGUCCAUCUCAUCCAGUAUUGGGGUGUGACAAAAGUGGUAUCAGAGCAGUUCAUCCUAGAGAGUCUAUAAAGCCGUGUCUAGUAGAGCCUUACUUAUGAAUGUGUUGCGCGACAUAUUUAUAAUUAGGGGGCUACUUGGAUAUUCAGGAAUGUUGCUUUCUUUCAUUAGCUAGAUCGUGCGAUAGAGCAAUGUUAAGAAUUCUAUUCCCACUUGUACUCUGAUCUCUCAUAUUCAUACUAUGCCUACUAUAGCUAAAGUCAAUGGUGGAAAAAAGGCCAGCACCACUAAUGUCCAAGAAGAGACUUACAAUGAAGGGUCUUAAGUUAUCAAAAUUCAGAUUAAGGUGAGCCAAUUUAGUCCAACCCUCACGGCCCAUAAUAGUGUAAUAUUUUUUGUGUUACUUGCACAUAAGGUUGGAUUUGUACUAUUUGUAUUGUCCUUGUUCAUUUGAGCAAGAUAUAAGAGGGUUGUUAAUAUUUUAUAUAAUAAAUGUUACCUUAUUCAUAAAGAUUGGCUGGAAUGUUUCCUAGUUUAACUUAUUAAGAGGAUGUAAACGGUUCUUGGGUCUGAGGCUUCCUCCAUAUGACUCCUUCAAUAUAUAUAAUUUAAUCCUACGAAGGAUAUCUAGUACCUUGUUAGUAAUUAUAUAGGGCUUUAGAGUUGCACGCAUUUUGAAAAUAGAAUCUCCUGAACUAAUUUUGUAUUAGUUGAAAGAGGCUAGUAGCAUGGUCUGAAAGGUGAACCUUUCAAUGUGAUAGUAUUAUUAGGAAUACCCCUAAUUUGUUGAUAAGGACCAAACACCUACUAGAUAUCAUUCUAGAUUUUAGUAAUUAUCUCUUUAUAAGGUAUGUGUGUAUGACCACCCCAAAUAGGUAAUAAAAAUAUGCAAUCCUUUUUGUUGUUAGAAAACUCUAGGAUAAGCAUUUCCAAUUGUUCUAUAUAAGAGUAUAUGUAAACUUGUUUUCUAUGGUUCUAUGUUUUGGUUAUAUUAGAUUAGUAUACGACUACAACUUAAGGUCAAAAAAGGGAUAUUGACUGGUUAGGCCUAAGUUGUGAUUAUCUAGGCUAUUUUACUUACUAAAAUAUAUAAAGCGAGCAGUUUUGGUCAAAAGGGUAUUUUUCAGACAUGAAUCAGGUAAGAGUGACACUCAAAUGACUCAAUAUGAAUCCAUGUUUUGAUGCCUAGACUUAUUAAAUGCAAGAAUAGAGAGGCGAUCAGAAGAUAUUCACUUGACCUAACCUAUCAUUUAAGGAUGCAUCUGUAUUUUCCCUAUUAAAAUAAGAGAUAGUUUGUUAUGCAUAUGUAUAGGGUUCUGAUGGCUUAUUAAAAUUGUCGUGAAGUAUAAAGUCCCAUUUGUUCACUUGACUUCCUGAUAUGGCAAUUCCCUUAAUGCAUAGCUUAUUUAAAUUGCUCGACUAAGGGUAUCAGAUUUCCAUCUCUUUUUAAGGCACGAGUUUUUAUCCCUAAGUUGUUAUGGAAAAAUUAGUUAUCAUGGAUAGACCUAUCUAGUUAAGCUCAAAGUAAUUAACCCUCAGGUAUUUUAAAAUCAUGAUAUAAUUUUACAUGUACUUGACAUUUAUGUGUGACUUGCCGUAAAUAAGAGUUUAUAUGUUAUAGUGUCUUUAAAUUUCUCAAGUAAUUUGCUUAUUUGAACUUUCAUAUAGUACUAAACAUUGGUUUAAUGAUGACCUAGGUCAGUAGCAAAUAUAAGAUUGACCUCGACCUCUAUUCCUACAAAUUGACUAUUAAGGAUUUCUUUUCUAUCAUGGCCCUAGUGUUUACAUUGACCCAGAAGGAAACACCAAUAAGGAGAAUUCAUAGGAGAUUAGAAACAUAAUAUGAGGAAAUCAAUUACAUAUGUUCUAAGGUGAGUAAAGAACACGAGCAGAACUAUGCCACCAGUGAUUUAGCAUUAGCGGUAGUAUGCUUGCAAAUUAAUAGGGUAGAGUGACCCCAUAAGAUGUCUCUUAGUUUCCAAAGAAUAUGGUCUGUUAUAUAAUAUAUAUACUACAUGUUCUAUAGCUUGUCUAUUGUUAGGUCAUAUGUCUUUUGUGGGCUAUUUUCUCACUUAUAACAUAUGUCAUAGAAUACUUACGUAUAGAUGUUAUCUGCUUCACAGAAACCUCGUUUAUUGCUAAUUUAUUUCAUAGGAAUUUGCCCUAUAUGUAUGUUAUUACACCAAUUAUUUACCUCAAAUCACAUGUCCAUAUUUGCAUCACAGAUUAAUUUGAUCGUGUGCUAUAAGCAUAGGAAUUAGUGCUCAUGUGUUAAGUAUCACCUAUAACUUACCUAUAUGUUAUACUUUUAUAAGACCAUUUGCUUAUAUAUGUUGCAUUCCUCAUAGCCUACUUGCUUUGUAUAUUAUUCAUGUGUUAGUCUAGUCCACUUACGCAAUGUGAUUUGUGUUUUAUAGCUCACUUUCUUACAUUGCUUGAUUCUUAUAGGCCAUUUGUUUAUAUAUUGUUAAAUUAUCAUAACUUAGUCCUUUGCAUUAUGUGCUCAUGUAGUCCAUUUUCCCAAUGGGUUAUUCCACUUGCUCGCAUACUAUAGGUCUUUUAAUUCACCUAACUAUAUGUUACAUGUCUCAUUCAUUUGCUCAUAUGCUACUUUAUGGUUCAUAUGCUCAUUUGCUAAAUGCUUUAAUAUCUUUCAUUCACACAAAUCACAUAUUUCUAUAACUCAAUUAUCUAUAUGUCAUAAGCUUAUUAGGUUCAUACAAUUAUAUUUUAAGUGCUCUUUUGUGCUAAGCUGUUUGUGUGUCAUAGAUUCAAUGUCACUUAUCUACAUACUAUAUUCCCCUCUAUAUUUAUUAAUGUGAGUAUUAACAUGUUUGGAUAAAGUUUCCUCAUAUUGGGAUAUAAUGAGAAUAGUGUCUAGAAAAGGAUGGGCAUAUGAGUGAAUCUAGUAUGAAACUUACUCAUAGGUAAGUGGCUUAGUCUAAUAACCUAUUCAGAGGUGCGACACAAAAUGUUAGUUUUAUGUUGCAACUAUUUGCUCUUAAAAGAUUCUUCUAUGAGAUAAAAUAUAGAAUGAAAGGAAAGUUGAGCCCCAAUAUGUUAGGCCUUAUUAAAUUAUAUAGAUAACUGGCUAAGAAGCCUAUGAUUUCACGUGCCCAUUUUACAAAAAUUUGUGGGAGAUCCAUUCUUCAUUGUGCUCCCUUAAUGAUAAUAAAGGACCACGGAUCUACCAUGUAAGUAAGUCCCCAUAACCAUUCCUAAUUACUAGGAUGGGAAGUUAGGGACAAAAGGUUUACCUCCAUCGAAGUAUUGUUGAAGAACUAGGAUAUAGAAUAAGCUACUUGGGAAUAGAAGACGGUAGAAAUUCUAAAUCUCCCUCCUCAUUCCAAAAUCACCGAGAGGAACUUAGAUCAUGUGCUCCCCUAUAUGAUCUUAAGUUAUACUAGCAUUUGUUCAUUUGAUAUUCCAUCUGCAUGUCAUGUGUUCAAGUAUAUUAAAUUCCAUAAUUCAAUUGUUCUACUUGUUAAAAACUGUUUAUAGAGGAAAUGAGGGAAACCACAUUAUCUAAGAUAGUCUUCAUUAAAUUACAUGGUCAAGGAAGGGGUUUUAUUUAUCAUAUUGUCAUUUCAUGUGUUAUGUCUAUUGAGAUACCCUGUGAGUCUUGUCUAUACAUCCUUUUGGAUAGCCUACAGAUUUUGUACAGUCUUAUUUACAAAGGAAACUCUAGAAAAUUUUCUUGGGUAACUCUAGGGUUAAUCAAGUCAUUAGCUAUACCUCUUAUUAUAAUCCAAAGGUGGGGAUGAUGUAACUCCCCGUACAUUCCAAAACGUACAAGACCAACUUAGCAUCGACAAAAGUAUCUAAACUCGAGAUACGUAUUUGAACUUAUAAAAGGUAAGUGUUAAGUAGAGGGAUCAAGAUUUUGAAAAAAAAAUCAAGAUAAAAUAAGUGAGGUGCUUGCUUGACGUAAUUAAGCUAGUAGGUAACAAGUAGGUGCAUCACGUACUUUGACUAUUGGACCAAAUUGAGGCAUAUAUUAUUGGACAUAUUUAAGGCCCAAAUUAAGUGAAAGGAAAAGGGAAGGAUGUCCAUCCCAACACCUAACCUAUUUAAGGCCCAACUGUCCAGCCCAAUACCUAAUUUAUUAAGGCCCAAGAUGGUGUGAUCCAAUUAGAAAUGAACCAAGUAGGUGCUUCACCUACUUGGACUUUUUGAGCCGCUUAAAUAGACAAGUAGGUGUAUCACUUACUUGGACUAUUUUGACCAAAAUAUGGUUGAGACUAGGUAAAAAAAAGGCGGUCAAGUAGGGUGGGGGGUUUAUAAGGUCCAAAUUAGUUUAUUUUCUAAUCAUUCUUACUUGCUAAAAAAUUAGAUUAUAAUUAGAUCUCUCUCUCUUUCUCUCAAGCCUAAAAUAGCUGCCUCUUUUCUCUCCUAGGGUUCUUGAAGGAACCCUCCCCUUGCAAGUCAAGGUAAGUGAAAACACUUAUAGUUUAGUUCAAUUCUUACUUAAGAGACUGUGGAAAUCAUGUUCUUUGUGUUUAAAAGUGUAGGAAAGCCCUCACCAAACUUGGAAGUCCAACUAUUUCUUAAAUUUUAAGAGAUUUAUAUUCUUCUUUCGCUCAAACAUGAAAAGAAGUUUAAAGUUAUGAAGAACCUAAGUUAAGAGGAUGAAAUUCUAGAAUUCUGAGGUGAGGAUCUGUCCCAAUUUCGUCCCUCCUUAUGUAUGUUUUGAUAGAGGAUUUUGUACGUGAUUUAUUAAGAUCUCAUAGGGUGGUGAUUGGAAAUACUCUCCUAGUACUCUAAAAUACAUUUUGGGAUAUUUUUAGGUUGUUUUGUGUGUACUAUUUUGGGGAGCAGUUGGAUGGCCUUAUAUAGUGGUUUUACUAAGGUAGAAAUGAAGGGUGUGAUCUUGGGGAAUGGUCUGGUGAUUUAAUAAUAUUGGGACAGUGACAAAGUAUCCUCUUUACCUUAAAUUGUGAAAUUAACUUUUUAAAUAUAAUAUAGAUGAAACUCACGUGUCGAUAGCUAUGUAAUCCCUGAGUUCAUAUCACAGGCUAAUUGUGAGGUACUGUUUUGUAUUAAUAGAACAAGGGGUUAUAUCUGAAAAGGUGAGAAGUCAUGGAAUCCUCGUAAAGGAUAGAAACAUUAAAUGUUGUGGUAAUACACCACCAAUUGCAUGAGCUUACUAACCACACACUCUUGUACACUAUUUUAUAUGUGUAAUGACGCCAAAGAAGUAUCGGAGAACCUUAUAAGAAAGUUGUAUGGUAUAUAGAUGAGAUUAGAGAAUAAGAGGUUGAAAAAAGCACCACUGAUUUUACAACUAGGGGCUUAUUCCUGGCUAUUAUUUUGGUGAGGCUAGGUAUCCUAAAAAGUAUUAAUUAGCUACUAAUACUAGUUUUACAACUUACCUUAUUGUAGAUAAGUAAUUUGAAGGGAAGAAGGUCAAUUCAUGGUGAUAUCCAAAUGUGUGACAAGGUGUGUAAGGCUAUUUGAUUUUUUUAUUCUUUGGCAUGAAUCCGACCUAUUUUGUUAUAAUGUAAGCUUUCUAAAUGCUCUGGGUAGCUCAUGAUAUAUAGUGGCAGUAUAUGAUUAACCAAUGUGUCUAAUGAUCUCGUUCCCACUCCUUAGAGUGUUAAAGUACUUCAAUAUAAGUUUAUUACUAAAUAUAUGUGCUUACUCUACCAAGGCUUAAAUCGUUUCAUCAUUAAAACAUAAACUCUUGUCAUAUGUUUCCCUUACAUGAGUCAAUAAGAUCCUAGAAUACAUAUGGCAGGUAUGUUAAUUUGUUGGGCACACAAUCAGGCUAUUUUCUGUCAACUUGCUUCAAUUGGUAUAUCUAAUUAUAUACUUUAUUCUCUCAUAUGUUUACAUAUUCCCUUCAUUAGGUAUCACUCCCAUUGUCUUUCUCUACAAUCUUAGCUCACACACUCCUUAAUUGUUCCAUUAAAUAGUUUGGAUGUCCAAACUUGGGAUGUAUAUUUUUCCCAUGUUAAAUCUGUCCAUGCGCUUUAUUAGUUCCCAUGUUCAUGUAACCCUUUCAUUUGAUAUCAUUUACCAAGUAUUUUUCCAUCAUAUCAUUCACUAAAGUCCAUAUCUCUUGGAUUGAUAAGUUAAAUGUCUCUACUUGAUAUGUAUUUCAAUUUGAGCUAUCAAAAGCUUAUGCGUCACAUAAACUUAUGAGUAUUAGGUUGGUGUUACUGUUUAUUUCCAUGUCAUUGUUACUACCUUAAGUCCAUAAUCAUAUGUCUCCUACUAUGGUUGGUUAUCCCAAAGCUAACACUAUGACCACCAAAAUAACAAUCUCAAAGAUUAAAGAAGUGAUGUAAAGUAAAUAUACUUAUAUGUGGGUAGUAACUUAGGAGUAAAAGCUUAGCAUGGGACGAUCCCAAUUCAUGAAUUUAUGGAUGAUAUCCCAAGAGUGGAAGGAACAACUACCAUAGGUCGAUCCCAUUAUCGGGUGGUAUUCCAGGGGUGAAAGGAAAGCCUAGCAUGGGUCGAUCCCGAUUUAUAUAUUGAUGAGGAAUGUAUCCCAAGGGUAUAAUGCCUAGUAUGGGUCAUCCACUUUUACCACUGAUCAACUGGUUAUAUGUAUCACAUGGCUUAUAAAGAUUAUAAAGCCAAGAAGAGUAAAGUAAAGAAAAGCAUGUAACAUACAGUCUUCCAUAAGUGUAAGUAAAGGUGGUUGUUCAUCCUUAUCUAUAUAUUUAUAUAUUGAUCCCUGAUUUCAUUGAUUUCUUAUUUUAUGUAUGGUUAUCUCAUGCCUUACAUAUUCAUUACAUUACUUUGUACUGACGUCCCUCACGGGGGACCAACAUUCCAUGUUGUAGGCACAGGUUCUUAGCUAGUAGAUCUCCCCAAUAGAAGCACGGGAUACUCAGCGGUUAUUGGUGAGGUCCAAGUUGAUUUGGGGCCUUGCUGAGUCUUUAGCAUAUAUAUUUUGAUGGUUUUACAGUCAUGGAUUCCAUUAGAGUCUUUGUAGACAUUGUAAAGCAGUCAUAUGUAAUUAUAGAUACGCAUGUCACCUAUGUCGGUUUGGCUAAUUGUUUGGUAUUGUAUAUACAGCUUCUUAUCAGCGAUUUCAUUUGUAUAUUGAUUCACUUUCUCAUCUUGUUUAUUUUUAUAGUAUGUGUUCCUAUAGUUAUUGUCCACCUCAUCCAGUAUUGGGGUGUGACAGUAUUAAUAUUUAUUUUUAAACUUGAAUAGGUUAGCAACCUUUGACGAAUUUGGUUUUAGACCCUUCACCCCAGCAAGAGUUAGUUUUUUUUUUUUAUAAUAGUACUAAAGAAAAUUUGAAAUCUUUUAAAAGACUCUUUGGAUACUUUUUCAAAAGUUUUGAGCAGAAAAAGCAAAAACAAUUCAUAGUCUGCAAGUCAAAUCAAAUUUGUAUUAAAAUAUUUGAUAUUUUUGAAUACUAUAACUUAUUUUAUCAAAUGACUCCAAGAAUAUAUGGGACAAGAUAAAUAUAUAUAUAUAUAUAUAUAUAUAUAUGAUCGUGUAAAAAAUUAGAUUUUUAUAAUUAGAUCUUUCAUUUUUCAGAUGGGUGAGAAGAAGGAAAACGGGUGUUCAUCGAUGGGGCUGCAACUGUAUCCAUGUGAAGAACACAAGGAAGAUAACUAUGAGUACUUGGAGUCAGAAUUGGAGUUCAUCCCUCUAUUAUAUGAUUUUCUUAAGUGACAUCUUUCAAGCAACUUUUGUAAUUCAUUACAAGACAAUAUAGUCCAAUACAUGAAUGAAAUUCUCAUUUGCCAUUCUCCUCGAUCCAAGCGCAUUUCACCUAUAGAAACAAAGAUAAAAUAGGCAGAAGAUCAUAUAAAAUAUAAGCCUCCACACACUGUGUUAUAUACCAUGCACACAACAAAUUUCUUUGGGCCUUCAUUUAUUAAGGCAAUCAGUGAGAACUCAAAGGAAAGUUGCAAAAGUAUAAUAUCUGAACCAUCUCCAGGUGUUAUAAUAUCUGAACCAUCUCCAAGUGUUCUAACAUUUGAAAUACUUCAAACAUAUUUUUGUGAGAUAUUGUUGGAGGAGGUAGAAAACUAUGAAAAGUAAAUUCGUGAAACAAAAUUCAGAAUCAUGUUUCCCAACUCAAUGAAAGAAUAUGGAGUUGUUCUUGAUGACCCUAGCCUUCAAACUACGCUUCAAAAAUUUGUGGAAUAUUUUAUACGUCCUAUUUCAAGAUUUUAUUUUAUUGAAGUUGGUGGGUCGACACUCGAUAGCAACCAUAGUUUUGUCGUUGAGUAUGGAACAGACAGAAAUGUUGACUUGGAUUUCUAUGUUGAUGAUGCCAAAGUCACAUUGAAUGUGUGCUUCAAAAAAUAAUGCACUGGUGGAGAGCUAUUCUUUCGAGGUGUGCAGUGCGAAAAAAAUACAAACACUAAAACACAUCAAAGGAGAUAUUCGAUCAUUUGCAGGUUCUAGGGCAUGCAAUUCUUUAUUGCGGUCGGGAUAGAUAUGGUGCUAGAGCAAAAAUAUUUGGAAGGCGGAUCAACUUGUUGAUAUGGUAGAAAAGUUCCAUCUUUAGAGAGAUAAUGAAGUACCAAACAGAUUUUCUAUCUGGUGUUCAGAGUGCAAGCAUGGCAAGAAAGAAAGAAUGCGACAAAAGCUUUCGAUUCUCAAAAUUUCAUCUAUAUCGUCAUCAUGAUUUUUAGAUUUACUAUUAGCUUCUAAUCCCUUGCAUUUUACACCCCAAAGUGUCUUCCUUUCUUUAAUUUGCACCCUAUCCUAUUUAUUUUUACAAUUUACACCCUAACCUCUUGGGUCCCUUGCAUUUUACACCCCAAGAUGUCUUCCUUUUUUUAACUUACAUCCUAUCCUAUUUUUUUUUUUACAAUUUACACCUUAACCUCUUUAUUUCCUUACAAAAUAGUAAAAUUAUUUUUUAAUGAGGGCAAAAUAGGAAUAACAAUAUACUCCCUACAUUCUAUUUUACUCGUUCCAAUUUGACAUUGCACAUUGAUUAAGAAAAAUAAUUAAUAACAUGACUAUUUUACCAUAGUAACUUUAUUAAAUAAUGUUUACAUUUUAAUUUGGAGAUAAAACAAUUAAUACUAAGGGUAAAAAAGGAAAAAAAUUGCCUUGUCUUGAUUAAUGAAAAAUAAAAAGUAAAAUAAGAAAUCGAAUUAGGAAAUUUGGAACGAAUAAAAUGGAACGGAGGAAAUAUUAUUUUUUAAAAUAAAUUUAUUUAAUUUUUAGUGUAACGAACUUUCAAGAUAUGUUCUUGCAUUUACAUUUAUCAUCUAACUAUUGUCAUGUGAUAAGUAUUCUCACUUUAAUUUGUAACUGCUAAAAUUUCGUAGUGGUGUUGCUUCUGAAUGGUGAAAGUACGGUGCAGUGAAAUUUCUGGAGCCAUAUCUAUACUAAUGCAAUCAUAAUCACAUAUGCUACCUGUCAGAAAGAAAAUAAUAACGUAAAGAAAGGACCAAAAUAUUGAGGAAAAAUGAUAGAAUAGCAAUAGUUAAGGAUAAAGCAAAAAAUAUAACACAUGAAUUGAUGAAAUUUUGUCUUUAACAAUGUCUUCCUAUAUCACUAGUUCUGCAAUAUCAAUCUUCUCUUAACUCAGAUGACAUUCGUUUGGAAUUUUCUAAAAAUUUGAGUUUGCAAAUUUUUCAUCUAACUUAUUAAAUAAAUUUAUUUUAAAAAAUAAUACUUCCUCCAUUUCAUUUUACUCGUCCCAAAUUUCCUAAUUUGAUUUUUGAUUUUACUUGUUAUUUUUCAUUAAUCAAGACAAGAAAUUUUUUUUUUCUUUUUUACCCUUAGUAUUAAUUGUUUUAUCUCCAAAUUAAAAUGUAAACAUUAUUUAGUAAAGGUACUAUGGUAAAAUAAUCAGGUUAUUAAUUGUUUUUCUUAAUCAAUGUGUAAUGUCAAAUUGAAGCGAGUAAAAUGGAACGGAGGGAGUAUAUUGUUAUUCCUAUUUUGCCCUCAUGAAAAAAUCAUUAAAAAAAUAAUUUUACUGUUUUGUACGGAAAUACAAAGGCCAGUAAAUUGUAAAAAAAAAUAGAAUAGGGUGUAAAUUAAAAAAAGAAGACACCUUGGGGUGUAAAAUAAAAGGGACCCAAGCAGUUAGGGUGUAAAUUGUAAAAAUAAAUAGAAUAGGAUGCAAAUUAAAAAAAGAAAGACACUUUAGGGUGUAAAAUGCGAGGAACCCUUGAUUUUCCAAUACCCUAUCUAUCGGUUAAAAAUAAAGAUCUUCAAUUUUCAUAUUCUAAUUACGGGGCAUUCAUAGUUUUCGGUGGCUUUGUAGCCUUUCAUGUCUGGUCUUUUUAUUCACUAGUUGACCGCUUGAUUUUAAGCAUUUUCUUCGUCAUUUCAGAUUUUUAAAUAAUUUUUUUAUUAGAUUGUUAUUAUUUAACUUAGUAUUUAUUUUGGUGGUUUCAAUGUGAAACUUUUGGUUAUUAGAUAUUUUUUUGUGGUUUUUGCGCAACUAAAAAUCAAUAAUUGGUAAUGAGUUCUCCUUUUUUCGAUAAUUAUGUGUUUUUUCUUUUAGUUAAAUUUCUUAAUUGAAAAACUGAAUCAAAACAAGCAUCGAUAUUGUCUAUAAGCAUUGGUUUUCUACUACCUUGCUAUGUCAAGUCAUUGGCUAUCAGCAUAUCCGAAGACAAAGAAAAGUACGUGCAGAGAACACUACAAAAAACAUCUUAUUGAUUUAUUUAUUUUUUCCAUCUAUUCAAAUUGUGUUUGCACACAACAACUUUCCUCUGGUCGAGAAACAGAAGUCAAUGAAACUCUUCAUUUGGAGAAAAAAUAAUAAAGCUCCAGCAUUGACUAGGUGACUAGAGGAGGAUGAACAUUAUUUAGUUGAUUUUCAUGCUCAGUUAUCUGUGCUACAAGCAUUCUCUAUUUGUGUCUCAAUUUUGCAUUUUAUGGAAACAUCAAUUGUUGUGGGACAAGAGGACAAUGUAGAAUCUUUGCAAUCCAACACGUUGAGGAUGUUUGUUCAGGAUGACUUCAAAGAAUUGAUUAAUGCGGUUAGAGAGGAAAAGAAAUAAAAUGUACACAAGAAAGUGGAGCAAGUAUUUUCAUCUUUCGUGCUCAAUCCACCAUUUUCUUCAAUAGGUCGAGUACAGUAUUGAGUGACUCCUCGGCUAGGCAUUGAAUUUGUUGCUCCAUUCUAUAUGGAGUAUAUUAUGUCAAGUUCCAUCCAGAAAUUGGAUGUUGAAUUUUUACUCCAUUUUACUUCAAUGAUGUCCGCACAAUUUUCAACAAGAUGAUCCAUAUUUUUAUAUUUUUUAUGAAAUAGUCAAAAUCUUAGAGAUGCCAGACCAUACUAUUUAUAUUGUUAGUUGGUUGAAAGGGCAUAAGAAGCUCAAUUCAAUUGUUUCAACAAUAGAAAAAAAUCAAAAAUAUAAGCUCAGCUUACUUAUAAUUUCUUUAUGAUGGCCACAAGGUGCCGAAGGAAAGAAAGUUAUAAGGAAAAUUUUGAACAUUCUUUAUAGUAUGAGUUAGUAGAAUAGUUUUGUUUGAGCUUUUUUGUGUAAUUAUACUAGUGAAAAAAAAAUAGCUCUUGGACCAUUUAAUGUAAUUGUAUCAUUUGUGAGCAUUCUUUUUUACACAGCUUGCAAUUAAAAGCUGUGUUUUCACAUGACAAAUUAAUAUAGGAUUUUCUUCUUUCUUUUAAGUCAUAAAGAGAAAGAAUUAAUGAAGAUUUGAUGCAAAUUACAAUGGAUGGAGUUGCUCCUAUGUAAUCAGAGUUCUCAAUUUUGAGUAGUGAGUAUGAAAAAAAUUCUUGAUAGAAAAUGUUACCUCCAUAUGGCUCUAUACGAUAUCAUUAUGUUCCAUAAUUUUAGUCAUUUAUUUGCCUACUUUUUCAGAUUUUUAACUUUUUUUGCACAGGCUUUACUUUUUGAAAAUCUUAAUUACUAUUGGUUUUCUUAGACAAACUUUUAGACUUGUCAUUCAUGUUGAGUUCUGACACUAUUACUUAUGGAUAGGAAAAUUUACUUGCAUGAUUUUGUGUAGCUUCGGCCCGUGAAGCUAGCUUUUCCUAUUGAAUUAGGUCUAAGGUUCAUUUAAUAUCGUGGUAGAUAGCUAAAUAUGAAAGAAAAUACAAAGAAUAAUGAUUAUGAAGAGAAGCUAGCUAAAUAUGUAUGGAGAAAACAUGAAAAAUAAUUGUUUUGAGAAGGAUCCUUUUAACUAUGAAAGAAAUGACGGCAAAAUCCCUGAUUUCACUACAAAAGCGAAUAAUGAGUCGUCCAAAAAUUGAGAUUUUUGCACUAAAGUUAAUUUUUUUGGCUGUGUAUUGCUAUCUAUUUUAUAAUUGUUUGUAUCUUGCUAUUUUAUAAAUACAGAUAUGUUUUUUUAUUGUUUCAAAACUUUAUACUGACAGAAUUGAAAUACAUGUGUAACAUACGUGUCCAGAAACUAGUUUAGUUAAAUAAGCUAGGCCAGGAAAACUAUUAUAAUUAUUAAUUUAACUGAAAAAUGAAACAUGAGUUGCUACAACAUUUUGGCAUACCAAACUCCAAAAUAAACAAACAUGUAUUGAGGAAAUUGCAAGUGUUUAUUUUUUUUUUUUUUAGAAAAAAUAGGAUCGUGCUCAAAUUUUAUGAAGAAAACUAGUUACGAGAAGCAUGUGCUUUAUUUCUAUUCUAAAUGAAUAUUAUAAUAAUAACCAUAUCAAUUAAUGUGACAUUUUUUAAAUUUUAAAAUUUAAAUAAAUUUAUUUUUCAGAGUAAUUUUUGUAUAUAUUCUCAAAAUAUUUUAAAUUAUCAAUUAUUCUGAAUUAUUAUUCUGUAAAUAUAUAAUUUUAUUUCAAAAUUUCAAUUCACAAUCAAAAUUAAACUCUAUAAAUGUAUAAAUUAAUAAAGAGUGUGAAAAACAAAAUCUGAUGGGACUAUAUUACCAUUUUUCAAAUAACAUGGGCUCAGUAUAUGUUAUUUUUUCGUCUCAAUUUAUGCGACACAAAUAGAUUUUAAAUAAUCAAUCAUGCUUUUAAUAUGAUUUUAGAUACCUUAAACUAUUAACUAUUAUAAUUUAUAAUAUAUUUUAAGUAGUAUUGAAAUAAUAUGCGUUACUCUCCAUGUCCAAAUUUUUGUGGCAUUGAUAGUCAAUUAUAUUUUAAAAAGAAUUUAAGUUUUUAAUUAUUGUGAUUUAUAAUAUUUUUCUUCUAUUCCCAUUUAAGUGACAUUGAUAUAAUUUCGAGAGUCAACCAAAUAUUUUAUAUUAUUUAAAUUUUUUAAGUUGUUACUUAUUGUAAUUUAUAGAAUUUUUACGUAUUUUUUAAAAUAUAUAUUAGAUUAAUUUCUUAUAGAUAUUUUAAGUUGUUAACUACUGUAAAUUAUAAUACAUAUUAUGUAAUUUACAAAUAAUAUAUGUUACCUUCCUCGUCCAAACUUUCGUAGCAUUAAUAGUCAAUUAUAUUUUUUAAAUAAUUUAAAUUUUUAAUUAUUGUGAUUUAUAAUAUUUUUUCUUCUAUUCAAAUUUAAGUGACAUAAUGCUUAAAUAACUAUAAUAACUAAUUAGGGGUGAUAUAAUAAGAAUCACGGUUAAAGUAGCGAAACAAAUAUAACUUAAAUGACUCACAACUACUAAUUAGAAGUGAUAUAACAAAAUUACUAUAUAAAAUACUUGUGAAAGAAAUUUAAGUGAGCCUCAUAUAAGACGUAAAGUUAACUUAAAACAUCAAAAGUUAAUUUAUCAUUUUUUUAAUGUAUUUUAUCUUUUUUAUUAGAUAUUAUUAAUUUUUUAAUAUUUGGAUGACAUAUAAUAAUUAAUUAGAGGUGAUAUGUAGUAAAAUUACGAUUGAGACAUCUAAACUGACAUGUCAUAAUUGUCUAUUUUAUUUUUUAUUAAAUCUUAUUAAUGUUUUUAAUACGUAAAUAGCUUAUAAUAAUUAAAUGAGAAUAAUAUACGCCCUCCGUUUUAAAAAGAAUAAUCUACUUUUCUUUUUAGUCUGUUUAAAAAAGAAUGACCCCUUUCCCCUUUUAGCAACUUUUAAAUUUUAACUUUUCACAUGACAUGUUUAAGAUCACAAGAUUGAAGGACAUUUUGGUACAUUUGACAUAUCUUUAAUUUAACACCAUAAGGUUCAAAAGUUUUUUUUAUUUUUUUAAACUCCAUGCCAAGUCAAACUAGAUCAUUUUUUUGAAACGAAGAGAGUAACAAAAUUACGAUUAGUAAGUUAUAACCACUAGUCAAAUACUAAUUUAUUAUCAAAAGUAUUUUUACAUUUAUUGUUCAGAUAUAAAUUGUUUCUCACCUAUAAAUUAUUUCUCACCAACAUAUUUUUUUCGAAAUUUUUUUUUAAAAUAAACUAAUUUAAAAGAUUGACCAAAUAAAUUAUAAUAAAUCAGGUAGUUUAAUUGUAUUUUACUCAUUUGUGAGAUUAUUGUUAUGAAAGAAAAAGAUAUAUUUGCACAAAAUUGAAAAAGAUAAAACGAACACUAAAGGGUCCUGAGCAAAAUCAAAAAAGAAAAGCCAACAUCAAAAGAGGGCCCAACCGGGUUCUAACCGAUGACCUCUUGAUCUGCAGUCAAAUGAUACCCCAUUGAGCUUUGGACCUGAGUGUCACCCAGGCCCCGUAUUUACCCCAGUUACUUGCCUUCAACCGACUUGUUCCCGCCUCUGUGAUCUGCAGUCAAAUGAUACCCCAUUGAGCUUUGGACCUGAGUGUCACCCAGGCCCCGUAUUUACCCCAGUUACUUGCCUUCAACCGACUUGUUCCCGCCUCUGUUUAUUCUUCCGUCUUCCUCCCUCUCAAUCUAUCAGUACUGUGAAACAGAGAGAGCAAUGGUUUCGCCGCACGGCAUCAAGCUCGCUGUUUAUCUCAUCUCUUCUUACUUUGGCGAUCUUAAUGCUGUAAUUCUCUCCGUCUUUCUCCCCGCCAUGCCAAGCUUCAUACGUGUAGAAUUUUACUUUAUUAUUUAUUUUUUAUUUUUUUGCUUUUGGGAUCUUAUAACUUAACAAAUUACUGGUAUUGAAAUUAAACGGGCCAAGUAGAAUGGGAUAGAUAUAGAUGAUUCGUGUAUCCAGCCCAACUAGUUUGAAUGAGUUCGAGGGUGAUGGUACUUGUUCUUUUAUAUUCGGUUUUGGGGGUUUUAUAUAUCUUACGUAGAAACCAUAUAGAUGUAUCUUAAUUUAGCUAAACCAUAUAGAUGUCUUGUGGUCCUUACUAUUAGUCGUACCAUUACGCUUGUAGUUUCUUGUUCCUGGCUUUUUGUUUAUAUUUGUUGUUUCAGGUAGAUCAAUAGUAAUAUUUUAUUGUAGUACUGUUUUACUGUUUUGUUACUACUAUUGUAUCUGUAUUCUCAUUACUUCUUUUUCUAGACUAUUUUAUCUUGAGCCGAGGGUCUAUGGGCCAGCCUCUCUACCUCACCGAUGAGGUAGAGAUAACUGCAUACAUGCUACCCUCCCUAGUCCCCACUUUGUGGGGAUACACUGGGUAUGUUGUUAUAGUAAAAUAAUUUGUUGAUCCCCUUUUCUUAAUUUAUCUUCUAAUAAUAUUUGCAGAAGGUUUGCGAUUGUCUGUUGCGAAGAGGAACACAACCUUUAUCUCAGAUUGUACAUUUCACAGAGUUUAGCAGAGAGAAUGUUAAGAGCUGUUUGCUCGUGCUUAUUCAUCACAAUUAUGUUCAAGCUUUUGCAGUGCAACAAAAAGGUACCAACACUAACACGGCAAGUACUACUUUCUCAUAUUACAAUUAACUAUUCAAUUUGAGUUGUCUGAUAAAUUGCCAUUUAGGUGGAUUUGGGGAGGCACCAAGAGUUAUUACACAAUACAUGGCAUUAUUUGGCAACAUAAUACAUAAAUUAAGGUUCCCUAAGUUUAUAAAGAUUGUGUCUGAGCUGGGAAAAGAGGUGCAUUUAUUGGUUUCGCUAUGUAUAAUAUUUGUUCUCCUAUCUCGAGCUGAUUAUACUUUAUGUUAAUGGUAGUGAAUGUGUUUGUAUUGUAGUGUGAAGAGAUUUUUGAAAGGUUGCUUCAACAUGGUAGGGUUGGACUCCCAGGAUGUGUGUAAGAAGGAUAGUUUUAAGUACCUUGGGUCUAUGAUCCAGGUGCAUGGUGAGAUUGAUGAGGAUAUUUCUAACCGUAUUGGAGCAGGUUGGAUGAAGUGGAGGCUCGCCUCGUGAGUGUUGUGCGAUAAGAAGGUGCUCCUUAAGCUUAAAGGCAAAUUCUAUGGAGUGGCAGUUUGUCCGGCCAUGUUGUAUGGAGCGGAGUGUUGGCUAGUUAAGCACGUUCACAUCCAAAAAUUGAAGGUGGCGGAAAUGAGAAUGUUGCGUUGGAUGUGUGGGCUUACUAAAGGAGACAGAGUUAGGAAUGAGAUUAUCCGGGAUAAGGUGGGAGUGGCUUUGUGGAGGACAAGAUGCGGGAAGGAAGGCUGAGAUGGUUUGGGCAUGUGAUGAGGAGGGGCGCGAAUGCCUCGGUUCGGAGGUGUGAGAGGCUAGCGUUGGAUGGCUUCAGGAGGAGAAGAGGUAGGUCGAAGAAAUACUGGAGGGAGGUGAUUAAACAUGACAUGGAGUAGCUUCAGCUUACUGAGGAUAUGAUCAUAGAUAGAAAGGCGUGGAGGUCGAGGAUUAGGGUAGAAGGCUAGUGUUAGUGUGUGGGUUAUAGCUAGCAGUCAGGAGAAUUCUUGUGUAGCCGGAUUUAGUAAUCAUAGGUCAGUGUACAUAGGUGUCUUUAGGAUGUGAGUGUAUGUCACUACUAGGUGGGUGUCCUAUUUUCUAUUGCUUAGUUCCUAUUUUUCUUAUUCCGUGUUGCUCUUAUUUCCCAUAUUUCUUAUUCUUGUGAUUUUAUUCUAUUAUUUCCUAUUCUUUACUUUGGUUAUGUCAUCCAUCCCCUUGUUUAUUAUCCUUAUCUUGAGCCGGGGGUUUAUCGGAAACAACCUUUCUACUUCUUCGGAGGUAGCGGUACGGACUGCGUACAUCUUACCCUCCCUAGAUCCCACGCUGUGGGAAUACACUGGGUUUGUUGUUGUUACUUCAGCAUGGUAGGCUGUCGCUCAACCAAAUUAUAGGUAGAUACAAGCAGUCAUCAAAUCAAGGUGAAACAAUAUCCUUUCUGUAGUUUUUUGUGAAUCGUCUUGCAAAUUAUGAUUGUGUUUUGGUAUCAUCAUAACUAAUUGGUUUGAUAUGCGAGUUUGAGUUCUAUUUUGGCUUUUCAUUUGUGUUUGCUUCUGUUUUCUAAGAAAGAAAAACUGAGAAGAAGGUUUUUACUGAUAUUAAGGUAAAAAAUCACUUCCUUUGAAAAUGGUUCUAAUUGAAGAUGAUUGGCAAUAAUGAACAUACUUCUUGUUUCUUAUACUUUGAAAAGCAAAAAAAGAUGUUGACAAAGAACACGUGAACAUAUUUGUUCAUAACCUCAACUUGCAUUUUUAUUUGUUUUUUGAUUAUAACUACUUGAACUUAAAGCAACAAAACUUGGGUUGUCAAUUUCUAAAAGCCUAGGCUGCACCUCUUAAACAACUUUCUUACUUUAAGAGGCCCUUGUCCCUGUCUAGGAGAUUCUAGCGUUGAUACUGCACGGGAUAGCUUCAACAGCCUAGUUAAUGCUAGAUAUGUGGAACGCUGUCCUGCCCCUGAAGCAUUUCUUAAACCACCUUCUGAAGAAGAAACUGCAGCAAAGAAACGAGGUGCUAAAUCUGCCAAGGUACAAGUUUAUAAUAUGAUGACACCUUUUGUCAAUUUUCUUUCCCAUCGAGAUACUGCUUCACUUUUAUCAAGAAGAAUAGUGCUAUCGAUAUGUUAACUGGGGUGAGGAAGGUGGAGUAGAGCAUUAACAUCCUUGUUUUAUAAAAUACUCCUAAUAAGUAAAUAUAUUGCAGAAAAAGCUGCAACUUUUUUAAGUUGGUAUUUUACUGUUCAUGUUCUUGAGUUUAUCAUUUACUGAUGAAAACAGAUUCAAGCACAAACCAUGGAACAAUGAGCCUUAGCAGCAGCAGCUCCGAUGGAAUCCUUGAGGAAUUACCUACUACAAAAAAUUUACCAAAAUCCGAAUUACCAAAGAAAAAAAUUUACAACCUAAAUAAGAUAUUUGAAAAACCUUAUGCACCACCAAAUAUCCAAAAGAAUGAAUUAUUUGUGCCCCGCAGUUAUACCCUUAUUCAGAAGCAAUUAACUAGAAGAAACAAGCUUACAACCAUUUAACCCGUGUUUAUAUUGAAAAUUUAUAUACAAUCCAAACCUUACUAAACACCAAAUCCGUCCAAGAUAUUGAGCUAGCCAAAAAACACCAAGGCUAUAUAACCCAAAAGUUACAAAAUUAUAAUAAACUUAUUGUGCUCCCAGGAAUCAGCCCAAAUUUAAUCGCUACAUGUUAUUCUUAUGGAUUAUUAUCAACAGUAUAUACAAAAGAUGAUAAAGAAUUAGCCAUGAUUCCUGAAGUACAUAAAGGAAUUAUGACAUAUAUAAAAUUACAAAAGGAAAGCUAUUUUACAUAAGAUUUUAUUCGGCCCCCGCUGAGAUACUAUUUGAUGAAAUUAAACCAGUGAUUACAGUAGUAAAAAUUGGUAUGACAAGAGACUACAUUAUACCAGAAGAAAUAUCUGAACAAGACGAAAUACAGAAAACUGAGAUGCCAGACUUUUUCAAGAACAAACAAGUUAUUGGCUUGAGCACAAUUAUACAAGAGUUAGCACAUAACUAUUUGAACUGUAAUCCAGUUUGAAAUUAUUAUUCUAGAGAUCAUUUAUUGGUUUAUUCAACAUGUAAAGACAUAAGAGAAAAUGAUAUGGAAGAAAUUCGUAGAUGGACAAUGACAUUAUUAAAACCAGAAGAUAACCCUCUCACAAGAUCUAUCAAGAAAGGAGUUAUUUCUGACGGACUUAUGGAACAAUUCUGCAAAUUAAUUGGACAGAGAUAUGAUGAUCAUCAAUGCAGUUGUUGUAGUGGACGACAUAAUAUUAUUCCAGAAGUGACACUACAAUAGAAACAAACGAAAAAAUUAAGACAGAUGGAAAAGUAAAGACAAAAAGACAAAAACAUUAAAGAGAUAUGACUUAUUAAGACAGUUUUUGAAACAUGUGAAUUAUAAUACGUAAAGUAUUAGGUAGCCUUUAUUAGUUUUGACUUUUUGGCCAAAGUGCCAUUAUUGGUUUUUUGUUUUUUAGUUUUAAGAUUUUUUUUAAAAUUUACUUUAAGUAACAAGUGUAAAGUUGUAGGACCUAAGGCCAUUAUUAGUCUUUUAAUUUUUGACAGAUGUAAAGGUAGGAAUAGUAUAAAGUAGUUUAAGCGUUUUCUUUUUAGUCUAUAAAUAUGUAAGCCUUCGGCAAGUUAAAGGCAAGACUUUAUGAGUUGAAGCAAGCCUCCUCUUGUACACAAAUACUUUUGAAUAUUUAAUAAAAAUAGAUAUAUUUCUAAGGAAAGGCUAUGGAUGAACAAAACCCAGAAUUAUCAAACCUACCAGAACAGGUAUAUUUAUUUAUGAUUAUGAAUAGCCAAAUUCAUAAAUUUCUGAUAAUUAUGAUAUGAUAAAAUAAGUUUAUGUUAGUUACUACAUAGUAGAAUUAUUCGAAGAAUAAUAUGUUACAAAGUUUAUUAGCAAAGAGGAAAAGGAGAAAAAUCCUUAGGACUAUGCCAUCCUAAAGGUGAAACCGUUGAGGCAAGAAGGCCGUCAUAGGAGAAUAACCAUUGUAGAAGCGCUGUUUAAGGGAAAAUUAUUCAGACUACCAUGCUAAUAAUGACAGAGUAACAUAAUUAUUUAAGAAUAAUCUGGUAUAUAGUAAUCUAAGAUGACCAUAUUUUGUUAUGUAUAUGAUUGAAGGAAAUAUUUUGAAAUGGCAUCAUAUAAAAAAUGAAUAUUUAUUUAUCUGAUGAAAUGGUAGAUAAAUUUAAAAUGUUUGUUUUGUAUGUACUUAAGGUUAUAGAAAUUGUAGAUACAAGAAAAAUCAUAUGAGAAAAAAUAUUUGAUAAAUAUUUUAUGGCUAGAAUAAAUUACAUACCACACCUACCUACCUAUUCUGACAAAUACCUACAUACCAAAUCUACACAUCAACUAUGAUAAAUUAUGUAUAUUUAGAAUAUUAGAAAAUGGAUAUGAAAAAUAUACAAUUAAUAGAAAAAUUAAUGAAAACAAAUCUAGAAACAAAUAUAUGAGAACUAAAGAUAUAAAAUAUAUAGAAUUCCUUAAUGAAAAAUAUACAAGAACUAUUAAAAUUAAAAGAAACAACCAGUAAAUAUUAUGAUAAAACAUUUAAUAACCCAUAAAUCUAAUUCCAAGUUAUCUAAGUUAUUCGUAGAAACCUAACCAUCAUAUGAACAAUAUGACAAGCUAUAUAUCUGAUGAAAUUAAAAUACUUGUUUUAUAUAUCAUUAAAGACUUAGAAAUAGAAGACAUAAAGAAAAUAAUAUGGGAAAAAAUAUUUCAUGAAGAAUCGUUAAGUUUAGAAUGGUUAGAAGAUAUGCAUGAUCUUAGCUUAUAUUAUUCAGAUAGUUAUUACUCAGAUAAUAANNNNNNNNNNNNNNNNNNNNNNNNNNNNNNNNNNNNNNNNNNNNNNNNNNNNNNNNNNNNNNNNNNNNNNNNNNNNNNNNNNNNNNNNNNNNNNNNNNNNNNNNNNNNNNNNNNNNNNNNNNNNNNNNNNNNNNNNNNNNNNNNNNNNNNNNNNNNNNNNNNNNNNNNNNNNNNNNNNNNNNNNNNNNNNNNNNNNNNNNNNNNNNNNNNNNNNNNNNNNNNNNNNNNNNNNNNNNNNNNNNNNNNNNNNNNNNNNNNNNNNNNNNNNNNNNNNNNNNNNNNNNNNNNNNNNNNNNNNNNNNNNNNNNNNNNNNNNNNNNNNNNNNNNNNNNNNNNNNNNNNNNNNNNNNNNNNNNNNNNNNNNNNNNNNNNNNNNNNNNNNNNNNNNNNNNNNNNNNNNNNNNNNNNNNNNNNNNNNNNNNNNNNNNNNNNNNNNNNNNNNNNNNNNNNNNNNNNNNNNNNNNNNNNNNNNNNNNNNNNNNNNNNNNNNNNNNNNNNNNNNNNNNNNNNNNNNNNNNNNNNNNNNNNNNNNNNNNNNNNNNNNNNNNNNNNNNNNNNNNNNNNNNNNNNNNNNNNNNNNNNNNNNNNNNNNNNNNNNNNNNNNNNNNNNNNNNNNNNNNNNNNNNNNNNNNNNNNNNNNNNNNNNNNNNNNNNNNNNNNNNNNNNNNNNNNNNNNNNNNNNNNNNNNNNNNNNNNNNNNNNNNNNNNNNNNNNNNNNNNNNNNNNNNNNNNNNNNNNNNNNNNNNNNNNNNNNNNNNNNNNNNNNNNNNNNNNNNNNNNNNNNNNNNNNNNNNNNNNNNNNNNNNNNNNNNNNNNNNNNNNNNNNNNNNNNNNNNNNNNNNNNNNNNNNNNNNNNNNNNNNNNNNNNNNNNNNNNNNNNNNNNNNNNNNNNNNNNNNNNNNNNNNNNNNNNNNNNNNNNNNNNNNNNNNNNNNNNNNNNNNNNNNNNNNNNNNNNNNNNNNNNNNNNNNNNNNNNNNNNNNNNNNNNNNNNNNNNNNNNNNNNNNNNNNNNNNNNNNNNNNNNNNNNNNNNNNNNNNNNNNNNNNNNNNNNNNNNNNNNNNNNNNNNNNNNNNNNNNNNNNNNNNNNNNNNNNNNNNNNNNNNNNNNNNNNNNNNNNNNNNNNNNNNNNNNNNNNNNNNNNNNNNNNNNNNNNNNNNNNNNNNNNNNNNNNNNNNNNNNNNNNNNNNNNNNNNNNNNNNNNNNNNNNNNNNNNNNNNNNNNNNNNNNNNNNNNNNNNNNNNNNNNNNNNNNNNNNNNNNNNNNNNNNNNNNNNNNNNNNNNNNNNNNNNNNNNNNNNNNNNNNNNNNNNNNNNNNNNNNNNNNNNNNNNNNNNNNNNNNNNNNNNNNNNNNNNNNNNNNNNNNNNNNNNNNNNNNNNNNNNNNNNNNNNNNNNNNNNNNNNNNNNNNNNNNNNNNNACAACUACUUUAGGAUAAAAUGAUAAACUACGAAUACUUAGAAUAUUGGAGAAAAGAUAUUGAGGAAAUAAGAUUAACAGAAAUACUUAUGAAAGAGAAUCUACUUGACUAUCUAAAAACUAGAGAUAUGAAACAUAUAAAAUACCUUAAAAAUAAUAUAGAGGAAUUAAUAAGGUUAAAACAAAAAACUAAGGAAUACUAUGACAUAGCAUUUCAAUUAACAUGAUAGAACUAGUAAGUACUAGUUAUCUUCUAGUUAUCCACGCAAAUUACCUAAGUUAUACGCACCUCCGUACAAUUAACAUGACUCUGAUACCAAUUGACACAUAUCUAUUUGUAGGUUUUAUAAUUAACAUGGCUCUGAUACCAAUUGUAGGGGAGUGCGGAUAACUUGGGUAAUUUGUGUGGAUAACUAGUACUUACUAGUUCUAUCAUGUUAAUUGAAAUGGUAUGUCAUAGUAUUCCUUAGUUUUUUGUUUUAACUUUAUUAAUUUCUCUAUAUUAUUUUUAAAGUAUUCUAUAUGUUCUAUAUUUCUAGUUUUUAGGUAGUCAAGUAGAUUCUCUUUUAUAAAUAUUCUGUUAAUCUUAUUUCCUCUAUAUCUUUUCUCCAAUAUUCUAAGUAUUUGUAGUUUAUCAUUUUAUCCUAAGGUAGUUAUAAUACUGCAAAUUUCUUUAUAAUAGUUAUUCUAAUUAUACUAUAUCUGAUAUUAAAUUCUAGGUUGUGUAUUUCGUUAAUUAUCCUGUCUUUUUCUUCUAUGAAUAAUUCUUUGUCUAAAUCAAAUUCUAAACUGUCGUUUAAUUCUAGUUGUUUCAUGGUUUUAUCUAUUCAAAUUAAUCUUUCUUUUAAUUGUUUUCUUCCUCUUCUAAGCUGGUUUCUAUAAUUAAUUUCUUCGUAUAGCCAACUUUGUUGUUCUCUAACUCUUUUAAUAUAUUCUAACAUUUUAUUUGUAUAAUAUCCAUCUGAGUAAUAACUAUCUAAAUAAAAUAAGCUAAGAUUAUGCGUAUCUUCUAACCAUUCUAGACUUAACGAUUCUUCAUGAAAUAUUUUUUUCCAUAUUAUUUUCUUUAUGUCUUCUAUUUCUAAGUCUUUAAUGAUAUAUAAAACAAGUAUUUUAAUUUCAUCAAAUAUAUAGCUUAUCAUAUUGUUCAGAUGAUGGUUAGGUUUCUACGAAUUACUUGAAAUUAGAUUUAUGGGUUAUUAAAUACUUUAUCAUAAUAUUUACUGGUUGUUUGUUUUAAUCUUAAUAAUUCUUGUAUAUUUUUUAUUAAGGAAUUUUAUAUCUUUAGUUCUCAUAUAUUUGUUUUCAUUAGUUUUUCUAUUAAUUGUAUAUUUUUCAUAUUCAUUUUUCAAUAUUCUAAAUAUACGUAAUUUAUCAUGGUUGAUGUGUAGGUUUGGUAUGUAGGUAUUUGUAAAAUAGGUAGGUAGGUGUGGUAUGUAAUUUAAAUAUUUAUCAAAUAUUUUUUUCCAUAUGAUUUUUCUUAUAUCUACAAUUUCGAUAUCUUUAAGUACAUACAAAACAAGCAUUUUAAAUUUAUCUAUCAUUUCAUCAGAUAAAUAAGUAUUCAUUUUUCAUAUGAUGCUAUUUCAAAAUAUUUCCUUCAAUUAUAUACAUAACAAAAUAUGGUCAUCUUAGAUCUCUAUAUAUCAGAUUAUUCUUAAAUAAUUAUGUUACUCUGUCACUAUUAGUAUGGUAGUCUGGAUACUUUGCACUUAAACAGCGCCUCUACACUGGUUACUCUCCUAUCAUGGUUUUUUUGCCUCAUCGGUUUCACCUUUAGGAUGGCAUAGUCCUAAGGAUUUUUCUCCUUUUCCUCUUUGCUAAUAAACUUUGUAACAUAUUAUUCUUCGAAUAAUUCUACUAUAUAGUAACUACCAUGAACUUAUUUUAUUAUAUCAUGAUUGUCAGAAAUUUAUGAAUUUAGCUAUUCAUAAUCAUAAAUAAAUAUACUGUUCUGGUAGGUUUGAUAAUUCUGGGCUUUGUUCAUCCAUAGCUUUUCCUUAGAAAUAUAUCUGUUUUUAUUAAAUAUUCAAAAGUAUUUGUGUACAAGAGAAGGCUUGCUUCAACUCAUGAAGUUUUGCCUUUAACUUGCCAAAGGCUUACAUAUUUAUAGACUAAAAAGAAAACGCGUAAACUACUUUAUAUUAUUCCUAUCUUUACAUCUGUCAAAAAUUAAAAGACUAAUAAUGGCCUAGGUCCUACAACUUUACACUUGUUAAUGCUAUUUUAAAAAAAAUCUUAAGACUAAAAACCCAAUAAUGGCACUUUGGCCAAAAAGUCAAACUAAUAAAUGCUACUUAAUGCUUUACGUAUUAUAAUUCACAUGUUUCAAAAACUAUCUUAAUAAGUCAUAUAUCUCUUUAAUGUUUGUCUUUAUUUUUUCAUCUGUCCGUGUUGCUUUAUAUCUUUUGUCGUAUAUCUUCCAGCUGUCUUAAUUUUUUCGUUUGCUUCUAUUAUAGUGUUACUUCUGGAAUAAUAUUAUGUGGUCCACUACAACAGCUGCAUUGAUGAUCAUCAUAUCUCUGUCCAAUUAAUUUGCAGAAUUGUUUCAUAAGUCCGUUAGAAAUAACUCCUUUCUUGAUAGAUCUUGUGAGAGGGUUAUCUUCUGGUUUUAAUAAUGUCAUUGUCCAUCUACGAAUUUCUUCCAUAUCAUUUUCUCUUAUGUCUUUACAUGUUGAAUAAACCAAUAAAUGAUCUCUAGAAUAAUAAUUCCAAACUGGAUUACGGUUCAAAUAGUUAUGUGCUAACUUUUGUAUAAUUGUGCUCAAGCCAAUAACUCGUUUGUUCUUGAAAAAGUCUGGUAUCUCGUUUUCUAUAUUUCGUCUUGUUCAGAUAUUUCUUCUGGUAUAAUGUAGUCUCUUGUCAUACCAAUUUUUACUACUGUAACCACUGGUUUAAUUUCAUCAAAUAGUAUCUUAGCAGAGGCCAAAUAAAAUCUUAUGUAAAAUAGCUUUCUUUUUGUAAUUUUUAUAUAUGUCAUAAUUCCUUUAUGUACUGCAGGAAUCAUGGCUAAUUCUUUCUCAUCUGUUGUAUAAACUGUUGAUAAUAAUCCAUUAGAAUAACAUGUAGCGAUUAAAUUUGGGAUGGUUCCUGGGAGCGCAAUAAGUUUAUUAUAAUUUUGUAACUUUUGGGUUAUAUAGCCUUGGUGUUUUUUGGCUAGCUCAAUAUCUUGGACGGGUUUGGUAUUUAGUAUGGUUUGGAUUGUAUAUAAAUUUUCAAUAUAAACACGGGUUAAAUGGUUGUAAGCUUGUUUUUUCUGGUUAAUUGCUUCUGAAUAAGGGUAUAACUGCGGGGGUAAUUCAUUCUUUUGGAUAUUUGGUGGUGCAUAAGGUUUUUCAAAUAUCCUAUUUAGGUUGUAAUUCUUUUUCUUUGGUAAUUCAGAUUUUGGUAAAUUUUUUGUAGUGGGUAAUUCCUUAGCUGUAUCUGAUGUUCCUGCACAUGUAACAACCGUUUUGGUUUUAAGGUGUGUCCGAACGUCACCUUUUAGAUCUAGUUUUUUAAAGUUCUCUUCUUGCACUAUAUCUAUGUCUUUGGCUUUUUCCUGUUUUUUUAGAGUGCUCAGAUUGCUCUUUUAAUUCUGUGACUUCAAUAGUCAAUAGAGUAACUUGUUCUUUUAAUAAUUUUACGUGUUCAAAUAAUUGAACUAGUAAAUCAUUCUGACUAACUUCUUCUAUUGUUAAAUCAGUCUGAGUAGCCUUGUCGUGACAAGUAAUCUGCAAUGAUAUUUUUGUUAGUACUAGUUACUUCAAUUGUAAAUGUAAAAUUAAUUUAAUAUGUUCAAGAAUAGUCUCCGUAUUUCCUUUAUUGUAACUGAAUUUUGUAUUUUCUUUAUUAACCACCAACGUACCUGCGUAUUAUCUGUUCGUAUAAUAAACUUGUUAUAUACUAUAUAUGGCUCAAAUGCUAAUAAACAUUUAUAUAAUAAGCAUAAUUCUUUUCUAUUUAUUUUCUGUUUUAUCUCUGUUUCAUUAAACGUACCUAAGUAGUAUCUACAAUGAUGUUCUAAUUUUUCUUCUUCAUAUCUAUAUUUAAGUAUUCCUCCAUAACUAUAUUCGCUUGCCUCUGCUUCUACUAUAUAUGUAAAUUUUUUAUUUUCGUCUGAAAAUUGUAAUUUUGGUAAUUCUUUACAAAGUAUUUUUAUUUUCUGGACUUGCUUUUUAUCUUCUUCAUUGUAAUUAUAUUCUACAUCCUUUUUUAAUUUUUUCUGUAAUGGCUUUAGGUUUUCUGCUAAUUUUGGUAUAUAUUCUCUUACUUGGUUUACUAAUACUAAAAAUGAUUGUAAUUUCUUUUUUUAAUCUAAUUCUUCUUUUGAAUUUAUUAUUUUUGUACUAUAUGUUGUUGCAUUUUUACUCCACUCUUAUCUAUUUGUAUUCCUAUAAAUUCUAUCUGAUUUUUCAUAAUUUAACUUUCUUUUCACUUUAGCUUAUUCCUGAUUUUUCUAUUAUAUCUUUAAAUUGUUCUAAUAAUUUUAAAUGUUCUUCUUUUGUUUUUGUGUAUAGUAGUAUAUCAUCUAUGUAUACUACACAAUUAGGUAAUUGUUUAAAAUAACUAUCGAUAAAAUGUUGAUAUCUACCUGGUGCAUUUUUAUAUCCAAAUAGUAAUACGUUCCAUUCAUAAAAUCCUUGUGGUGCCGUAAAUGCAGUUAAUUCUUUAGAAUCUUCAUCUAACUUUAAGUGGUAAAAUCUUGAUUUACAGUCAAAUUUACUAAAGUAGUUAUAUCCUUGUAUUUGUCUUAUUUUUAAUAUCUUAUUUGGUAUUGGAUAAUUAUAUGUCAUAGUUUUUGCAUUUAAAUUUCUAUAGUCAAUAAUCAUUCUACUUUUUCUUUUUGUUCACUAUGUUUAUUUACUAUAGACGCUGGACAAUUGUGUUUACUAGUACUUUUUUGUAUGUAUUGUUUUUCUAAUAAUUCAUCUAUAUGCAUUUUAAAUUCUUUUAAAUCAUCAAAAUUAUAUGUUAAUUGUUUCUACGUUAUUAUACUAUUUUUAUCUAUUAGCUCUAUUUUUACAGUAAUUUUAUGUUUUUCCAUUCUUUUAAUGGACUUCACUGUAUAAUUGUCUUAAUUUUUUCUUUAUUAUUUCUACCUUAUCUAUUGAAAAUAUAGUUAUUUCUUCUUUAUUUAUUAAAAAUAUAACUAGUUCUAUUGUGUUUUCAGUAUUUUUUAUAUUUUCUAAUUUUUGUGUGAUUUUUUCACUUCCUUUAUUCCAAUCAGUUUUCUUUCUUAUUUUAUUAGUAACUUUUUUUGCUCUUACUUUUUGUUUACAUGGUAUUGUAAACCACCAGUGUGUUCUAGUUAUUAUAUAUGAGUAUAAUUUAUCUAAAAAUGACAUUUCUAAAAGCAUAUCUUUUGAUGUUAGCUCAUAAUUAUAGAUUUCUUCUAUUGUUAAUAUCUUAUCUCAUACUUGUAUUUUUACAUUUCUAUGCUUAUAAGUAAUUAAGCUUCCUUCGUUAUUAAAUCCUCUAACUACUAUUGAUGUUUUUAAUUUAUCCCAUUUACUUUCUGAUAAACAAUUAUAUCUACAUAAAUUGUCUUCUGCUCCUGUAUCUAUCAUUGGUUUAUAAUAUCUAUUAUAAUAUCUUUCUACUAUUAUUUUCAUAUCAUGUCAAAGCUCUCUUUAUUAAUAAUUUUUCUCUAUUAUAGGUUAUGAUUAUUUGUGUAUGUUCUAUAUUGUAGGGCUUUACUUGUUUUAACUAUUUUAUUUCUAAUAUUAUGUCUGCUUUUUGCAUAUCUUCCUUUAUUUCAAAUUCUAUUUUUAUUUUUCUAACUCCUAUUAUAUUUUUUUUUCUGCUGUAUCUUUAAUGUUUAUUAGACUACGUGGUAGAUCUGGACACAUAUUACUAUUGAAUUUUAUUUCUUCAUUUUUUACUAGAUAUUUUGUCAGGUAAUUUUCUUCCUGUCCUGUAUUUAUGAGUAUUAAAUAUUCCUUUUCAUUUAUUGUUACUAUUAUGUAAUAUUGAGUUAAAUUAACUGUUGAAGUUGUUUCAUAAUUUGUUCUUUUUUAUGAGCUUGAUGAUUCUGGUUUUUCAUAAGCUAUUCUUUUUGUUGUACUUAUCCUAUCAUUUAUUAUUUCUAAAUCUUCUUCUAUGUUUAUAUCUUUGUAACUAUAAUCAUUGUUAUCAAUUGUUUUUACGAAUUAUUCAAAAAGGACUUUCUAUGUGUAUUUUAUUAAUUUUAUUUUUUUCAGUUAUUUUAUGUUUUGUUGUUAAUACAUAUAGAUUUUUACAUCUUGCUGUAAAUAUUUUACUUCCUGAAAUUAGUUCUAUUCUUGAUAUAUUCAAUAUAAUACUAAUGAUUUAUCUAUAUUUUUAUCUGUUAUUGGUACUGAAUAAUUUGCACUUAUUAUAAAUUUGAAUUUUUGGUAUAUUAAAUUUUCUUUUAUGACACUAAUUAUGCUUUUUUCUAUAGGUUUUACUAUCCUAUCAUCCGUUAAAUAUAGUUCUAUUGGUGUAUCUAUUCCUUCUCUAAAACAUGCUUUUAUUAAUAUCUCUGUUCCUCUAAGGUGUACAUAUUUUAUUGGGUCUCUACUUUUUAUAUCUUGUAUUUUUUUAAUAACUGUUCUUCUUGUUACUAAUGGUAUACUAGCUUUACCUCUUGUAUGUUUAUAAUCUAUUAUAUGUUCUUUUUGGCUUACUAUAUAGUAUUCCUCUUUUCUUUUACUAAAUAUAUUUUUUAUUGUUGGUAUUUUAAAUAUUUUUUCUACACUUAAGUCUAACUCUUUUCCUUUUAUUUCUUCAAAUAUAUUACUGUCAAAUAUUACUUUUUGGUCAGUUCCUUCUUCGUUUAAGUAUUCCUCCUUUGUGAUUAUUUUUAUUUCUUUUUCAGUCAUUAUUUAUACUUUCGUCUAAUUCACUAUCUAUUUCAUUAUCUGUCUCAUUUUCUGAAAUUUCAUAUAUACUAUCUUCACUUUCUAAUUCGUAAUCUAUAUAAUCUAUUUGCAUAUAUUCUGCAUUUUCUAUCUUUAUUUCUGAUAUUUGUUUCUUUUUUGGAUCUUUAGACAUUUUACAAUCUCUAACUAAAUGUCCUAGUUUUCCACAAUUAUAACAAGUACAUUCUUUUACAGAUUUCUUUUUCCUAUAUGGUCUUUUAUGUUUAUAAUUUUUUACAUAAUAUGUUUUUCUUGGUUUCUUAUACUUAUAUUUUGAUUAUUCGUAUUUGUUAUAUUUCUUAUAUUUCUUAUGUCUUUUUCUUUUCUUAUAAUAUCUUUCUUCACAUCCAAAUCGAGGCGCUAUUUUAUCUUUGCAACAUGCUAAAUUUUUUAUUGAUGUUUUUUUUCAUUUUUAUUCCUUCUCUAUAUUUUUCACAUAGAUUUUUAUACCAUUGUCGUAGAAAUUUUAUUCUUGCUCCUAGGGUAUCUACUAUUUUUGCUUCAUCCCAACUCUUUAUUAUUUUUGAACUAAAUGAUUCAGAUAAUUUACUAAAAUAUAAUCUUUUAACUUCUUUAUUUCCUUUUGUAUUAUAUGCUCCUUUAUAAUAGUAUUCUUUAAAUGCGCACAUAUAUUCAUCUAUAUAACACAUAUUACAUAUUGCUAGUUUUAAUAUUAAAUUCCUGUUUGUAUCUUUUUCUUUGUUUUGUUGUUGUUGUUGUUGUUCUUCUUCUUCUUCUUCUUCUGUUGCUAUACUGUUAAACUUAUCUCUUAUAGUCAUUUCAUAUUUUUUCAAUAUGUCUGUAGGUGUUAGUUUAGUUACUGUUGUUCCUUCUGUUUCUUUAUCAUUUCUUAAUACCUUUUUACUAUUUUCAGUUAAAUUUAAAAACCAUAAUUUUGUUGUUCCUAUUAGUGUUNNNNNNNNNNNNNNNNNNNNNNNNNNNNNNNNNNNNNNNNNNNNNNNNNNNNNNNNNNNNNNNNNNNNNNNNNNNNNNNNNNNNNNNNNNNNNNNNNNNNNNNNNNNNNNNNNNNNNNNNNNNNNNNNNNNNNNNNNNNNNNNNNNNNNNNNNNNNNNNNNNNNNNNNNNNNNNNNNNNNNNNNNNNNNNNNNNNNNNNNNNNNNNNNNNNNNNNNNNNNNNNNNNNNNNNNNNNNNNNNNNNNNNNNNNNNNNNNNNNNNNNNUCCUAAGGUAUCUACUAUUUUUGCUUCAUCCCAACUCUUUAUUAUUUUUGAACUAAAUGGUUCAGGUAAUUUACUAAAAUAUAAUCUUCUCACUUCGUUACUUUCUUCUGUAUUAUAUGCUCUCUUAUAAUAGUAUUCUUUAAAUGCGCACGUAUAUUCAUCUAUAUAUCACAUAUUACAUAUUGCUAGUUUUAACAUUAAAUUCUUAUUUGUAUUUUUUUCUUUGUUUUGUUCUUCUUCUGUUGUCAUACUACUAAAUUCAUCUCUUAUAGCCAUUUCAUAUUUUUUCAAUAUGUCUAUAGGUGUUAGUUUAGUUACUGUUGUUCCUUCUGUUUCUUUAUCAUUCCUUAAUACCUUUUUACUAUUUUCAGUUAAAUUUAAAAAUCAUAAUUUUGUUGUUCCUAUUAGUGUUCUUUCUAUAUAUUCUAUUGUAUCUAUUGCAUUUAUACCAUUGUCUAAUAAUUGUUUUGCUAUNNNNNNNNNNNNNNNNNNNNNNNNNNNNNNNNNNNNNNNNNNNNNNNNNNNNNNNNNNNNNNNNNNNNNNNNNNNNNNNNNNNNNNNNNNNNNNNNNNNNNNNNNNNNNNNNNNNNNNNNNNNNNNNNNNNNNNNNNNNNNNNNNNNNNNNNNNNNNNNNNNNNNNNNNNNNNNNNNNNNNNNNNNNNNNNNNNNNNNNNNNNNNNNNNNNNNNNNNNNNNNNNNNNNNNNNNNNNNNNNNNNNNNNNNNNNNNNNNNNNNNNNNNNNNNNNNNNNNNNNNNNNNNNNNNNNNNNNNNNNNNNNNNNNNNNNNNNNNNNNNNNNNNNNNNNNNNNNNNNNNNNNNNNNNNNNNNNNNNNNNNNNNNNNNNNNNNNNNNNNNNNNNNNNNNNNNNNNNNNNNNNNNNNNNNNNNNNNNNNNNNNNNNNNNNNNNNNNAGUCCUACUAUUUUUAGUUUUUUCUAUUUUUUGUAUUUCUUCUGUAGUUUGUUGUUUUAUUAUCUAUUUCCUUUUUUCUAUCUAUCUCUUCGUUUUCUUUUUUUAUUCUUACCAUGGCUGUCAACUUAUUUUCUAAUUUUAAUUCUUUUUUUUCUAACAUUAAGUAUAAAUGUUCACCUAUUUUCUUAUAUCUUCUUCCUAAAUUGGAAAAUACUAUCCUUAUUUUUAAUCCUUCAUAGUUUUCAUAUGUUUUUCAUCUAUUAUAAAUUCUUCUUUGUUCAUGUUAUCUACUUGGUAGUAUAUAGAUCAUGUUGAUAUAUGUAUUCUAGACUAUCUAUUUGUGAUUCUAAAUAUGAUAUUUCUUCUUUUUGUGCUUUUAUUGAUUUUUGACAUACUCCUAUAAUUAUGUUAUAUUGUAGUUUUUCUUUUCUUAUUUUUAAUUCUCUCCGUUUUUCAGAUAUUAUUUGUUUUAGUUCUUUAUAUUUUUGAAAUUUUGUUAUAUUAUUCAUCUAUACAAUGUUUAUAAUAUUUUGGUGGAUACCGAAAUCUGAUUCUAUCAUAAUUAGGUGGUAUGUAUCUCAUUCUUCUAGAUUUUAAAUGGAUUAUUAAUUUUGCCUCAUUGCUAGAUAUUAAGGUAAUUAAGUAAGCUAAUUUGUGGGGAUUUUCUUUUGUUUUAUUUAACUUGGUAUAUUCUGGGUAAUAAUUAGUUAAAGUUUCUUUAAUUUUUCUAAAAGCUUCUAUAUUUUUAAAUGGUCUUCUCAUUUUUAACAAAUAAAUAACAAUGUAAAUAAUAAUAACUCAUAAUUAAUAAAUACGAUUAAAUUAACUUUUGUAAUUUUUUUCAUAAUUAACACAUAUCUAAUUGACACAUAUCUACUUGUACGUUUUUUAAUUAACAUGGCUUUGAUACCAAUUGUAGGGGGUAUGGAUAACUUGGGUAAUUUGCAUGGAUAACUAGUAGAUAACUAGUAUCCACCGAAAUCUCGUUUGGCCUAGUCGCCGGACACUAUGCAUCCCACGAAUAGCACCCUUGACCUCCUCAACCUUGAUACGCCUGUAAUAACUAUAAUCGUGACACUUUUCUGUGUGCUCCAAGUCCCCAACACAAAACUUUUGUCCCUCUCAUCGUUUAAAAGUCUAUGGAAAUAGAACUGUCACCUCCUUCUAAUGAGGGCAUCCUCUAUCAAUACUUCGCCUUCCUUCUCCUUGAUGUACUUCACUUCGCGAAGGUCACGGGCCUCCGUUCCCUAGCCUUGACGAGCCUAUACAUUAUUUCCGCUUUCUUCUCUACAAGCUCUCAAAAGUUGUUGUCUUAGCUGCCGUAACUACUAACUUAGCCUUUUUCCUAGCUAACUUAUACUCCCUAUUCAUCCGCUUCUCGUCGUCAUCCUUGCUCUCACCAACUUUGCAUAGGCCGCCAUCUUAGUCUCCAUAUUUUUAACUUCUUCGUUCCACCACUAGUCCCCUCGUUGCUUGCCAGAUCAGCCUCUCGAGAUACCCAAUACCUAUCUGGCUGUCUCCCUGAUGUAACUAUGCAACUGGCAGUUAUCUCCCACAUACUACUAUCCACAUCCCGUCUGCUCUUCUAAGCCUCCAUUGUCAACUUCUUUCCAAUCUCCAAAGUGCUGGCCAAAGUCAAGCUACCCCACUUAAUCCUAGUUCGAUCCUCCACACCCUUAUUCUUUCUGUCCUUUUUUAUUUCCAAGUCCAUCACUAGCAACUUAUGUUGGGUCGAAAGAUCCUCUCUAGGUAUGACUUUACAGUCCUCAAACCUCCACAUAGUACUUUCCAAAGUGCUUGAAACGCCUUUUACCACCUUAUCCAAAACCUCCCAAAAGCUCUUCUUCUCCUCUUCGUCCAAGCCCGCUUGCGGGGUAGGCACUAAUAAUGUUCGACUUAGACCCUCCAAUGACCAACUUAAUCGACAUCAACCUAUCGUUGACCCUCUUAACCUCCACCACUUGCCCCCGUACCUCUUCAUCCACUAAGAUACCUACCCCAUUCCUAUGCCUCACGCUACCAGAAUACCAUAACUUAUCCUAGACAGUUUACCUCAUGGAAUUGUCAAAACUCAAAUCUAAGACCGUUAACCUAAAAUAUUGACUUUGAUCAAACUUCUCAUUUCCAAACUUCCAAAAUAGAAUUUCUUCUUUAAAGCCCUCGAACCGCGCCACUCAUCCCUGCAAGUCGUAAGUAGCUAAGGAAAGCUAUGGGGAUGGUCAACGAGGCAAAAGAGACAGAAAUUACAAAACAACCAUGAGGGUCGUUAUAACCUUUGUGGACAAAGUUACUCGAUACCUUUACUGGCGGGGAAUAUCAUGUAAUGAUAUAGUCAAGGUGCCCACAAGAUGGUUCAGCCACCACCAUUAUGAGAAUUAAAUAAAUGGCUAUGAGACUGCUCUAUAUGUGCCAGAUGACGUUUAUCAUGGGUUGUCAUCCCUCUUUCUUUAUAGUCCAUAAGACAUCUAGUAUCAAAUCCAGCUAAUGUUGUAGAGAAAUGAAAGUGAUUUAAUGUAAUCAUUAAAGAAUAGAUAGCUGUUUUUUUUCCUCUGGAACUGGUUUAUAUAUUUGCUAUCAACUUCAAUUGAUGGUCGUCAUUUUGGAUAUUCUCCUAUUUGCUUGUAGUAUUACGAUUGUUUACUAGUCUUUGUUUAUUCUUUCCCUGUAUGUGGCGUCUCUAUGUUGUCUUGUUCCAGGUUUUUUGGUAUGACUUUGAUUACUAUUCCUUGUCUUGAACUGGGGGUCUAUCGGAAACAGCCUUGCUACUCCCCGGGAGUAGUGGUAUGGACUGCGUAUAUCUUACCCUCCCCAGACCUCACUAUGUGGGAAUACACUGGGUUUGUUGUUGUUGUUGUUGUCCUAUUUCCUGUUCAAUGCUUCAUGUAUUAUCAAAACGCCAAGCUCACUUCACCAAGCAAUAUGCAUUUCUUGGUAAAAGAAGGAAUGCAUCUCUCCUUGGUUCUCUAAAGUGUAAUUUACUCUUGCAAAUGUAAAUUUAAAGAAGGCCUUCAAAACAUUUUAGUCCUGAAAUGUUGGAAAAAGCAUUUCAUAAAACUGAAGCAAAGAACAAAAUAGUAUGAUAGAUAGAGUAUUAAGAAAUAGAUGAAAAUAGCAAUUACCAGUUUCUCAAAAAAAAAAAAAAAGAAAUAGAUGAAAGUAGAACAGAUUUAGGAUCUAUAUAUACACAUCACUUGUUCCAUACUUCCAUUGAUAUUCUUGCUCACAUGUAGAGGUUCCUGAGGAAGUACACAUACAUGAGAAUAGUGUUGAAGUGCACUAGUGUGUGAGUUUUCCGGAAUGUUUAAGUGAGCGAGGGUUUUGUUUUUUUGGAUGCUACAAUUUGUUUAGAGAUGAAAGCAACCUCAUUAUGCUGUAAUUUUUCAGAUUUCAGAUACCACAUUUGUUGAAAAGAAAGAUGCAGUCAAGAUUCUAUGUAAGCUGUGGAAAGAUGAGUACUUAGAGAUGAAGGUAAUAUGUUUCCGGUUUUCUGUUGUUGUAGUCUAAGUUGCGCGGACUCUUCACUUUUAAUGCUGCACCUGUGUCAGAUUCUUCAAAAAUACACUACUUUUGGCGAAUUCUACACGCACCCAUUGACAUUUUCAACGAGUCCGAGCAACAUAGGUUGUAGUAGAAUAAUAUGUCUUGAUUCGCCUGCGUAGUUAAAAUUGAAGAGACCUUGAGAGUAGAACAAAGCAUAUCUCGAAACUAUCAUGUGUAUUUUCUUGCUCUCUUAUGUCAAUGUUAUGGAAGUAGCAAACAGACAUAUUUGGCUUUGCUUCUGUAUCUGAAGAUAGCUAAAGUCAAUAUUAAGGGAGGGUAAGUGCUGGUUCGGAUACAUGCUAUAUAAACUAUAUUUUAUCUCUGUUAAAUAUUAACAUGACCAAAUCUGAUCUAUUCUGUGAUGAGUUACUGGACACUUGGUGCAUACCCUGAAAUUCAUAGAGUAAUCUAAAACAAAAGAUCUUUACGUUAAACGAAAAUAUCCUUAGGAAGUUCCAGAUACUUUGCACAACUUUGUUACAAAUAUUUCUGCUUCAUAGUACCAGAUACUUUGCUCAACUUCGUUACAGCUAUUUUCUGCUUCACAGUAGAGAUCCAUACUAAAAAUUGGGGGGCCCAAAUUUAAGCUCAAGAUCGGAUGGGACUUUGGAGACCAUGAACUCUCAACCCAACACAAUUACCCGAGUACGCAAAGUGGGUGAAUGGUUAAGCUCCUCAAUAGGAAAAUCUACCACUGGUUUUGAACCCAUGAUUCUGUUCAAACAUAAAAUCUCAUGAAUACCCCGAGUACGCAAAGUGGGUGAAUUGUUAAGCUCCUCCCCAACAGGAAAAUCUACCACUGAUUUUGAACGCAUGAUUCUGUUCAAAAGUAAAAUCUCAAAAAUCAAGUGUGAAGAUCAUUCUGAUUCAUCAAAAGUACAGAAGAAUCAGGGGCAGAGCUACAGUGCAAAAAAGGGUUUAGGCGUGUCAAUUUUCUGCUAAAUGCCUCUCAAUAUUGAGAGUCUUGCCAUUAAAUAGAAUCAUUCAAAAAUUACAUCCCUAAAGAUCCGUCUUUUCUAUCCCUCUAAAUCCGGUAUUCUAUCCUACCAGAUUUGCUGUCCUAUAAUCAAUAUUACUCUCUUUAAUUACUAAAUCAAAUUUUUGUAAUUACACUAAUAUACAACAAUAUAUAACUACAUUAAUAUAUAUAAUAUUUACUAGUUGUCCAUCAUGUUACAUCACCCCUCAAAUUGAUGUUGGUAGAUCAAGAAGCAUCAAUUUGCCUACUAGAAACUGAUGUCGUCGUCGUGCCAUUGAUUUUAUAAAUGCAUCAGCAAUUUGAAGAUCACUGGACACGUGUGGAAGAGUAAUGACUCCUUUAUCUCCAGCUUCUCGUGUAUAAUGACAGUCUACUUCGAUUUGUUUGGUUCGCUUCAUGAUAAACCGGAUUAGUAGUAAUCUGAACAACACUUGUAUUGUCAGCACAGAGAGGAUUAGGAUUAGAUUGAGGAAAUCCAAUCUCAACAAGUAAUCCGCGAAGCCACACAAUCUCGAAGCAAGUAGUAGACAUUGCUCGAUAUUCAACCUCUAUUGAAGAUUUUGACACACGGUCUUACUUUUUACUCUUCUGAGAUAUCGAAGACUUUACAAGAAACAUGCACCAACCAGUGACCAAACGAGGAGUGUCAGAACAUCCUUCCCAAUCAAAAUCACUAAAAGCAUAAAGACUAAUAGGAGAACCACUAGGAAAGAAUAAUACACGAUUAAAUGUUCCUAGGAGAUAUUGAAUGAUGCGACGGACGACCACCAAAUGAAGAUGACGGGAGCUUGCAUAAAUUGACUAGCUUGUUGAACUAUAAAAGGGAUAUCAGUUCGAGUAAUAGUAAGGUAAUUUAAGCUCCCAACUAACUGCCGAAAUAUAGUUGGAUCAUGAAGAUCUCCUUUCGCUCGCCAAUACUUUACAUUCAACUCUAGUGGAGUAUCUACGAAGGAGGAAUCCUGAGUUGGUUUAGAAACACACCUGAUGAAGCACGAUGAACUUCCAAACCCAAGAAAUAUGUAAGAGUACCAAGAUCUUUCAUAAGGAAGGAAUCCAUAAGUUGUGCUGCUGGAGGCUAGUGAUCGGUGAAGAAUCGGUUCCUGUGAUAAUAAUAUCAUCUAUAUAUACCAAAAGAACACAACUUGUACAUGUUUUCUAAAGAAAUAAAGAUGAGUCAUAUUUGCUCUGCUCAAAAGAGAAUUGUAGCAAAGUAGAUCGAAAUUUGUCCAACCAAGUUUUGGGAGCUUGUUUUACUCUAUGCAAAAACUGCUUCAACUUGCAUACAUUUGACGUAGGUGAUGAGAACAAACCAGUUGGAGGUUUCAUAUAAAUAUCUUCUUUAAGAUCACCAUGGAGAAAAACAUUUUUGAUAUCCAUUUGAUGAAGAGGCCAUUUUUGUGAAGAAGCAAUGGCAUUGAUUUGCAUGGUAGUCAUUUUUGCUACUGGUGCAAAAGUCUCCUCAUAGUCUACACCAUACUCCCGUCUGUUACCAAGAACAACCAGUCGAACUUUGUACCGGUCAAGAGUUCCAUCAGAAUGAAGUUUAAUUGAAUAGACCCAUUUACAUCCAAUUGGGCGGACAUUUGAAGGACAUGAAACAGUAUCCCAUGUGUUGUUUUCCUUAAAGAGCGAAAAGUUCUUCCAUUGCUUUCUGCCAACAUUCAUGCUUGGAAGUUUGUGAGUAACAAGUUGGAAUAGAAAUGGUGGAUAAAGUAAAGGAAAAGUCAUACCAAUUAGGAGGACGAGAUAUCUGGUAGAUCGUCGAGUGGGCUCAAGAGGAGCAAAGCUUGAAGAAUUUUCAGAUUCUAGUUAUAGAGCAGUCUCAGGUGGUGGAUCAGUUUCGCGAGGAGGUAAAGUUGGCCAACGUCGUUCAUACUCAAAUCUAGGUUUGAACCGCUUAGAAGAAGAUGACAAAUCAUCAAAAGUAAGAAGAAGAGGGGAAACAGGAGAUGACUCAACAUGAGUAGGAAAGAAAUACUGAUUCUCAAAGAAAACAUUUCAGGAAAUACAAAAUUUGUUAGAACGUAGAUCAUAGCAAAUAAAACUUUUCUGCGAAGUACUAUAGCCCAUAAAAGCACAUUUAGUAGAUGGACAGAAAGUUUAUUACGCUGAGAAGGAGGCAGGUGCACAAAACAAACACAACCAAAUGCAUGAAAAUUAUCAUAGCUAGGAUUUUUGUAAUAAAGACGAUAAUACGGAGACUCAAGAUUUAACCCUUUAGAUGACAGUCUAUUAAUUAAAUAGACAACAGAGACAAAGCUUUAACCCAAUAUUUAGAUGGGAUAGAGGACUCAAUCAAUAAAGUACGAGUGAUAUCCAAAAGGUGAGCAUUUUUACGCUUAGUGACCCCAUUUUUUUGUGGUGUAUAUGGAGAAGAGCAUUGUGAGAUAAUUCCUUUCUCAAGCAAAAUUUUUUUGAAUUUAUUUGACAUAUAUUCUCCAUCAGAAUCAGAUCUUAAUAAUUUGAUACAAGUAGAAAAUUGAGUCUUAGUGUAAGCCAAAAAUAUCUUGAACAUGGAAAAUACCUCAUAUUUGGAACAAAGAAAAUACACCUACGUAAAUCGACUAUAAUAAUCUAUGAAUGUCACAAAGUACUUGAACUGAGCAUGAGAAACAGUUGGUGAAAUACCUCAAACAACACUAUGAACGACAUCAAAACACUUUAUAGCAUGACUGCCAAAAUUAAGAAUAGGAAGAAUUUUAUUGUUCCCUAAUUUACAAGUAGAACAAUCAAAUGAAGCAGUAGAAAAUUAUUUUUUUUCUCAAUAAAUCAGAAUUUGGAUGUCCUAGACGCUUAUGCCAAACCUCAAUCUUAUUAGUUGUAGAAGUACAAGCAAAAGAUAUAACAGGAGGAAUGGAGAAAUAUAUAGGAAACAGUCUUCCAACUUUAGGCCCCUUCACGAUUAUCGUCCCCGACACCUGACCCUGCACAAGACAACCAUUACGAGAAAAAUUUACAUCACAAUUGUCCUAUUGAAAUAAGACUGGUUGAGAGCUUUGGUGAAACAAAAACAUUCUUGAAAGUUAAAGUAAUAUCCCCAACCUUGGUAAUGGGUAAAUUACUACCAUUAGCAACCUGUAUUUGUGAUAAAUCUUGAUAUUUACAAAUAUUUUUUAUUAUGCUUGUUGAGUUGGUCAUAUGAUUGGUCAAAAUCAACAAUCCAAAAAGUAGAUUUAACAUUAGUACCUUGUAAUCCCAAUGUUGAAAAGGCUGAAACGAUCAUUUGUUGUACCAUUUCAGGAGUAAGAACUUGUCCUGAAUAUGAGCUCUCAAGAAUGGAAUCAUUUAUCCCUGCAUGAAAAGCAUUUAUUUACGAUUUUAAGGGAGUGUGGGACGUUUUUGGUUAAUGUGUCCUUGUUGCUUACAAUAAUUACAGAACUUCUUUCCACAAUUGCUAGCAAUAUGGCCAUAUUCCUUGCACCUGUAGCAUUGAGUUCUAGUCAUAUCCCUAUCAUUUCCUUUACCUUGAGCAGCAAAUGCAACAGCGACAUCAUUUCCUCUUUUGAAAGCAUCUUGUGUGACAAAAUGCUGCUCUUCACGAAGUAAUUCCCUAAAACAAACAUCCAGGGAGGGAGGCGGGUAACGAUUUAUCAAGUUAGAGCGAACACUCUCAAACUCAAAGCAUAACUUUAUCAAAAAUUGAUCUCGCUUGCUUUGCUCAUGAACUUCUUGUAUUAUAGAGAGAGACAGAGAGAUUCGGUAGGUAUUUUGGCAUAAACAAUAUUUGUAAAUUCAACCCAUAAAUUCUGAAAUCUCGAAAAAUAAUCCUAGAGACCUUCUUGAGAGUAAUUAGCAAUUUCAUACUCUAAGUGAAAGACUCGAACACUAUUAUCUUGGUUUUAAAUCUUUUGUAAAUAAUCUCACAUGGCUUUAGCUGUUUUGUAAGGGCUGAGAUUAAGAAUAAUAAGAGGGUCAGCCAUGUCAUCACCCGAGCAUCUUUAAUCUUCCAUUCACCUAACUUUGUUGAAUCAGUAAGAGCAAGAUCGGCUAUAUCUAUAUGGCCCCAUAGUUCUUUUCCGGUGACAAAUAACUGCAACUGAAACUCCCAGAACGAAAAGUUCUUUCCAGUGAAACGAUUCAUCGGACUCAAAAAGAACUACCAAACUGAAACUCAAACACUAAAUGAUUCAAAUUGAUGUGAAGUCAUAUUUAUGAAACUAGAAGCACAAUGACUCAAAAAGAACAACCAAAAUGUCCAAGGUCAAAGUCCUAGGUGUUAAUUGUCGAUGAACAAUCAACAAAACUGAAAUUUUCAAAAAAUAUUAAAGGAACCACAUAUGGACUCUCUAUGAAAUACGACAGCCAAGAAAAGGCUCUGACUCAAUAUUGAGAGUCUUGCCAUUAAAUAGAAAGUAUUCAAAGAUUACAUCCCUAAAGAUCCGUCUUCGCUAUCCCUAAAGAUCAGAUUUUCUAUCCCACCAGAUCUGUUCUACUAUAAUCAAUAUUACUCUCUUUAAUUACUAAAUCAAAUCUUUGUAAUUACACUAAUAUACAAUAAUAUAUAACUACAUUAAUAUAUACAAUAUUUACUAGUUGUCCAUCAUGCUAACAGGGGGAACCAGUAGCUUUUGUGUAGACCCUGUAUUUGUACUAAAAAUCAAGAAAUAUUAUAUAAUUAUGUAGGUGCGAACCCACAUACAAAGACUGACGGAUGGUCCAGUGGUCUCCAAGGAGAUUUGAAGGCUAGCGUCCCUGAGAUGUGGGUUCGAAACCCGCUAGCAGCAAGUUUACUUUUUUUAUUUUUUGCUUUUUUACUCACUUUUCCACAAGUUUUUUUAUUAGUAUUAUAGCUUUUUCCAGUAUGUAGAUUUUUUUUUUUUUGAAAAUAUAACAUAAAACUAAUAAUUAAAGAAAGAAAAAAGCACGCCUAUUAAGCUAUUCUUGAAGCAAAACUCGGACUGUUGGUUUCAACGAGAUACAGACGCUCAAAGCAAAGGUUCAUAUUCAGAACCCACAGACCUCAUCCUGGCUCCGCCCUUGAGGAGAUUGCUUGUUUCCUUUUCUUUAUUAAAAAAAAAUCAGGUAAAGUAACAUUUAUUUUUAUUAAGAAACUUCAGAAAAAUACCAAGGAGGUACUACUAAAAUACAAGCAAAUACAUAGGAUAUUGAACUCCUGCAUGUCUGUGAAAUUUAAAAACUCAAUCAGGUCUUCUACUACACUUCCCUUAACCGAAAAUUACAAAUUUUGCAAGCAUCUAUUUCAAACAUUGGAGAUGUGGAGCCUCUGAUUUUCAAAGCAUCUUUGUUUCUUUCUUCGAGGAAUGGUCGUCCAUAUCUUCUUCUCGCUUUUGCUUACCUGUUGACUCGCCUACUUUCCAACAGACGUCUAAUUCUAUUAGGCAUUACCCACUUCACACCAUAGAUAUUUUGGAAGAUAUCCAUAUCUGUCCAGUUUGUGGAGAAACGCGGUUUACAGAUUCUUGAAUUUCUUAACAAAUAAAAACCCUGCUGCAUAAGGCAUGUCCUCUUCUAUGUAGCAUAUCCUGAGCAAGACAUCUAUUCAAGGCUGCAAUCCAUCCAAAACCACCAGCUUUUGUAUGUGUUUUGGUCUUCCAAAGCACCUUCCAAGGCCAUGAUACCUGCCACUGACCAGUAUGUUGUUGAAAAAGUUUGUAGCAGAUUUUAACAGAAAAUUUCUCCUCUCUAUUGGCGCUCUAUAUCUGAAUCCACUCUGCUUUCGUCCAAGGUUAGAGGUUCUAGAAGAUUGAGUAGUUGACAGGCAUCUUCCACUUCCCACUCAUUGACUUCUGAAGUUAAGUUGCAAGGCGGCUUCUGAAUUACUUUCCCCGUGUCAAAAUAGUUGGCCCUUGUUGACUUGACACUCCCUUUAAGAAAAUAGAAUUUAUUAAAAUCUUAUUUUACAAAAUUGGCCUUAUUAAUUAUGCUUUAAAAUAUAAAUUUGAGUAUAUACACUUUAUGUAGUCAUUUAAUGAUAGGGGUAGUAUUGGAAAAACAUAAUUCUCUUGAUUUCUUAAAUAGGAUAACUAAAUUGACACAAAUAAUUUUAGCAAGAGGGUCAACUAUUUUGAAACAGGGGGAGUACAUUCUGCAAUACUACAGAGUUUGUUUUUAGAAAUACUAUAUAAAUGGGGAACAUUUUCCAUCAGUUUCUCUUCUCCAGCCUGAUACCUCUGCCCGGAAUCUAGUUUUGCUCAUGUAUCGAAUCUCCUCCUUUAUGUUUUGUUGUAAGAUAGGCCAUAAAUUACUUAUAUAUUUCCACAAACCAGCACCUUCAUAUGUAUUAGAUUGGGAGAGCUAAGUUGCUCGGGCUCGGGUGCGGCUCUACGAUACGGUUACGGAUCUAGAGGUCGGAUUCUUUAGUCUCAAUUUAAAGAUUUGGGGAUAUGGAUCUAGGGAUGGAUACGGGUGCAGGGAUUUGGCGAAAAAUAAUUUAAAUAUCUAAAAAUAGAGUUAUAAAACAUAAAUUAUGAGAUAUUAUGUGGAAAACUUAGGAGAAAAUAUUGUCAAAGAAGAAAAUCCUGAUAGGAGAUAAAGGAAAAGCAAUAACAUAGGAAUUUAUAUAUACAGCGUAUUCCAUUUUCUUCAAUUUCACCUUAGCUUUUGUUUUGAUUAUAGAAUUUCUUAAAUCUUUCUGAACUUUACCUGUCGAUUUUGGUCAAAGUAUCCAAAAUUGGUUGACCAGAACGGGUACGGAUCCCACACCCACACCCACACCCAUGUUGUGUCGACACGCGUGUGGCACCGAAAGUGAAAAGUCCGAGUAACUUAGUGGGGGAGUGCUUGUUCCUCCUGCUGGGUUUCUUUCUGUGAGCAGAGUACUACUCUACUUAAAAUAGAAAAUGAAAUGGAAUUCAAAUUUUCGAGAAAAAGAAACCGCAGAAAGCUACUAACUUGUCAAAUCCUUUCCCGCAGCAAUCCUCUCACCAUCUUUUGAAGUCUCCAUCCACAGUGAAACAGAAAAGUAAUGUGGACAGUAAUGAAGAUUCACAGAGUGCAGAUAAAUCUCACAAUUAACUGUCACCAUAGGAUAUAGUAAGUAGGUGUGUAAGAUAGCAUAAAUGCCUAUUUAUGCAACUACGAAUUUCUCCUUCUUUUCCUUUCUGACGGUGGAGUGCUACAUUGGAUAAUCAGUUAAGUCUAUGAAGCAUUAUGAUCUAAAAAAAUGGUCAAGCUUUAUAUGCUUUUCCUUCUAGAUAUAGAAGGUUAAUGGUGUUCGAAAUCCCCUAAUGGGCUUGCAGGACAUAUGUCCAGAGGGUCAAAAUACAAAGUAAAAUGAGAAGCUCCAAAUUGUUUUAUUUUCCAACCUUGGCUUGCAUUGAAGAAACUUUCUUCUUCUUUUCGUUGUACACAUGUACGCGCACAUGCAUACACAAACACCUAUUAUAUAUAAAGAUUGCAUUGAACAAAGCUUCUGGUACAUACUAAUUAUACCCGAUUCUCUCCAGAAAGUUAUUACACAAGGAGCAAGGCAAUCCGAAUUCAUUCUGUGGAAAAUCAAUAAGCAAUCUCUUUGGAAGCAUGUUCUAGACAAAAUGUACCAUGCUGCCCUUAAUUUGAGAUUGAGAAUAACAAAUGAGCGGGAACAGGGAAAAGAGGUUUGUAUAGUGAUCUCUCUUUGUAUCUGUUGCUUGCUUUUUUUUGUUAUUUUUGCGUUCAUCUUCUAUCAUCAUGAACUUUGCAAGUGUUGAUGAGCAGAUAACGUUUAUGUUACUGAACCAAAUAAUUAAUUAUUUCAUGAUUACGGAAACAGUAUGCAUCUGCAUUUUAGGUUCAGUCUCAUCUAGAAAGAUAAUUGAGUGAGAACAAAGUUCUCCUCCUUUUGUUCAUCUUAGACAGACACAUCAAUUUGCUAUGAAUUGGUCAGCCUACAGUCUGGCACGAACCAAAAAGGAGUUCAAAGUGAAGAAAAUAGUCUUCCUAGUUCUACUUUGAGACAUCAGGGGCGGCUCAACAAACAUGGAGGCCUAAAGCAAAACAUCAAUGAGAGCUCUUACGAUUUUGUUAUAAACAAAAAUAAUUAUAUUUUGUAUAAAAAUACCAAUUUUUCUCUUUUUCAUAUUCAAAGUGGGAGUGACUUCGCUAGAAGACAAGAUGUGUGAAACAAGAUUUAGAUGGUUCGGGCAUGUGAUAGGGAGAAGCAUGGAUGCCCCAGUGCGAAGGUGCGAGAAGUUGGCUAAGACCGAACAAAAUAUUGGAGGGAGGUGCCUAGACAUAUCAUGGAACAAUUACAGCUUACUGAGGACAUGACUUUAGAUAGGAAGGUGUGGAGGACGCGUAUUAGUGCAGAAGGUUAGUAGGAUGGGGGCUACUAGUUGUAGCGUUUCACGAAUAGUAUCUUGCUCUUGGAGUUCUUGGGUGUUGUUUGUGGUUUUGGGUAGAUAUUUGGUGGUAUUAUUUGGUGAUAAUCUUGUUUUUGCUACUUCUGUUGUUUUGUUACUGCCUUUUGUUUCUUGUUCUUAUAUUAUGUCUUUUCCUGCGUUGUUUGGUCUAGAGUCGGGGUCUAUUGGAAACAACCUCUCUAUCUCACCUUUGAGGUAGUGAUAUGGACUACGUACAUUCUAUCCUCCCCAGACCCCACCACGUGGGAAUAUACUGGGUAUGUUGUUGUUCAUAUGCAAAAUUUAAAAUACUCUCUUUCCAAUAUGUAUGAUAUUUUUCGUUUUUCGAGUUUCAAACUUUCUGACUUUGAUUGUGUGCUUAAAUUUAGUGUCUUUAAACUUUUUGAAAUAAAAAUUUACAUACUUGUAAACUAUGUAUACGUAUAUAAAAAGUACAAUAAGUUAUAUUUAUUAACAAUUUAAAAUAUUUUAAAAAAAAUAUAUGAAAAAUUACCAUCAAAGAAUAACUCAUUUAACUCUACAAAAUCCAAACAUCGCACAUAAAUCGAGAUAAAAGAGUACUCCGUUCCUAAAUAAGUGAUGUUUUACUCUUUUCAUUUUGUUCCAAGAUAAGUGGUGUUUUAGAUUUUAUAGAAGAAAUUAUCUUAUUCUUCUAAAAUUGCACUUGCUUUAAUAUAUGGAGUUAUAUACCAUUAAAGAAUCACCUCUUUUUUUUCAAGGUAUUUAAUUAGAGGUAAGUUAAUAAAAACACUUCUUAUUUUCUGGUAUAAAUGAGUAAUUCAUUAAAAGGAGUACUCAAACUAAAAAGACCACUUAUUUAGAAACAGAUGGAGUAUAAUAUAGACAUAUGUUAGGAAAUUUAGAAACUAAUUUUUCUUUACUUUUUAGUUUCAUCUUUAGUAAUUGGAGAAAUGAACGUUGUAUAAAAUGUGUAUAGAAACAGUGUAACUAUUGUAUGUAUAUAUAUAAUUUGUAUAGAAAUUGUAUAGUAGUUGUAUAAAAUACGUAUUUGAAGGUCGGAAAAAAAAAAUUAUAUGAGUAGGACCGGAAGGUCGGAAUGACGGCAUGACCCUACUGAAAAAGAAAAAUUAUAUGGGUAGGGUCGGAAUGAUGGCACGAUCCUACAAAAUCAGAUAUGAGGAUUCACCGAAAAGACACGUGGAACUACACAAAUAAGAUCUGAGGAGUCAUCAAAAAGAUGCACAAUGCUAUGCAACUAAGAUUUGAGAAAGUAGUCCGGAAAGAUGUACAGUACUACGCAAAAUAUGAGUAGUCCGAAAGAUGCACGGUGCCUCGCAAAUCAAAUAUGAGGAAGUAGUCACCAGAUAGAAGCACGCUGGCCCAACUUUUGCUAAAUGAUCAUUGGCCAAACGGGCGGCAUAUUUGUGUAGUAGCCGCCCACCGGCAACGAAGGUUCUUUGAUUCUCUACUAAGAUCGUUAGAGGCUUUGAUACCAUGUGAGAAAUAUCAGAGAAAAAUAUUAUUGAAUUGUUGUUUUUAACAUUAUUACAUUGAGAGACCCUAUUUAUAAACACUACAUUAAUCCUUUUCCAAUUAGGAGACCACUACACUAUAAUCCUCCUUUUUCAACUAGGACAUAAUUGCAAUUCUUUUCCAAGUAGGAUCCUAUUUCUACUUCAAUUCUAACAGUUCUAUUUCUUAGAAUGUGAGAAUGUUGUAUGGAUUCAACUUCUCAGAUAUAAUAAGAGUGUUCUUCCCCCAUGGGGGAGAGGGAUUGGAUUAGGUUUAUGUUCAACCUCAACUUUACAUUGGCUUGAUUACUUGUUCAAUUCAAGUUGCAAAACGUUUUUCUUUCAUUUGUUUGUUACUAUGUCUUGCCAGUAACUUCAUUGUCAUCACCACCACUUCGCUUGCUACACCUAUUUUUGUACCAUGUUAAGGAAGGAUUUGUGCAAGGUUUUUCCCACCUUUAUCUUUUUUUUUUUGUCAGAAUCAGAUACUCGGGGACAAAAUGAUAAUUCUCAAGGGAAUGACGACAAUCUAUUCUAUUUUUGUUCUGCAUUUACCUUCCCCUUCAUUGUAUGACGAUGACAUGAGGGAGAAGUGAGGAUUCAAUUGUUGUUAUUUACCUUUCCCCUUCAUCGACUAUUAGUGGAUUCACAUGUACUAAUGUCUUGGCUGUUCGGUAUUGCUUUUGCUAGAUUCUUCAGAUGCCUAGAGAGAAGCUGGUAGGAGGACUGAGCGACAGACACACGCGCCUAAGAAAAAUUUGGAUUACUCUGGAAUCUUCUUUAAUGAAUCUUGAUGAUGCACUCAUGCUCUUCCAUGACUUCUAAAACAAGAAGAUGAUUUACAUUAUACAUUCUCACCUUGUUUUCCUGAUUAAAAUUAUUUUAGAUGUGCCCUUAGAAUCUUGCUGUCCUGAUUGGAUACAAAAUCUCAUCCAAGAAGUUUUUUUAAUGCAUGUAGGCUAUUUUAUUUGUCCUUGGCUGAUUUCUUGAACCAUAAGGUGACUCAUUAAAUACUGUGCACUGUCUAGUUUGUUGAGUUCCCGCCUCUUUUAUGGUUGGCAAUUAUGUAGGCGACUGAAUAGCAAUAUUGAAUUUCUGUUCAAGCCAAUCAGGUUAUGGAAACUAAACGGUCAAUUUUCUACUAAGAAAACAAGUCUCCAGGUGUGUCAACACCUAAAUAUCAGAAGAAUAUUUCGUUCUGUAGGUUGAUCGAUUGGAUAAGAUUGACAUUAGGAGAUAAAACCUAUUACAAUAUUAGAUUUAUUAUUGCAAGUGAUAACAAUUUUUUUAGAUUGCAUUAUAUAACAAAGUAGUCAAUCAAUAAUAGAAUAUCAAUUACCCUUAAAAUCUCUCUAAAAAUAGUUUUUCCCUAAUUUAUUCAUUCAUAAUUAACGUGAAAAUUAACCGUUCUAGUUCUUCAUCCAUUAUGAACUUCUUCCUCCUCCAAAGAACAUAAAUCAAUUUCAAGUGAAAUUUAAUAUCAUUCAGAUUAUUUGGUGUUAAUCGUUGACUUUUUUUUAAUUGAAAUAUAGAUUUACAAAUUUUGAUUGCAACAGGUUAUUCCCCCUCCCCCCUCCAAAAAAAAAAAAUGAAAAUCAACAUCACGUUGUUCCCUCCAGAAAAAAAAAAAAUCAACAUCACGCUUUCUGCAAUAUGGAAGGUGAUAAUUUUCUUUUAAUAUGGACAAAGAUGGAACGUCCAGGUAAUUUAUUUUAAAAAAAAAAUUAAAAUUUUUGUACAAAACUGAAGAAAAACUUGUGUAUACUCGAUAUAUAUUUGAUAUUAACAGUAGUAUCGAGUAUGGCGUGGAAAGAUUUUUAUGUGUGUUAAAGGCAUUUUAAUAUCCGAUGUGUUUUUUUUUAAUGUCAAGUGGUAUAUUUUAGUGUACCACUUUGAUGCACGAAUUAUCCUUUCUUGUUAAAAUUUGGUAUAAAUUAUAGUACAUAUUUGGUAUUAUCAGUAGUGUGGACUGUGGUAUAGAAUAUUUUUUGUUUUUGUUAAUAGGCAAUAUUAAAAAUUUGUUUUUUCUUCAUAUUGAAGUGGUAUAUAUUAUUAUAUGCAUUUGAUAGUAUGCUAUGUACUAACACUCUGUUUGGAUGGUGGUUUGCCAUGGUUUCAUAAUGUACAGUAUGAUAUGGUAUGGUAUGAUACUAUAUAGUAUAGUACAAUACAAUAUUUGGAUAGACUGUAUCAUUACUGCUGUUUAAUGAUAAUUUUUUUGUUUGAGUUGAUGGUAUGGUACUGUAUCGUAAUGGGUAAGUUUACUAAAAUACCCCUAGUUAUUAUAAAUUUUAAAUUUCAGAAAAUAAGCUUGUUGUUAAGACAAUUUAAUAAUUGUAGGUCUAUCCUUUCUUUUUAAAAUUUGGUAUAAAUUAUAGUACAUAUUUGAUAUUAUCUUUUUUUGGUAAAAAAGAGAUAAUUUCAUUGAUCAUUAGUCGGGAUUAGGGGGAUUGGAGCUCCUAUCAGUAGGAGGAGGCAAAAAGUUAGAGUUCAAGGCUAAAUCCAUGCCUUGUGGAUUAUAGUUCAAAUGUUUAACAAAACGAUUAAAAGUUUUGCCAAUGGAGUCAUUGUUUACAAUAUUGGCUGCAAAAGGUGGUGCAUUAGUUAGCACAGUAGGGGCUGGUAAGUACUCGUUUCUAGUUUCUUUCUUCGCCAAGCAAUCCGCUACUGUGUUCUGCUCCCUGAAUAUCUGUGUUGGUGCUGUUGCUCUCAGCUCGUCUAUCAAUGACCUGCAUUCGGACACAAUGUUAGAAUAAAGUGGGUGGUUUUUUUGUAAAAUAGUAAUGUCUAUUGUUGAGUCCAUCUCUAUGUCAAAAGCUUUGAGGUUGUGCUCUUUUGCUACUAAAAAGCCUGAUCUAAGGGUCAAUAGCUCAGCCAUUGUUGGGGUUGUGUGGGGGAUGUGUUGGUGGUAUCCAAGCACCCAUUCCCCAUUGUUAUUCCUGAAAGCUCCUCCCAGGUCCUGGAUUGGCAGUUGCAGAACCAUUAAUAUUGAGUUUGAGUCCCCUAGUGGUUGGGGGUUCCAUUUGAGACUGAUGACUGCAUUAGUAUGAUGCCUUUUGGUGUGGUUUGUCUUGCAGACAAGGGUGAAUUCAGUGGCAUCAGCAAUAACUGCCUCAACAUCGAUGGGUCUAUGUUUGCUGUAGAAGGGGUUGUCAUUUCUAGUCAAUCAAAUAGCCCAAAGACAGUAGGGUAAGAGGGUGACCCAAGUAAGUCAGUUAUUGAAGGGUUUCCCCUACAGGGCAUCCCAUAUUUUCUCCCAGGCUUCCAUGUUAUGCCAGGUUGAGGAAAAUUUGUAGGUGCUCUUGAUUUGGAUACUACUCUAGAAAAGGAGUGCAUUGCUGCACUUGAAGAAAAUGUGAGGGAGGUUUUCCACACUGUUGUUGCAGAAGUGGCAUUAUGUGGAGACAUCAAUGCCAAUGUAGUUAAGGUAACUACUUGUGGGAAGUCUUUUGUGGGUUAAAAGUCAUAAGAAGGUUUUGAUUUUAUUGGGGGUGUUUGCUCUCCAAAUUCUCGAGAAGGUGGAGUGAUGGUUAUCAAGCUUAACCUUCGAGUGGUGUUUGGAUAACAGAGAGUACAUGCUGCUGGUGGUGAAUUUGGCAUCAGGGGUGCAGUUCCAUAUAGCAGUGUCAGGAAUGUUAUUAUGGGGAUUCGUGACCAUACUAGUGAUGCUUUGAGUGAUGAUGUUAGGGAUUUGGAAGGGGAUAAUGGAGAAGUCCCAAUUGCCAUUAUUGUACACUUCUUGAACAGUGAUGUCUAGAGUCUGGCUAUUAAUUGGUCCAUGGAUAAUACUGUUGAGACUGUCAAGAUUGGAGAUCCAGGUGUCACCCCAAAAGCUCACCUUGUCUCCCCUACCCAACCUCUACCUAAUUCUUAAGGAGCAGUCCUGCCAAGCCCUCGUAAUGCUCCUCCAGGUUCUGGAGCUUAACUUUUUGGUGGGAGAAGUACCAUGGUUGUUGUAGUACUUAUUAAGCAACACUUGACCCCAAAAAGAAGUUGGAUUAUGGAAAAGUCUCCAAGAAAGGUUGGCAUGCAUAGUUGUGUUCCUAAGUUCACUCCUGUGAUGGCUAAGGCCUCCAUUUUUCUUGUGGUUGGUGAUGGUUUCCUAUGGAUUGUGGUAUAGAAUAUUUUUUGUUUUUGUUAAAAGGCACUAUUAAAAAUUUAUUUUUUCUUCAUAUUGAAGUGGUAUAUAUUAUUAUAUGCAUUUGAUAGUAUGCUACGUACUAACACUCUGUUUGGAUGGUGGUUUGUCAUGGUUUCAUAAUGCAUGGUACAGUAUGAUAUGGUAUGGUACCAUAUAGUAUAGUAUAAUACAAUAUUUGGAUAGACUGUAUCGUUCACUGCUGUUUAAUAAUAGUUUUUUGUUUGAUUUGAUGGUAUGGUACUGUAUCGUAAUGGAUAAGUUUACUAAAAUACCCUUAAUUAUUAUAAAUUUUAAAUUUCAGAAAAUAAGCUUGUUGUUAGACAAUUUAAUAAUUGCAGGUCCUAUCUAAAAUCAAAACCAUCUCUAUCUAUAUUACGCAAAGCAUUCAAAAAUGAGUAAGAUGAUGCAAAUACUUCUAUUGAACUUCACAACAUUUAGAACCAAUUAUCCAUAGUUGAAUUAAUCACAAUGUUCAAAGAGGGAAACAGACAGAUGUAAUGGGAGGAUCUCAACACAUAAAAACUUUCAAAUUAACUUGGUAAACAUGGGCAUCCGGCAACAAUUGAAGAAGAAGAAGACGAAAAAACGAAGAACCUAGAGGAGAACAACGUAGAGGAGAGAUUGAGCAGAUAAACGUAAAAAUAAAAAUAUAUUAGGGUCAUAAGUAAUAUAGGAUAAAGGGUAAAAUAGGAUUAUAAAAUAUUAUAUAAGGGUAUAAUUGAAAAAAAAAAAUAACAAAACCAUGGGAUACCACCAAAUCAGUGGUUCUGAAAAUUGAAGGAUUUCAUGGUUAUCAAACCAUGAAACAUACCAUACCAUACCUUUUAGAAAACAAUCAAAAUAAACAUGGUUCCCUUGAUAAUCAUAUCAUACCAUACCAUGGGAAACCACCAUCCAAACAGGUACUAAGUUUUUGUACGUGAAUGGUAGCAUAUUUAUUUAUUUUUGAUAUAUUUUUUUAACUUAUUUUUAUAAUUAAGGGGGUGGAUAUCCACAAAAUUUCUACAUAUUGUUAUCAAUGGUCUGAAACGGUUUAUAUUGUGUCUUCUAAAUAUGAAAUGUAGUUGUGGAUAAUUUUAACUAGAUAAGACCCCUUUAAAUACGGAAAGAUCUACAAGUUUGAUAGUUAUACUCAUUCAACGCAACAUCUUUGAGUGACAUGACUUCGAAUGAAGAAGCUAAAAUUAUAAAUACAUCGAACAUGAUGUGAUUAGUUAUUUUUGUUCUUUCAUUAAUAUACACAUUGGUUAAAUCGUAUUGUACGAAAGAAGAUAUUAUAAAUUGACAUUACAUGAAAAAAAAUAUAAAUUGGUACAAUGAUCUGAUUAGUUAUUUUGUAUUUUAUGAAAAUGAUAUAUUAAUUGGUACCAUGUGGUUGUAGCAGUGUAUAAAUUUAAUAUAUAAUAUAGUAUUUUAAGUAUUAGGUAAUAUAGUUUUUCCAAGGUUGAGUGUUUGACAACGUGCGUUAUUGAGAAUUUCGUAGCUAAUUUAUGUUCUUUAUGUAGUAAUGGAAGGGAUAUAUAAAUUAGUACCUAAUUAGAAUAGCAUAGUUUAAAAAUAAAAAUUUGUAGAUUCACGCCAUACACUAAAAUAAAAAAUAACGUAUAAUAUUUGAUGAGCGUUAGUUUCUACACCAAAUUCUGUAAUUACUAUACUCAUUUCAUACGAAUAUAACAUGUAAGAAAUUAUUUUAUAAGCGUUGAGCGGAAUAUAAAUAUUUCAUAUUGAUUUUAUACAGUUUUUCAUAAAUGAAAAUUUGGAGAAAAAUUCUAAGUAAUACUUAAUAUUAUGAUUAACGUUUUUAUUUCUAUUGUGCACGUAAUAUUGGUUAUAUAAAUUGUAGUGGAUAAUUUUUUUGAUUUAUUAUUCUCUUAUCAGUGAAGAAGAAUUGCCAGAUAUUUUUUGAAAGAAUAUCAACAACCCUUUCAGAAGAUAUAUAUUCUUUCAUAAUUUAAAGAGAAUUGAUUUAGUUAAUUUAAUGUUAUUCUUAAAGUCCCUAUAAAUUAGCCCAUAUAACUUGCCUACUAUCUACCCACGUACAAUAAGCUUAAAUUUAAGCCUAUUAAAUUAAUUUAAAAAAGAAUUUAGAUAAAUAAAUAUUUAAAAUUCUGUAAUAAAUCUAAUUUUUUAUGCAUUGUAAUUAUUUACUUAAUUUUAUAAAUAUUUAAAAGGUACAUUUCUAAUCUGUAAUAAAUAAUCUUAAAAGUAAAUCUAGGGUCAUUUUUUCUUGACAUAAAUCUUAUUAAAUAAUGACGAACCUUUUAUCAACUUAAUAAUAUCCAUCAUGUUGGGCUCAGCAAGCCUAAAGAUACUCUUAUAUUGUGUGAUAUUGUCCGCUUUGAGUUAAGUCCGCACGGUUUUUUUUAAAAGGCCUCACAUCUUUAAAAGAUCUUACACCUUAUAUGUAGCUUCUCAGUCCUUCAACUACCAAAGUGGGACUUUUAUUCGCCCACCCAAUAAUCUUUUCCUCGAACUAAGUUCAUGUGGUCCAUCACCACAAUCCACGGGUCUAUUUUUGAGAUUCGCUAUGUGUUACCCACACCAAACAAUCUCUCCCCUCAAAUUAAGUUCCACAUAAUCUAUCACCAUGAUUCAUGGGCCAAUUUUUGAGAAUCAUCAUGUGUCACCCAUACGAUUUGAGUAUUUAUGCCAACUGAAGUCCACUACUAGCUUCUUCUAGUGUGUGCAUCUCAAAGCUCGCAAAGAUAGCAAAUUGAGCCCCACACUCCAUCACUCCACCAUAUCUUCAUACUUAUCCCACUGAAUCUGGCUGCUUAUACAAGUUGUUGGGCUCAACAAGCCCAAUGACACUUUUACAUGGUGUGAUAUUGUCUGCUUUGAGUCAAGCCAACACUAUUUUCUACAAAAAAACCUCACGCCAUUAAGAGAUCCUACACCUUAUAAGUAGCUUACAGUCCCUUUAGCUGCUAAUGUGAGACUUUUAAUGUCACACCCAACAUAUCAUUAAUUAUUUUUGUAAGAAAGUAAUUAGAAGUUUAGGUUGAGGUGAGAAAUUCAAUCCAAAUUUGUUUGAUUCAUCUAAUUAGUUUUGAUGGAUGGAAUGGAAUAUGUUAUAUUACAAUUGAAAAUGGGACAAGUUUGAGCACAUCAUAUCUUAGAGAAAAUCACAACACACAUAAUCCACAUAUGAGGUUGUUGGAGCAUGAAAAGCAACAUUUGUGAAGGAGUUGAUGACAAGGAGAUUCGUAGUUCUUUUCCGUCACGUAUGAAGAGAAAGGUUGCCUUAUCAUUCACCACGGAUGGUUCAUUGAAGGUAAAAAGAAGUAUCAUUGUUUUCACUAGCCAGACUCCAAGAAAUAAAGAAGGGGCAUGACGAAGCCACACAACCUUCGAAGAAAGUCAAAGAGAAGAUUCAAACUUUGUUUAUGACAGUGGAAGAUAAUAAAAAACUAUUUCUUACAUUACUACACGUGCAUUACCUCUUAACAUUAAUGUAUUUCAUACUCGAAUGGAUUAUCAAUGAUUCUUUGACUAUUAUAUCACUAAAUGAGACAUACAUAUAGGUUGGAUAAAUCAAUAAUAGAACUUGAUUUGCUACAUUAUUCAUGAGUAUUACCUCCUAAUAUCAACGUAUUUCCUACUCGAAUAGAUUAUCCAUGUUUAUUUGACUACUAAUCACUAAACAAAACAUAUAUAGGUGGACGGAUCAAUAAUAGAACUUGAUUUCUUAUAACGCAUAUAUUACCUCCUAACAUCAAUAUUUUUCAUAAUCGGAUGAAUUAUCGAUGUUUCUAUGACAAAUAUAUCACUACACGAGAUAUACAUAGGUUGGACAGAUCAGUAAUAGAACUUGAUUUCUUAUAUUACUACACAUGUAUUACCUCCUAACAUCUAUGUAUUUCAUACUCGAAUGAAUUAUCGGUGAUUCUUUGACUACUAUAUCACUAACUAGGACACAUAUAUAUUGGAUAAAUCAAUAAUAAAGCUCGAUUUGUUAUAUUAGUACAUGAGUAUUACCUCCUAAAAUCAAUGUAUCAUAUUCAGAUGGAUUACCGGUGUUCCUCUGACUACUAUAUCACUAUGCAAUAUAUACAUAGGUUGGAUAGAUCAAUAAUAGAACUUGGUUUGUAAAAUUAUUAUGUUAGUAUUACCGUUUCAUAUCAAUGUAUUUCAUACUUAGAUUGAUUAUCGAUGUUUUUUUGACUAUUAAACCACUAAACAAGACAUACAAAAGUUGGACAAACCAAGAAUAGAACAUGAUUUCUUAUAUUACUGUAUGUGUGUUACCUCCAAUCAAUCCAUUUCAUAAUCAGAUGAAUUAUUAGUGAUUAUUUGACUACUAUAUUACAGAUGCAGGCUUACAUUGGUUGAAUAGAUCAAUAAUAAAGCUUGAUAAUAGGUUGAGUACACCAAUAAAUUAUUUAAAAAUUAUACAAAAAAAUUCAAAAAAAAAUCUUUUUUUUCUUGAACAUUCCAAGUCAAAGAGUGUUUUGUAAAAUAAAAUGAAGAAAAUAUAAAAUUACACGUGUUUCAAUUUAAUAGAAUUGGAGAUUUACUAGUGGCAAGUGAAUUAAUAUAAAACAACACGUGUCGCACUUUAGAGAAAAAGAAAAUACAAAAGAACUUAAACUUAGAAAAGUCAGAAAUAAUGGCCCAGUGAGGAUGACGAAAAUACGACAACUUCGCUUAUAUAUAUUAGUAAUGUCAAAAGAAGAAAAUAACUUUAUAUAAGAUAAAACUAUCUUUAGAUAAAUUUACUUUCACAAUAAAUAAAUUAUUUAAAAGAUGAAAUAAAAUUUAAACGAAUUGAAUCCUCUUUAAUAGAAGCUUAAAAGGCAUAUUUAGCUUCUUCUUCAAACCCGUCCCACAACCCCAUAACACACCCAACCGGCCUGUCAUUCCCUCCACUACCUUCUUCUUCAAACACCUCCCCACCCCCAUCUCUUUCUUCUUAUGCAAAACGUCUCAUCCCUUCCCCUCUUCUUCGACCCCAAUCCCUUAUGCACCUCAAUUCUCCUCUUUUUUUAAUUUUUUUUUAUAAACUAAAAUAAUUAAAAUCAUCAAUAAAAAUUGAUUAAACCAUCGAACUUCAUUCCUAUCAUAAUUAAGAUUUUUGUUUAAAAAAAAUAAAUCACAUUAAUAUAUCUUAUAAUUUUAUAAAUUAUUUAAUGUUGUAUUCAUGAAAAUUAAAAUUUUUCUAGGCUAAAAUCUUGAAAAAGAGGAUUGUAUGUAAGAAGAUUAAAAUUUUUUGAGGUUAAAUUUAUUUCUUUAAUUAGUAAAAAUUAAAGCUAAUCAAUGGAGAAAACAUUAAUGGGGUUGAUGGGGCGAGGUGAGGGUGUUCAUGAAAGAGAGAGUGAUCCAAUAGAGUCAGAACACCUUUCUAUCUAAAAGAAAUGGUGCUCGAUGAAAGGAUCCAAAUUCCAUACUAUGCUGUGGGCUGGGGAGAGAGCUGCUCUGCUAAGCUGGGCGUUCAGUGUUCUUAUGAAGGAAGCAUACUCGAAAGAGAAUUGAAAGGGCCACAGGGGGGUGGGGGGGGGGGGGGGGGGGGGGGGGAAGAACAUUGAAAUUUAUAUAAUUUUUAAGUGGCAAUACAUAUAGCUGAGGUGGUAAUACAUGGCGCAUGUGAGAUACAUCUUUUAUAAUGAGACGGAUAGUACAAUUUUAGGGUAGUAUUUAAUUCAUUUAAAAAUUAUUUAAGGGGAUAUUUAAAUGUAUGUAAAGUUAGUACUAAAGUAAGUUUGACUAACAAGUUUAGGGGUGGUUUCAUGAAUUCUUUCAUUUGGUUAUGGGUGUUGAAUUUUAUAGUGGUUCUUUGCAAUUUUUGUGGUGCAUGACAAUGGUGGUGAUGUGAUUCUGAUUGUGAAUUUAAUUGAAUUUAUGGUGAUUGUUUGCAAUUUUUUAUGGUGACAGUGAUUGUGGAAUGAUUUUGAUGGUGAAUUUGAUUGUGAAUGGUGAAAUCUAUGGUGAUGGAGCCAUAAGUUUGGUAAAGAUGGCGACAAUGGUAAGUUUGGCGACGCAUAGUGAAGAAGAAGUAAUUUGGGUAACAUGAAAUUAUUAAGUUUAGUGGAACUUUAAUAAUUUUUUAUGUAGUAUUUACAAGUUCCCCACUGUGUGGGAUACACUGAGUUUUUUGUUGUUGUUGUAGUAUUUACAAGAUAUCUUCUCUAAUAUUUUUUUUGUAUUCUUUUAGGUUUGGCAGUGAAAAUAUUCUUCAAAUUCGACUCUAGUACUCAACAAAUUCAUACAGGCCUAUCAAUGUCUACACAACGACUAAACGGUUACUGAACUUAAAAAAUAAAAUUAAGAAAAUAGAUGAAGAGUAACAGAACUACUAAACAUAGAAAUUAUUAUUUCAAGAGUAGCAUAAUUUUGACUGGCUUCAGAAUAGUGUAAGAAUUAAGUCAUUUUUAUGCAUAUCCCUCCAGAUUAAUUUGACUCUGAUACCACACAAAUUUUCACAACGAUAAUGGAGAUAUGAUGUAUUUGCACGGGAUAGCUCAAACAUACCUCCUCAAUAUAAAGGAAAAAGUCAACACUCUUAAAAAAAAACACUCUUUCAACAAUUAAAAGGUUACUAGGCAAUAAAUAUGUAGACCUCACAAGAAAUUCGCAAACAACUAUGCAAUAACAAAACAAAAGACACAAAUCUUCGUAAAAUAACAAGUCAAAAGCACAAAAAUCAGCAAUGUAGAAAAAGACAAUUAUAUUUUCAAGAUAAGAAGUGGAAGAAAAAGACUCGUGUAAAAUAACUCUGCUACUCGUGGACACAUGUAGAAUAGAUAUUUAGUCAUUGGCUACUCAUGAACACAUAUAGAAUAGAUAUUUAGUUAUCUACAAUUCAUGGACACGUGUAAAAUAGAUAUUAUGUCUUAGAUAAUGGAUACAUGUAAAAUAGAUGGAUAUAUUAGUUAACUUAGUCGGCAUUUGAAGUCUAUUUAAGACCUUUUAACUUGUAUCACCACAGGAUAUUUGAAAAUACCUUACUCACUUUCAUAUUGCCCAUCCUUUUCCCUAUUUAUUUUGUUUUCCUCAAAUCAAUAAAAGCUUUUGCAAGUAUUUUCUCUACUUCUACUUUGCUAAUUUUCUCUGCUUCUACUUUGCCACAUCUUAAGUGUUUUUAAAGUUCGUUCUUAAUACUUUGCUUGUUUAAUUUUGUUUAUUAUUAGUGUUGGUUUGACUACUAAAUCACUAAAAGCCAUACAAAGUUGACGAAUUAAUAAUACAACUUAGUUUCUUACAUUACUACAUGUGUAUUACCUCCUAAUAUUAAUGCAUUUUUUAUUCGGAUGAAUUAUUGAUGAUUCUUUGCCUAUAUCUCUAAACGAGACAUAUGUAGGUUGGAUAGACCAAUAAUAAAAUUUGAUUAAGCAACAUAAAGCAGUUGAUAUUGGCUCAGGUCAUGGAAUGAAGCCAUUUUGCAGGAGAUUGAAGAAAAUUUGAGAAAAAUAUAGCAGAAAUUCAAGAUAUGAGUGAACUCAAUAUUGCAUAUUCUUGUAUUGAUCUUGUACUAACAUAAAUACUAAUGAUUCAUCUUCUAAGAAAAAAAUUUGCCCUAUAUACACUGAAGCGAUGUCAUAUGCUUUACUCGUGGUUUUGACUUUCUUGAAUUUUUGGAGAUGGAAUAUAUUAGGAUUUUGGAAUGUAAUUUGAUAGAUGGACUAAUCCACCUGAGUCAUAAAACCUAAAUUAGGUAAGAUUAGGUUUUAUGCGAUAGAUGAAAUGGAGAGAUAGAUGAGAUGUCUCUCACCGUAUUGGGGCAGGUUGGAUGAAAUGGAGGCUCGUUUCGAGAAUUUUAUGCAAUAAGAAGGUGCCCCCAAGCUGAAAGGCAAAUUCUAUAUAGUUUUUGUUCGGCCUGCUAUGUUGUAUGGAGCAGAGUGUUGGCCGGUUAAGAAUUCUCAUAUCCAAAAAUUGAAGGUGGCGGAAAUGAGGAUGUUGCGUUGGAUGUAUGGAUUCACAAGGGCUGACAGGGUUAGGAAUGAAAUUAUUCGGGAGAAGGUAGGAGUGGUAUCAAUGGAGGAUAAAAUACGGGAAGUGAGGUUGAGAUGAUUUGGUCAUGUGAUGAGGAGGGACACGGAUGCCCCAGUUCGUAGGUGUGAGAGGUUAGCCUUGGAUGGUUUCAAACAGGGUAGGGGUAGAUCAAAGAAAUACUGGAGAGAAGUGAUUAAAUGUGACAUGGAGCAGUUACAGCUGACGGAGGACAUGACCGUGGAUAGGAAGAUAUGGAGGAGAGACAUUAGGAUAGAGGGCUAAGGGUAUGGAUGAGUAAUAGUCAGUAAUUAGGUGGACUUCGGUGCCAUUUGUGUGGUAAUGUAAAAAUUUUUGUGGAUGUCGUACCUAUGUUACUUUAUCAUGUUCUAUGUUUUGGAUGCUUCUGUAUACUGUCUUUUAUCUUGAGCUGGGGGUCUAUCGAAAACAGCUUCUCUACCUCUUUUGAGGUAGUGGUAUGGAUUGCAUACACUAUACUUCCCCAGACCCCACUAUGUGGGAAUAUACUGAGUUUGUUGUUGUUGUUGUUGUUUAUUUUAAGGUAGCAACUUUUUUUUUCCUAAUGGAUAACACUUAGGGGUGUGCAAAAAUCUAACCGACCGAUAAAUCGAACCGAUAAAAAUGUUAUUGGUUUAUUGUUAUUGGGCUAUUGGUUUUUAAUGGUUUUAUAAAAAAAAUUUAUUGGGUUAUUGGUUCGGUUUGAUUUUUUCUUAUUGGGUUAUGUUAGGUUCGAAAUAGAAAGGGCAUCAUGCAGAAUCUAUUAGUUGCAAACUAUUGAGACGAUAAAUCAGACGAAAAGAAAAACAUAUUAAAAACAUGAUUAUUAUAUAGUUUGGUCAAUUGACCUACAUAUAAAAACCUAAUAUAAAAAAAAAAUAAAAAACUAUUAGAGAGAAAAUCUCCCCCUAAACAAAGACACUUUAAAGACUAUAUUGUGGAUGCUAUUAUGUUAUGGUAUGAGAAGGGAUCUUCUAUUUAUAGAUGUCCAAAACCUUUCCUCCAAGAAAGAGGUUAGUCAAAUAUGAAAAAAAAAAUUAUAUUUUUUCUUUCAGGAAAAGUAAAAGUAAUUAUGGCAACUUUUAUUUUCCUUCUAAGAAAAAAUAAAACUUAAAUAUAGUAAGAAAAUCAGGCAAAAAUCCUAACAAAUCUCUCCUUUUUGGCUUGAUUUUCUUCAAAAUAUUCUUGAUCCUCCUUCUUCUUGUGCAUGAUCUUUGUUCUUCAUAUAUCAUUGCUUCUUACCAUGAUUAAAAAUUAAUAUGGGUUAAAAUUGAAGCCCUAUGCAUUAAAAAUAGAAGCACAGGUUGAUAAGAUUAAAAGUGAAGCCUUGUACAUUGAAAGUGAGCACAGGUUAAGAGUGGAGCUCAUGCGUUAAAAAUAAAUGCACGAGUUGAAAGGAACCCAGGCGUUUAAGCAAGUAUGGGUUGAAAAUUAGAGCCCAUAAACAUGGGUUAAAAAUUGAUUUUGGUUUUAAAGAUGGAUAAGCAGCAAGAUUAUUGAAAUUUUGUUUGAAAUUUUUUCUCUACAUGUAGUUUGACAAAAAUCCUCAUUAUCGCCCAAAUUGUUGCAGCUUGAUUUUGAAAUCGCUUUGAACCUGUUUAAUCUCGUCUCACCACACUAUUGGACCAUUGAACCGUAAGCUUUGAUACCACUUGUUGGGUUCGAAAUCGAGAGGGCACCAUGCGGAAGCUAUUAGUUGCAAACUAUUGAGACAAUAAAUCAGACGAAAAGAAAAACAUACUAAAAACAUGAUUAUUAUAUAGUUUGGUCAAUUGGCCUACAUAUAAAAAUCUAAUAUAAAAUAAAAUAUAAAACUAUUAGAGAGAAAAUCUCCCCCUAAACAAAGACACUUUAAAGAUUACAUUGUGGAAGCUACUAUGUUAUGGUAUAAGAAGGGGUCUUCUAUUUAUAGAUGUCCAAAACCUUUCCUCUAAGAAAGAGGUUAGCCAAAUAUGGAAAAAAUUAUAUUUUUUCUUUCAGGAAAAAUAAAAGUAAUUAUGGUAACUUUUAUUUUCCUUCUAAGAAAAAAUAAAACUUAAAUAUAGUAAGAAAAUCAGGGCAAAAAUCAUAACAUGUUAUUGGGUAAAUCGAUAACCAAAUGAGAAUAUAUACAUAUAUAUAUAUGACUUAUUAUAUAUUUCUCUUUAAUUUCUACCAAUUAACAAACCUAUUAUUUCAGUUAUAUAAACUCUUAAUUUCUCCUAACAACAUUUCGUUCAAACUUAAAGAUUCUUGUAAAUUAAAACACAUCAUGUAGGAUUUAUGGUUGCAACUAAGAUUUAAUUUUUUUUUAUGUUAGUUACUACUAUUUCUAUUUUAUGAUUAUUUUCUUAUUGGUUAAACCGAAAAUCGAAUCAUUAAGGACUAAAAAUCGAUAAACCAAAAACCGAUAAAAAAUAUCUUAUUGAUUUGGUUAUUGGUUUAACAUAUUUAAAAAUCGAAAAUCGAUAAACCGAAUCGAUAAUAUAUAAAACCGAACCGACCGAUGCACACCCCUAGUAACACUUACAGUUGGUUGUUUAAGAGAAGCUAGAGUUAACUUACGAAAAAAUAUCAAAAUAUACAACUUUAGAUUGUUUAUUGUAAGUCAUAGCAAUACUUCUUAGAUUACAAGUCAUAGCAACUUUUAAAACAAAAAAAAUAAAGAAAAAAUGAAUUUUUUAUUUUAUUAAAAAGACACCCUUAAAAUAAGAUAUCGAUUACCAAAAGAUAUCAAUCUCCCACAAUUUCUCUCAAACAAUUUUUCCAUAUUUCAAAUGAAAAAUAUUAGUUAUACAAAAUAAAAAUGUUUCAAUAUUUUUAAUGAUUUUAAAAUUUUAUAUAUAUAUACACACACAUAUAUUCAAUUAUUCAAUUUUAAAUAUUUUAAGAAUAAUUUAUAUAUAAUUCAUAUACAUAUUCGUUAGAAUUUUUUUCAAAAUUUUCAUGUAUAAAAUUCGUAUAAAAUUAAUAUGAUAUAUCAAUAUUUCGCUCAAGGCUUACUUGUACAUAUUUUGGUGUAUGAAUUGUUUAUAAAAUAUGGUAUAUUUAAUUAGCUUAGAUUUACUGUUAUUUUACGUAUCUAAAAUUUAUAUAUAAACUAGUAAAAUUGGGAACGCUUUGGUUGGUAUGACUAUGACAUUAAGAUUGUAUUAUGAAAUUUUGGAUUUGGCUCCCAUUCAUUACAUCUCCUCUCCAUUUCCUCAAGUGCACAUUUAGAUGAGUAACACUUAUCAUAUCUAAAAUUCAAUGAUUUAGAUUAAUUUACUUGAAUAAGCCUCUGAUUAAUUAUAGUUAUAAAAUAAAUAAGAAAAAAAGCUCUAACCUUGAUAAAAAAAAUCUCAACUUCCACUAAUUUUCGCUCCUCAUUGAUAACAUAAUUUUCAUGGUACAUCCCCAUUUUCUCUGUUUUUUUAUGUGAAAAAUAAAACCAAAUAUAAAGGUGUAAUGAGAUUUUUUAAAAAUGCAUAGUUAAAGAAACAACAAAAUAAAUUUAAAAAGAGACACUAUUUAAAACAUUGUAUUAAUACUACUAUCUAUUAGACAAUAUCUUUUUCCUCUCCAUUUCUCUUUUAUUUUUGACAAAAUUUUAUUCACCAAAAACUUUUUUCCCUUUUUAACUUAAAAGUUGACUUUUCAAAAAAAAAAAAUCCGGUCAAAGUUAUUUUACAAGAUUUCAACAAAAAAUAAAUAAAAGAAUUCAAUGUUAUAUGUUAAAGUACUCCCUCCGUCCUAAAUUAUUCGUGCCAAAUUGAGAUGACACAUUGAUUAAGAAAAAUAAUUAAUAACAUGGUUAGUUUAUCAUAGUACCCCUAUUAAAUAAUGUUUACAUUUUAAUUUAAAGAAAAAGUAAUUAAUGCAAAGGGUAAAACAUGAAAAAAAAAUUAUCUCUUCUUGAUUAAUGAAAAAAGACAAGUAAAAUGAGAAAUCAAAUUAGGAAAUUUGGGAUGGAUAAUUUGGGAUAGAGGGAGUAAUUCAGAAAUUAUAAUCUAAUUUUUUUCUAAAUAUCAAAUUUUUUCAGAUAAUUCUCUUACGUUAUUUUGUCUAUCUUAUAAUGUCUUCUACGUAUUUUUUUUUUACUAAGGUUAUUCACGAUUUGAUUUAAUUUUUAAAUAAAAUUAAAUCAAAUCAAUUAUAUCAAAACCAUAAUAAAGAAAAGUAUAAUUAAAGUAAUAACAUUAAUGAGGGAUUAAAUUAGUGGAAGAUGAAAUUUUUCUUAUCAAAAUUGGUGAAUCUGUUUCUUAACUUGUUCUUUUACUAUGGUUAGGAGGCUUGUUAAGGUAAAUUAAUCUAAACCUUUGAAUUUUAAAUAUGGCAAGUGUCACUCAUCUAAAUAUGCACUUGAAGAAAUGGAGGGAAGAUGUAAUGGAGGGGAGCCAAAUCGUGGAAUUCUUGCUAAUGAGAAACUUGAUCCAAAUCCAGCGAAGUAUUCCCUCCAUUUCAGUGAAUAAAACAUAUAGCAUCCCGUAAUGAAUGUGUUUUAAAGAAAAAAGCAAUUUCAUUACAUAUAAAACAAAAGUAAACUCCUAAAGAAAGACUGCUUAUAACAGCGAAAUAUACUAAAAUGCUAAGAUGCAGCAAAAAUAAUUCUAAAUUAGUUUUGAAUUUUUUGAUUAGUUUGCCUGUUGUUUUCGUUCUCGUCCUCUUCUUUAUCAAUCGACACACCUUCACACUCUUACUCAUAUCACUUAUAUAUUCGUUAGUUUUACUACCUAGAUAAUACAAGAGUCGUUGACAACAAUAGAAAUGGGAAAUAAUGGUAUUAGGAAAAGAAAAGAAAAAAAAAAGUGUUUCGAUAGUCAUGUAUGCUUCUGAUUGAGUUUCUAGAGUUCUUUUUAUAACUGAGGCGUCCAGGCUAGCUUUCACAUCUAUCAAUGAAAUCUAUGGGAUAUAGGUCACCUUCUGUAACGACCUAAAAAUUUGAUGAAAUAUAUAAAAUUUGUGAUUGUAUGUGAUUUGACUGUUUUACCUCUCUUCGUAGUUGCAUUAUGGUAUUUCUGGGGUGUGGGAGUGAUCGACAUGAUUUUCGAUGCAUUUUGAUACCAUUUAUGCGAUAUUAUGAUUUUUGAUGGCUUCGAGAGUCUUAUUUUAGACUUAUGAAAAUAUCUUUUGAUUCGUGUGACGGAUCGCCAAACGGACUGCGCCAACAACUCUGGAAUAUCAAUUUUAGGUUAGGUAGACCUUUGGUUCAGGUCCCGGUGCACCCGAACUCAUUUCGGCCUAUUGAUCGAAAAGUUGGAAAAAUUAAAAAUAUGGGUGUGGGACCCACAUUUGAUUGAAACAACCUCGGAUGGAAAAUCCGACUUCGCCAGCAGAUUCGGAAUAUCAAUACUAAGGUGUUAGCAUAUUUGGUAUAAUUUUACGGCUUUUAAAUCUCAUUUCGAUCAUCGAUUUGGAAAAUUGUGAUUUCGAAUUUCAGGGGUCAACUUUGUGAAAAUGAGGUUUUUUUGAAAAUAUGAUAUCUUCAUCGCGUCCUUAACAUCUAAUUUAGUAUGGUUGCAUAGUUUGUUUGCAUGUAUCGGACCUCGAACGAAUCCCGGACGCCCCAUCGAAGUCCGGAUUGGACGAAAAAAUAGUUUUUUUGCAAAUGCUAUGCAGAAUAAUUUGCACUAUUUAUACCAGUUUUUGGGCCUAUUUGUUCAUUUUUCAUCUUGCCUCUUGAGACUUAAACCCUAAAAUAAUGUGGAGCUUAAAAGUGAAGUUUGUGGGAGCUUGGAUAGCUAGAUUAACAUUUAUUUCUUGGUUUUAUUACGAAUUUAAGGUAAGAAUUCACCCUUUUUUUAGUAAUUUUUGAUUAAUUUUUUAAAACCCCAAAAAUCUUAAGGCUUGAUUUUAAAUCCCAAUUUCACCUUUUUCCCUUAAAUAAUAUUUUUAUCUUAUAAUUACUAGUUUUUCAUCAAUUUAACCCUUAAAACAACUCUGAUUCUUAAUUUUAACCCGGAUUUCAAAGAUUUUACCCGGUAUAGCUCAAAAUAAUUUUUCUUCGAUUUGAACCUCGUUUUUUACUUGAUUUGACUUGGGUUUUCAGCAGUAGGUUUCUAAAAAUAUGGGAAACACGUUUUUGAAGUAAAGUUCUGAUUUUGCCCUUCUUUUUCGAAAACGUGUUCUGAGGGUCCGUUUUGACCCAGAACCAAAAGUACUCAAUAUGGGUGUCGUUGUCUUUUUUUUACGCUUAAAUUUCAUAUUUGAUAUUUUUAGUACAGUUCGAAAUCGUUCAUGAAAAGUAAGGUCGUGAGUUCAAAGUGUAGCGGAUCGAUUUUGGCUUUUAAGGUAGGUUAUGGCUUAACUCUUUUAGACUGAGCUGGUAGUAAAUGAUGAUACAAAAUGUAUGUUAAGAGUGGGAACUAAUCAUGAAAAAUGGCUAUUUAUGUACUGUGUUCGUGUGGGGGCCUAUAUGUAAUGCAAUUAUUGAAAUUGAGUUAUUAUGUGAUAUGUGUGACCAUGUAGGGUCCUAUGCGACAUUAAUAGCCCUGAAUACAUGUGAAUAAUUUUAUUGUGUUUUUAAGAUGCUUAAUAUGGUAUCAUUAGUGUAUUUUUAUUAUAUUCAUACUUUAUUUGGCAUAUGAAACAUGCAAAAAUUCGUGGAUAAAAUUGAAAUAAUGAGUGAAUAUUUAUUCACAUGGUUGUGGAAAUUUAUCAUUGUGGUUGAUUGUGAAAAUACUUAUUGUCAUUGGUUGUGAGCAUUACAUCCUCAUAUCAUAGUCAUGCAUGAAACAUUGGUGCCACUGUGGCAACAUCUAAGAAACACUGACAACACCUUUUUAAAACUCUCUCCGAGGGAUGUGCUAAAAAGGAGGUAUUGUAACAUCUUAUAAAACCGUUUUUGAGGGAUGUGCAGGAAAGGAGAUGAGAUAUGUGGAUUGUAUACGGGUUGACAAACCCCUUAUGGAUCCUGCGUUGGGAGGCUUGCCUCCGUAGGUCUAUAUGAGGAUUGUGUGAUGAUCCCAGAGGUUGUGCGAUGACCUCGUGCAUCAUCAUCAUCAUUAUCAUCAUUUUACAUAUUGCACUUACUUUAUGCUAUUAUGUUGUGUUGUAUUGCCAUAUUGAGUUGUCAUUUAUGUAUUUAUCGUAUCUUUUACUUGUAUUUGACGAUCUUGUAUAUGCAUGUUCCCCCUUGUUCUUCUUAUAUAUGAUAUAAUACGUAUUUUUGUUCUAUCUUGGUGUGAUGUUGCAAUAUAUGUGAGAUAUAUUAGAAUUGUUGGUUCAAGCGGUGUGAGCUACCACUGUGGGACAUUUUCUGAUUACAGGUGGCGUGCCCUUAGUGUAUAUUUUGUAUGUUUUAUUUAUUACUUUGCUUGGUCGGCCUAUGAUACCUGCUGAGUACAAGUGGUCCAUACUCAUGCCUACUGCGCCCUUUUGGUGCAGGUCCUAGCUCAAGUGUGCCUCAGUUUGCUUGACUCGGGUGAUUGUUGGAGCUUCCAAGGUAGCCGUUGGACAUUCAUACAUCCGAUGUUCACCUCUAUCUUUCUAUAGUAGUUAUGUAUUUAUUAGUAUUUGAAGACAUAUAUUAUUCCUUUGUGAUUAUUUUUCUGAUGUAUCUGACUCUUGAAUUGUAUUAGUAGUUCUUACACUAUUGACAUCUGGUUUUGGGCAUGAUUGGUAUUUUAAAUAAGUUCUUUCCGCAUUGUUAUGAUUACUUAUAUGGUUCGACUUCAUUCAAGAAGUCUUACCUUGGGAUAUUUUCUAUUUUUUUUUUUUUGGUUUGGGUGAUAGGCUUACUUGUCAAGGUACGCCGCGACAAGUGCCAUCAUGACCUUAAUUUUUGGAUCAUGACACCUUCCAUCAGAAACAUAUAUCAGGUAACUCACUCUAUUCACCAAGGUUACGACAAAUGAGAAGAAUCAUCUAGUAUUUUUUGUUCUUCAGGAAUUUGAACUUGAGAUCUCAGACUUUCAACCAACUUCAUUUUGAGAUUUACCUGCAAAAAUUUAAGGUUUGUAGCUCCAUCAUGCAUUAAGGUGACCAAACACCAACAUAAGAUGUUAAAGUUGUACCAGUAAAUAGUUAUCACAGAAGAAGAGAAAAAGUUAAAAUGAUCAAACUGACCAUUUAUAUAUUGAAAAGAACAUAAAUAGAUGUUAAACAUAAUAAGUAAAGAAACAAUUAACGGGGGAAGGGAAAAAGUUGAUUAGAUGUUAACAUGCUUCUAUGUAGAAAUAGUAUAUGCUUUGGUUGCUGAACAUGAGAAGCAGUUAACUUGCUUUUAUUGAUUAUCACUUAUCUUUUCUGUUCUUAGCCUGCCUUCGUGUAUAGACAAUAAACUAACUGGUCUUUUAGGAAGGUAUUGAAGAGCUACAAUAUAAGAAAAAUUCAAAACAAAGCAUAACAAACUCUCGCAAUGUCACCACCCAAAAACCAUAGGAGUUGAAUGAAGCAAAAAUUACUUUAAAAAAAAGGAGAAAAUAAAUAAAUACUAAUGUUACUAAUUGAAAAGAUAAAGCAAACACAAGCAGACAAGCGGCUAACAAUUCAAAAGCUUACUACUUAAAAACUAACCCACAUUGAAUUUUAUAUAUAUAUAUAUUGUGAUCGUUACAGAUGAACUGAAAUUAAUCACUGCACAUUUCAUUGUUAAUAUCUCCUCAUCUUCCUUAACCUCAAUUUUGACAUAACAUACAAGUGAUUUAUUAGACUAAAAUUUAAGAAAAUUUAGAAAAUUCACAAAGAAAUUCUAAACAAAUUAUGGAAAGUGUGUUUUUCUCAAAGUACAAUUAUCCAAAAAUAUUGUAUGGGAAAGCUAAGGAAAUUAUAGGGAUUGCUAUCCGAAUGAUUCAAUCGAUCUGAAUCCAUACUAGUGAGGCUCUAAUGUAGGUAUCAAUAUUUUUUAUGUAAAUAAAAAUCUAAGAAAAUUGUUGAAUAAAAUUUGUUACAACAGAAAGAUAUUUAAAACAACAUUUAUUUAUAUAUGUUCUGUGGAGAUUAGUUGAAUAUAAAAAUAGCAACAAAACAACGAAAAGAAUCAAAUUGCUACAACCAAAUAGAAUUUUAGAGUACUGAAUACACAUAUACAUAAAUUAUCAAUCAUGAAACAGACCAAACCCAUUGUAAAAUCAGAAAAGGAGAUUUACCUUUGUGAAGUAGGCAAAAGUAGAGAAAGCCCAUAAAAUAUUCAGCAAAAAUGAAGAAUACAUAAUAAAAAAUACAUCAACAACAACCAAAUAUGAAAAAAGAAAUGUCAAUUACAAAAGAAAAUUUUAUCUUGUGAUUUGAGUGGAACAACAAAUUGAAAGGGAAUGAAAAAUAAAGAGGAAGAGGAGGUAAAGACAUUAGAUACAAAUUGAAUAAAGAAAAAAAGAAAAGGAUUAAUUACAAUGGUUGUUGAAGUUCUAAAACCUAAAACAUUAAAGUAGGCAUUUAUUGUAACAAGAUUAAAAAUAUGAAAAAAAAAAAACGUUAAAAAAGAAUAAAAAAUAAAAAUGAUGUUCCUGAAUUCUGAGACAUGCCACAUCACAGAUUUUUAGAGAGAGAAAGAGAGAGAGAUUGGUGUAUCUUUAAUUUUUUUUUCCAUUUAUACAUAUUUGUAUGUAAAAGAUUUAUAUACAAACUUAUAUGAAUCAUGACAGCGAAGUUGUUCACUAAAUUUACUAUUUCAUUUAAAAAAAAUCAUGAAUAUAUACAUAACAUGUUUUACGUAUGGAUUGCAUCUAAAAUAUGCUACAUUUAACUAGUUUAGAUGUACUUUUAUUUUCUGUGUUCUGAAUUUUGUAUAAAAAUUGAUAUAUCUUUCGGCAUUAUGGUUGCUUAUCAAAUUGUAUUGUUCGUUAAUAAAUGCACAUAAAAAGGUAAAUUUAUAUCAACUGUAUAUGAAAAAUUAUUCAUUGAAAUCACUAUUAUCUAGAAAAAAAAUCAUGAAUGAAAACAUGAAAUUCACAUUGACUAAUAUAAAAAAUUUGAUGCAUGAGUAAAAAUUAUAUUGCAAAAAAUAAAAAAUAAAAAAAUAAAUAUUAGUUUAUGAAAAAUUAAGGACAAAAUGUAAAUUUUAAUAAUCUGAUAGAAUUUUAAAAUAAUUAUGGAGAUUAAUAUCUAAGAAAAGAAAAUAUGAAAAAAUUAAGAAAAUAUAUGAGAGAUAUUUAUGAAAAGACAACACUAUAAAAUUUUUUAGAAGAAUUAACUAAUAUAAAAAAUUAUUUAAGAAAAUGAAAAUAGAAGAAAUUUAGAAUUUCUUAUAAUCCUUUUACCGUAUUUUUUUUUUCCGUUGUUAAGUGGAGGAUUUGGAGAAUUACACGGUAAAAAGAAAAAAGAAAUAUUAGGAAGAAAAUUAAGUUAGGAGAGGGACAAAGAUAAAUACAAAUACUCAGGAGAUUUUAAUUGGUAUAUAUCUGAUAAAUAAAUAUAAGAAAAAUAUUUUUAAAUAGUUUUUUUAAAAAACUGCUAUAACUUACAAUUAAAAACUUUUAAUUCAAAAAUAAUUUAAAAAAUAGAGUUACUACUUGCAAAAAACACUCUAAAAAUGUUCAUUUAAGAUAAUUUUCACCUUACGAAACUGUGAAAGUAGAAGUCUCACUUUGUGCGUGAAACGAAUUUUGCCUAUUUGGCCAUAAUUUUUUUUUUUCAUUUUUUCUGAAAAGAAUUUUCAUUUUAUGUCAAAUUCAACUCUAAGUUGAUGUUUGGUCAUGAGAAUUUCAAACAAAACUUGAAGUUGUAUUUGAAAAAGUGGAAAACAAAAAAAAGUAGUUUACUUCUCUCACAAAAAUUCAAAAACAACUCCAAUUAUAUUCAUGGACAAACACAUCUCCAACUCCAACUUAAAAUUUUUUAAUUUUUAUGGCUAAACGCAAGAGUUAGAAAUUUGUGUUUAGCAAUGUAAAACAAUGUUUUCAGUGCAGAAAUCAUUUUUCAGUGUGAAGUAAAUAUUUUACACAGAAGAAAAUUGUUUCCAAUUCUAUUACCACCCAAGAUUGCGUACACUUAGUAGCCGUUUGGCCAUGAAAACUAAAAUUUUUCGGAAUUAGAGUUGAAGUUGGAGUUGAAAUUGGAGUUGGAGUUGUGUUUGGCCAUGUCUCUUUUGAUCUUUUUUUUUCUUAAAAAAAAUAUGAUUUUAUGCCUCAACUUUUACAAAUUAUUAAAAUCACCCAAUUAAAAUUUACCUAUUAAUAGAAAAAGAACACAAUUAGCCACUUUUAUAAAAAUAAUUACAUAUAUGUGGCCAUAUUUAAUGAAUUUCAAUUAUGACAUAUAUAAUAUUUACAUUAAUAAUCGUUUUCUCAUAUUUGAAAAUUUUAAAUAUAAAUGUUAUAUUAACAGAUCAUUGCUUCCUAUUUUUUAGGUAACAAAUAUUAUCUUUCAAAUAAAUUUAUUUUUUUAGGAAUUUAUUUAAUUCAUUUUCUUUAUUUUCCAUUCCUAAAAAAUAUUAAAUGAUGAGUUAUUAUUAAAUUUUAGGGUGCCGUUAAUUUAUUUCUUUAAUUUUUUUAUACAUAAAAGAUUUUACUGUGUGUGAAUAAAUUAUUUCUAUGUAAAACAUACUUUGCAUAUUUAUGGUAUAUUAUAUCAUAUACCAUAAAUAUAUAAAUAUGCUUAGUAUUUUUCUUUAUACUUUGUAUAUUUAUAUGUGUAUAUGGUAUAUACAUGGUAUAAACUUCAUAUAUAACAUACUUUAUAUAUUUAUGUUAUAAAUAUGUUUAAUAUGUUUCUUAAUACUUUGUAUAUUUAUAUAUGUGUGUAUAUGAUAUAUUAAUGGUAUAAACUUUAUAUAUAAUAUACUUUGUAUAUUUCUAUUGGGGAAAAGACAUCGUUUCCCGAUUAUGUUUAGGUGUGGCUUAUAUACUUUUAUAUAGUUAAGAUGUGUAAUAAGUCACUUAUAUAAUUUAGGUGUGGCUUAAACUUUUCUUGUAUAGUAUGGGGUGGAAAUGAUGUCUUUUCCCUUUCUAUUAUAAAUAUAAUACUUUAUAUAUUUAUGGGUAUAAAUAUAAUACUUUGUGUAUAACGAUAUCAAGUAUUAUGGUAUAUAAAGGUAGCAGUUGCAGUUUAAGGUAUAAAUUUGUUAAAUUGGACAUAUUUUUUUUAUGAAAAAUAUGUAUCACCGAUUUAUAUUUUUAGCAUACAUAUGAUAUAAAUUAUUUAUAUUUAAAUAGUAUAAUGAGAAUAAUUUGUGGCAGUGGUAAACUAAUCUGCUACAACUUUAUUAAUUAAAAAAUAUAUAGAAAACGAUUAUCCAUUUUAAUUACACGAUUAUAAUUUUUUAAACGUCCGUAUCACAACAGAAAAAUUAUUAUUAUUAUUAUUAUUAUUAUUAUAUUAUAGUAAUUAGAAUCAUUAGUAGUAAAAUAAUGUUUUAAAUAAGGGAGAAAAAUAAUGAAGAGGCUGAAAAAGAGAUAUAUAUUAAUUAGGAUAAUAUUAAGUUUGAAAUUAUAAUUAUCUUAUUCUUUAAAACUGCUAUAUACGUAAUAUUGAAAAAGUAAUGUUAUAGGAGAGUUUUAUGUAAAAAUUUAAAAGAUUGAGGUUAUAUUUAAUAAUAAAAAAAAAUUGUAAUAGGAGUUGGAAAAUUGUGAAAACACCAAAAAUCUGUUUUCCCUUUUCAGAAAAAUUUUUCAAAAUUAUUUUUUGAAUUUUCAUCACCAAACACCACAAUUUCCAACUCCGAAAAAAAGAAAAAAAAUUUCAUAACCAAACGGGCCCUUACAUUUCAAAUUUGAAACCUUGAAGGAAUCUAGGUGAAAUUCAGCCUAGAGAAUGAAGCGGUCUUAAGAUACUUCACAUUUGCACCACUUUGAUGCAGAGGUGACUGUCAAGAAUUGAAUGUCUGAUGUUGAAUUACAUUCAACCAAAAACAUUGGGCAAAACGCUCUAGGCUUAUUCUAGGUACCCGUUUCACAAUCUAGAAAUAUAUCAACAUAACAUUUAUAUUUAUAAUUUUUUCUGUUUUUUGAGUUUUUUAUUUGUUUUUUUGUACCAUUAUAAUAUUAAUUGAAAGUAGUUUAAUAAUCUCUCAAUAUUUUAAAAUAUUAAAUCACAUAUCCAUUUAAAUUUCUUGUGUCCUAUUUUUUUUAGUUCGUCUAAAAAAAUAUCUUUUUCUUUUUUUUUCCAGAAUCUUUUAAUUUAUUUAUUUCUAUAUGACAUGUUUAAGGUUAUAAGAUUAAAGAAUAUUUUGAUUCUUUCCACAUAUAUCUUUAGUUUAAGAUCACAAAAUUCAAAAAUUUUUAUCACGUAUUUAAACUUUGAGCUUAGUCAAAAUCAAACAAACAAGUUAAAAUAAAGAAAGUAAAAGUCUUUGUAAGUUAAAAAAUAAUAUUUUUUUUAGAGUAUAUUUUAGACUUUCUUUUAAAUAAACGCACAUGCCGAAACUGUUCUUCUUUUUAUUUUGCUGAUUUUUUUUUUUAAAUUAAAAGCUUUAACAAUCUACAAUGAUUGUUGUUUUAUGUUGAAUUACCUUCAUUAUCUUUCUCAAUUAAAUUUAUUGACUAACUCAUUUUAUUUUUAAAAUAUACAAUAUUUAAGUAAUACAAAAAAUAUUCAAUGCUACAAAUUAUUGUAUGAUUACGUCAAUAAAGAUAAUUUAUAAAUAAAAAUAAUAUUUAAAUUAAACAGUUGAAAGUCUAAUUUAACAAAAUACUUUUGUAGAUGUUCUUUCAGCGGGAGAAAUCUUACAAGGUUAUUAAAAUUUCAAUUAGAGAUAAAAUAGAUCUUAAAAAGUUGGGUGUUUUCUCUUAUUAUUUUUUUUCAUAUAAAAGAAAUCAUCAUUUUUUAAAUUAAUUUUCAAUUUAAUUGAAUAAAUAGAUUUUUUAUGGUGUCACUAUCACUUUUUUAAUGGCUCAUUAUUUUUUAUAUAGUAUUUUAAAUGUCAAUAUAAUUAUUAAAUUUAUAAAAAUUGGUGAGAUCUUCCAUGAUUUUUAAAAAAUAAUUUAGGAUAAAGCUGACAUAAUAAAUUCGUAUAAAGCCUAGAAAAAUUGGGGUGUUUUCCAUUAUAUACAGUAGUAAUGCAAUGUGAAUCAUUAUAUGUUUUAGGAUUAUUAUUUAUUGAUAAAAACUAUAAAUAAAAUAAAUACAAGUAACAUAUACUCAUUUAUUAAAAUACAAGAUGAUUUUACACAACCUUUUAAUGAAAGGCAAAAAAUGCAAAUCAUUUUUUAAAAAGUUUUCACGUUUUUAAUAUAUUAUUAUCAUUAUAGAUACAUAUAAGAAUAUCAUAUAUAGAAGGGACCAUAUAAAUUUUUCUAAAAGUCUGCUUUUAAUAUAUUACUCCCUCCGUUUAAAAAGAAUGACCUAGUUUGACUUGGCACGGAGUUUAAAAAAAUAAAGAAGACUUGUGAAUCUUGUGAUCUUAAAUUAAAUAUAUGUCAAAUGUAUCAAAAUACCCUUCAAUCUUAAGGUUUUAAACAUGUCACAUGAAAAGUUAAAAUUAAAAAGUUGACAAAAAAGAAAUGAAGUCAAUCUUUUUUAAAUGGACUAAAAAAAAAGUAGGUCAUUUGUUUUUUAAACGGGAACAAUAUUAUUAUUAUAGAUAGAUAUAAUAAUAUCAUAUAUAGAGGGGACCAUAUAGAUCUGAUGAUUAAAAGUAAAGUUUGACAAUUUGACAUACUUUAAGCCAUCGUGAUUAAAAAAAAAAGGAAAAAUUAACUUUUAAACUUAUUAGAUUAGUUAUUAUAAGUUAUAGCAAAACUUUUAAGUUUUUAAGUUAUAACAACUUUCAUUUUAAAAAAAUACAUAAAAAAUAUUUUUUUGGUUGAAAAUAUAAAAAAGUAAUUAAUGAAAAAGAAAUUAAGAUUUAAUACAAUUAAUAUAAAUUUACCUUCCUUAAAUUUAGUUAACCCUAAUUAAUGAUAUUUAUCCACUCCUAAAUCCCUCUGACCGUUGUUUUUCCUCCUAUUUUAAUGCUUUCAUUAAGAGUUUUCAUCUUCAUAUACUACCUUCCUCUUUGUACACGAUUAAUUUCUGGCAGUAAAUAAAAAACCUUGAUUUCGGCGUCUGCAAACAAAUUGCUGAGGAGUAUAAUUUGAAAGAAAAGCAAAAAUAAGUUUUUCUUUUGAUAAUAAAUAUGAAUUUUAUUGAUUUGCAUUUAAUCAUGAUACGUCAUGGAGGGAGAUGAGAUUCGUCAGGUUUGUUAAAUUUUUUUAUGAAAAUAGAUAUUAUCCAUUCAAAAUGAAUUUAAAGAUUUUUUUUUGUGUUUCUUCAAUUCUGACUUGGUUAUUAAGAAUGGAAGGAAGAGAAGGGGUAGGGAGGGUCGAUCUAGAGUUAGGUGGGGUGGCCUGACCCUGGUUACUGCUUUGGAGAUAAGGGCGAAGUUGGAGGGGAUGGGAGCUUGGGAGUGUAGGGGGGACGUGGAUAGUAUGUGGGAUACAACUGCAGGUUGCAUCAAGGAGACGGCUACAAAGGUUUUGGGUGUCUCGAGGGGCGGGUUUGGCUGACAUCGGAGGGAUUGGUGGUGGAAGAAGAAGUUAAGAAGAAGGUAGAGUCGAAGAAUACGUCUUACGUUAUGUUGGUUGAGAGUAAGGAUGAAUAGGAGAGACGGGUGAGCAGGGAGGAGUACAAUUUAGCUAGGAAGGAGGCUAAGUUAGCAGUCACCGCUGCUAACACAACAACAUUUGAGAGAUUGUACGCGGGAUUAGAGGAGAAAGGCGGGUACAGGCUUGCCAAAUCUAGAGAACGUAAGAGUCAGGAUCUGGACCAAGAUAAGUGCAUUAAGGGGGAGGAUGGCAGAGUUUUGGUGGAUGUCGUUCUUAUUAAGAAAAGAUGGCAGUCAUAUUUUCAUAGGCUAUUGAAUGAUGAGGGGCACAGAGACAUUGUGUUAGGGGAGUUGGAGCACACCGAAGAUUGUCGUAAUUUCGACUAUUGUUAGCAUUUUAAGGUAGAGGAGGUUUGUGAGACUAUUCCCAAGAUACGAGGAGGCAGGGCGAUAGGGCUCGCUGAGAUUUUAGUGGAUUUUUAGAAGUUUGAUAGCGGGCAAGGUUAAGGUGGAUGGCCGACUUGUUCAAUAACAUUUUCAAGACCGCUAAGAUGCCAGAGGCGUGGAGAUGGAGCACAAUGAUUCCUUUAUAUAAGAAUAAGGGUAACAUUCAGAGUUACAACAACUACUGUGGUAUAAAGUUGUUGAGUUACACGAUAAAGAUUUGGAAGAGAGUAGUGGAGUAGAGGUUGAGGAAGAUAGUGUCUAUUUCAGAGAAUCAAUUUGGAUUUAUGCCUGGUCGCUCGACAACUGAGGCAAUUCACCUAGUACGGAGAUUGGUUGAGAAAUAUAGAGAAAUGAAGAAUGAUCUACACAUGGUGUAUAUUGACUUGGAAAAGGCAUAUGGCAAAGUACCUAGGGAGGUUCUUUGGAGAUGUUUGGAGGUGAGGGAGGUCCCAGUGGCAUACAUUCAUUUGAUUAGGGACAUGUACGAUGGGGCGAAGACUUGGGUUAGGACGGUGGGAGGGGAUUUCGAGCAUUUUUUGGUCUUGAUAGGGUUGCACCAGGGAUCGACUCUUAGUUUAUUUUUAUUCGUCAUGGUGAUAGAUGUGUUGACUCAGAGUAUUCAAGGUGAGGUACCUUGGUGUAUGCUUUUUGUGGAUGAUGCAGUUUUGAUUGAUGAGUCAUGUCAAGGUGUUAAUGAUAAGUUGGAGGUUUGGAGACAAACCCUGAAAGCUAAAGGAUUUAGAUUGAGUAGGACUAAGAUAGAGUAUUUGGAGUGAAAGUUUAGUGACUCGAGCCAAGAGGAUGAGGUGGUAGUGAAGUUGGAGUCUCAGGUGGUUUGUAAGAGGGAUAGUUUUAAGUACCUUGGGUCUAUGAUCCAGGGGAAUGGUAAGAUUGAUGAGGAUGUCUCUUACCGUAUUGGGGCAGGUUGGUUGAAGUGGCGGCUCACCUCAGGAAUUUUAUGCGAUAAAAAGGUGCCUCCCAAACUUAAAGGUAAAUUCUACAGAGUUGUAGUUCGACCGACUAUGUUGUAUGGAGAGAAGUGUUGGACUGUUUAGAAUUCUCACAUCCAAAAAUUAAAGGUGGAAAAAAUAAGGAUGUUGUGUUGGAUGUGUGGAUUCACGAAGGCUGACAGGAUUAGGAAUGAGAUUAUUUAGGAGAAGGUGAGAGUUAUGUCGGUGGAGGAUAAGAUUUGGAAAAUGAGGUUGAGAUAGUUAGGGCAUGUGAUAAGAAGGGGCACGGAUGCCCCAGUUCGUAGGUGUGAAAUAUUGGCCUUGGAUGGUUUUAAGCGGGGUAGGGGUAGACCGAAGAAAUACUGGAGAGAAGUGAUUAAAUGUGACUUGGAGUAGUUACGGCUCACUAAGGACAUGGCCCUCGAUAGAAAGGUUUGGAGGAAGAGUAUUAGGGUAGAGGGCUAAGGUGUGUGGUCUAGUCAUAGGCUGUAGCUAGGAGAGUUUGGUGUAGCUUGGUUGGUAAUGGUAGGGUAUGGGGGAGGAGGGUAUCCUUCGUUGGUCAAUGUACUCUAUUUUUGUGGUUGUUGUAUCACUGUUAUUUUUAUCAUGUUGUAUGCUUGCGAUGUUUGACUAUGGUCAUUUGUCUUGAGCCGGGGGUCUAUCGAAAAUAGCCUCUAUACUUCUUUGGAGGUAGUGGUAUAGACUGUGUACAUUCUACCCUCCCCAGACCUCACUAAGUGGGAAUAUACUGGAUUUGUUGUUGUUGUUGUUGUUGUUUCUUCAAUUCUCUAUUGUUACAUUAUUGAAUUUUCAAUGUUUAUCAAUUGCAUGAAAACUAACAUUGUUGUUUAAGCAGGAAUACCGAGGGACUUUGGUAUGAUGGGAUUAUGUAUGAUGUAACAACAAAGUACAAAGAAUUGGUAGAAGCAAUUGCAACAUAGCUGAUGAUAGACACAUCUUCAAAUAAUCUUGAAAUAAGAUACAUUAUAAGUGAAAGAUACCCAACUAUGGUCAUACAUAAUGACACAAGUGUGCAGGUCUAUCUGGAAUAGAGGAAAAUAGUUGCUGACUUUUUCUUAAAAUAUCCAUUGUACAUUACAACUUUGGAUAAAUCGAACGAUCUAAUUCACCAAACUGAUGGAGCAAUUGUUUGUGUUGGGCAACAGACUUUUAACAAAAAAAAUGAAGAACGGAGAAAGCUAUUUUCAAAAGAAUAUGUUCAUUUGAUCGGGAUAAGUUCAGAUUUUGAAGAAGUUGAAGAAGAAUGUGUGGAUAUAAUUUGUGAUGUAACGAAUAUCAACAUAGCUGUAAAACAAACUUACAAGGAUAAACAAACACUGGUUAAUGUUAUGGUGUUGCACGCAUUUGUGAAAUAGUUCUCGUAUCGAACUGAAAGGUCAAGCGCAAGCAGGUAACAACGAUUGUAUUUUUUUAGUGUAUUAAAUUAGAUAUUAUAGUUGUAUGUAAAUCAGGUAUAUGUUUUUUGAGUAUUAAAUUAUUAUUUUUUUAAAUUUAAUCGCUACUAUUUGGUUUGUGUGGUGGAUAACUGUACUUGGUUUCUUAGUUCUUUCAGAAUUAGCAAAUCAAAGAUUUUUAAGAUAAGAAAGUAUUGUGACAUUCAUACAUGCUCAAUAAAGGAUCAAGUUUAUUCAAGACAUCGAGGGAUGACAAAAGUGGUAGCCGAACUGAUUUUAGGUAAUUAUGUGGACACCAAAAGAAUAUACACUCCCAACGAUAUUAUUUCUAACAUGAUGAGGGAGCAUGAGAUUUUACUAAAUUAUCAUCAGGCAUGGCGUGUAAAAACUAAAGCAUUUAAUAUAUUGCGUGGUGAUACUACUGAGUCAGAUCAAAGAUACCAGGUUAUUUAUAUAUCUUGAAAAAGCAUUAUCCUGAAUCUAUUGUUAGCUGAGAGAAAACUGAAGAAAAUAGAUUCUUGUAUGCUUUUGUUGCAUUGGACGCUUCAAUUGGGGGAUGGAAAUAUUGCAAGUCAAUUGUUGUAGUCGAUGGAGCAUCUCUAAAAUCUCUUCAUGGUGGAACUAUGCUGACUGCGAGCACUUGGACCCAGGAGGUAAUGCUUAUUUUUUUAAUUUUUUUUUUGAAAUGGCAAUCAUAUUAGAAUUUUAAUGCGUUGUAUAAUAUUAGUAUGCCAUAUGUAUGUAUUUUGUUUGUUUUGCUAAAAAGUAAUCAAACAGUAAAUUAUAUGAAGUAUGUUAUGAAUGUAGGUCAUAUACUACCCCUUACUUAUGUCGUGAUUGAUUCAGAAAAUAUUGCAUCUUGGACUUGGUUUUUUGAUAAAUUUAAGAUUACAUUUGGUGAAAGGGAAGGUAUAUGUAUAAUGUUCGAUAGGAACGAGAGUAUUUGGAAAGCAAUAUCAACAGUAUAUUCUAAUCUAUCACAUCAUGCUUGCAUUUGACAUUUGUAGUGAAACAUAAAGUUAAACUUUCGUAAGAAUGUUGAAGAAUUGCAUAAACUUUUUUGUAAUGGCAAAGACAUAUACUCUAGAAUAAUUUAAAAAGUUUAUGGGAAGGGUGGACCAAAUGGAUAAGAGAGUUAGGGGCUAUUUAUUCUAAAUUGGCUACCACAAAUGGGCUAGAGUUCAUUCUACUGUUAAACGGACUUGGACGAUGACAUCAAACAUAACGGAAUCCAUUAACAACACCAUCAUAAUAGCUAGAAGAUUGUCGUGGUUUCAACAAUGGAUUUUAUGAGGAUAAUAAUUGAAUCAUGAAAUGCAAAACAGCAUGAGGCGGCAACAAACACGUUAAUAGAGUUGACAGUCAAAUAUAAUGAUAUUUUGAUAAAUAAUCAUUUGCUUUCUUAGAGAAUGAUAGUAAGUCCUUAUCCAUUACUUUAUACAUGACUUAAAUUUUUCCUUAAUUGGUUUGUGUAUAAAAGUUGCUUCUGAGUACAGGUAAAAAUAUCAAAUGAAUUCCUACAUAAUGUAAGUAACGGAGCAAAAAGAUUCAUUAUUUAUUUGCAAAGUAGAAAGUACAGCUUUGGAGAAUUUUAAUUGGAAAAAAUACCAUGCUCUCAUGCUAUGACUGCUAUUACGUAUAGAAAUCAACAUGGCAAGAACUAUUGCUCACCUUACUACAACAACAAAAAUUUUAGAGAUGCUUAUGCCAUACUGGUUGAACCUCUUCCUUGUAAAAGUACAUGAGAAAUACCACGUGAAGUAUUGGAUGAAGUUGUAUUGCCACCUAAUUCAAAAUGAGCUCCCGAAAGAUCGUGUUAUGAAAGAUGGAAAACACCAAAUGAAGACAAGUGUAAAUGUUCAAAGGUUACAUGUAGUUAUUGUCAUUGUGAGGGUCACAAUAAAAAGACUUGCCACAAACAUGCACCACAUACUUAAGAGGGAAUUUGUGUGUCUUACUUUAUUUUGAUGUUAAUGUUUUUUUUUGAAACAUUUAUGAUCAAUAAAUGCUAGUGUUAAGAUUUGUGUUAUUUUAAGUAAUUUGUGUUUAUGGAUAUUUAUUUUUAUUGGUUUUAAAUAAUCAAAUCUUUGAGAGUUAGUGAAUUUGUUUUUCAAUUAAUAUGACUGAAAAAAUUAAAUAAAAUAUCUUUAUCAUGUGUUAUGUUUGCCUAUAAUGGUGUAUUAUCUUUAUAAUGUUUUAUGAUAGAGGGUAAUGGUAUCAGAUAUCUUUAUCAUGUAUUAUGUUUGCCUAUAAUGGUGUAUGAUCUUUAUAAUGUAUUACACCAUAACUUCCAAAAUAAUUACUAAAGCCAAGUGCUUAACAGUUGAACACAUAUACAAUGUUGCAAAGCAAAAAAUAACAACCUACUCCAGAAAUCACAGUAAUGUGCAGUAGUUGCAACUUGGUAUGGAAGAAUCAACAUGUUACAUCUCAGAUGUAGAAUCAUUACUGAACUUGGUAUGCAAGAAUCAAAAUGUUACAUCUCAGAUGUAGAAUCAUUACUGAAUGUAAUACCAAUAAGAAACAAUGCUUAAUGAACAAAGACAAUGAAUGUAAUACAUGGUAUUUUCAACCAACAAACAAAUGAGUUCAAACAAAGGUAUUAUCUGAAACAAAUGUUAGUGUCAAAUUAGCAUUUGAAAAUACCAUGUAUUACAUUCAAACAAAGGCCAUUAUCAAAUCGGGCAUUUGUUAUCUGUUUGUUCAACCAACAAAUACCAUGAUAACAACUGAAUGCAAUAAAUGCUAGUAUCAAAUCGGGUUAAAAAUGAUAUAAUCUACAAGAACUAAUACAAGCACAAGAACUCCAUCAAUUAAAAACACUGUUGUUUUACUUCAUCACAUUAAUAAAGUUCAACCAAAAGGAAUCAAAAAUUAAUAUGGAGUAACAAAAUAAAAUUUGGGUAUCCUUGUAACUAUUAGAACAGAACCUACUACUUUCAAAUAUCAAAACAUUCGUAAAAAAAAUACAAGAACUAAAUAAGAACGUCUACUGCAAUCUUAUUUUGUGACUGGUAUUAUCGUAUCCUUGAACUCUUAAAACUGCUCCCUAGAUCUUUUGAAACCACCAUACUUGCUAGUAACAUUUCCAGUUGCCUCACUUUCACUGGUUGCUCCAUCAUUCUGCUUCCGUCUGGCGUAAUCCCAUAGUAGUGCACCAUAGCUUAGUUGAUGGUUGGAAGCAACAAAUAGAAUACUGGAGAUCAAAUAUGCCAAGACUAACGUACUCAGCAAAGGCACAUACAAACAUACCACAGUCACUGUAAAAUAGAAAUCAAAAAAAUUAUUGAUGAAGCAACAUAUAUAUAUUAAUAUAAAUACAUAAAACACAAUUUAAAUGUAACUUACUUAGAUUGAGGUCCCUGCUGUGGUGCAUCCUUCACAAUGACAUGCUCCAAAGGUUCAUUCUAUGAUUUAUCAAUGUAUGCAGCUUUUCGAUGUUAGUCAAUAUCCGAAUGUUUUUCGUAAAAAUUAGUGGCAGUAAAAAAUAUAGGUAUCAUGGUAGAAAGAGAUUGAACAUGAUCUAAAACAUUCUUUGAAUGCACAACACAUUCCAUCAUUGAAUCAAAAACAUAUAGACACCUAUGUCUAAUUCAAAAAACAACCAACAUCCAAUGAAAUGACUCACUAACAUUCACAGGAAUGAUGAUAUUAUCAACAGAAUCCCACGAAAUAUUAGCAAGCAGUUUGUAACCCCUAAUGUACUGGCAACAUGGUGUUUAGGAGUGAUACAACUCAUUUCUUCAUUCAAACUCAACCAUUGUUCAUGAAUUGAACGUAUCCAUUUAAUAAAGAAAACAUCGAUAGUGGUGUAUAUAAUAGGCUUCAAGACACUAUACUUUGAUUUUUUUCCUUAAGUAAUACAUUAUAACGUCAACCUGAUGAAUAAAUAAAAAUUAUAUUAGAACAAAGCAAACAGAUAAACAAUAAAACUGCACAACAAACUAUCAAUCAUAGCAUACACAGAACAACACAGGACAAAGAGAAUUAUACACUAGUAUAAUUAGUGUGUCCUGUGCAUAACAUGCUCUCAAUCCAAGCAUACUAACCAGAAUUAUACACUAGCAUACACAAAAAAUACAGAUAUGCCAGUUUCUCAGUAUUUUGGAUAAAACGCAUGAAACUGUUUUGCAUUAUCGAAAAAUAUAGUACUCUUUUUCUAAAAUUCAACAUCUAUCUUCUGUUUUUUUAGCUUUCUCCAGAACAGUCAACGAUGUCAUUUUCCUAACAAAGAAUGUUAUGUAUCCCAUACUACUCAAAUCAUAGUAUUCCUCGUUCACAAUGAAAUAGGACGAAAGCUAAAAGAUAACAACUAUCAACAGACAGAUAAAUAUGGCAAUCAUUACACAGAUAAAUUACAUGGUGCAUUAAGUUAAGCAAGAACAAACAACCAAAACCAAGACUUUUAAAUAUUUAGCUAUCAGGGGUUAUACAGAAUGUUAUAUAUUUUACUCAAUUUUAGGGGAAAUGACUCCACACUAACAAACUUCCUUCUCGAACAUUUUUAAUAAGAACUUCGCAACCAGGAGGGGCGAAUUUAACAUGUAGUUUAUGGUGCACGUAAAUCCGUGAUCUUUCUACAUAACUAGAAAUUUAUAUAUAUAUAUAUUAGAAUUGAUCUAAUAUUGCCUUCUGUCACCCAUACUACAAAAAGGAUUAGCGGUGCAAUUGGUUGAAAACUAAGUUAUUUACAUAGAGGUACAGGGAUCAAUUUCCACUUGAUGCAUUUUCUUUCUCCAUUCUUUAAUAGUGCAUCCAUCUUCUAGAAAUUUCAGAUUGCCUUCUGUAAUCGUAACAUCCUUUUGAAUCAACACUUGAGAACACUAAUUUAAAUUUCAUGCGCAAAGAACAUUAAAAUCAAUAUCUGUAUACUCUAUCCCGCAGGUUGCACUAUGAGCAUAUUUCACCUACUUUAUAACUUACCAUACAUUAUAAAAUGCUCCAGAAACUAGUUCCAGACCCGGUAUGCCAGUACAUACAACAAAAAUAAACUAGGGCAAACCCAUAGUAUGCUAAAAAAAUAGAACUUUUCUUGUUCAAUGAAUAAUAAUAGUGCCACACAUUAAAAAGUUAAAUGACAUGGCGCAUUAAACUCAGCAAGAACAAAGAACAAAAAACAAAGAAUGUUAAAUAUUUGGUUAUCAGGGACUGUGGAGAAAGUUAACUAUUUUACUCAAUUUGGGGUAAAAUAACUUACACACUAACUAGUUUCCUCUUCAGAAAACUCUAACAUGUACUUCGUAACACUCUCUGAAUUAACACUUGAAUAUUAUAAAAACAUACCCAGUGUAAUUCCACAAGUGGGGUUUGGAGGGUAGAGUGUACGCAGACCUAACUCCUACCUUGGCAUUUUAACAUUAAAACAAAAAAAAAGAUACCCAGUGUAAACCUACAAGUGGCACUCGAACACUAAUUUAUCAAAAUCUAAUACACAAAAACACUCAAAAUCUAUCCUCGUACCUAUCCUUCAGAUAGU
rnacentral:lncRNA from 1 species